rnacentral:lncRNA from 1 species
CCAUAUGCAACUUGAUCAUGCAUGGAUGCUUUUACUAUCUUGUUUAUAUAUGCCGACUUAGCCAUUAUAUAUAUCCAUCAAUUGAUUUCACUUCUUCAUACCAACGUACAGCUUAGCCUGCGGUUCACAGCUUCUAUGGAGCUUCAUCUUCUUCCCAUUCUAACCUGCCUCUCUGUGAGACUUCACUUUUACCUUUAUUUUGUUUUUAUUUUUCUAACAUAACCCAUUACAUGACAAGGGCAAUGCUAGUUAUAUUAUUUUGCAGAAAAUGGUACUUACAUAAAAUUCUCUUUAAAAAUGAACAUUUAUAAUCCAAAUUUUAAGUCUUACUGUUCUAAAUUGUCUUUGUUACGUGGGUUUUCUGAUUUCUCCUAAUCUCCUUACUAUAUAUUAUGCAUGAACUUGUGGCAGCUGCUGGUGGUUGUAAACAAUGCUUCUCUACCUUCUGAGGUCUACUGGAAGUUGGCUUUGCCGUAUACUCGGAUGCCCAAAGUCGUGCGAGAUCUCUUGCAGCUGAGUUAGUUUCAAUGAAUCCCUAACUCAUAUGCAAAUUUUUUUUUUUGUUCUUUUUUGAAAUUUGGUGAAGAAAAUAAUUUACUGUUGAAUAUUAGUUAGGCAACUGAUUCUUAAUUAGCCACCUUGGCAUAAUUGUAAUAGCUAGUAAGGGGAUAUUAUUCAUAUACGUUUCAAUGAGUUUGCAGACUCAAUGGAAGGUGGAAGUUCAAUCAAUGUGAGCAAGGUUAUACUAAAUGCCAUCCCAGCGGAUGUCUUUAUCAAAUACCAAAACCCAUCGGCUGCUGACACCCCCACUGAAGACCAACCUCCAGAAAAGGUUACUUCUUGGAAAAAGACCUGCAUUCCACCACAAAAAUGAAGAUGCACUUUAGAAAAACUACAAAUGAAGCCACUUUGUUACCCCGUCAAGUGGCCGACUCCAUACCCUUUUCAUCUGACAAGUUCCCAGAAAUUCUAAAUCGGUUUUCACUUAAACAAGAGUCCAAGGAAGCUGAAAUAAUGAAGAAAACGAUACAAGAUUGCGAACAACCAGCCCUGGAAGGAGAUUCCAGGUUUUGUGCCACAUCCUUGGAAUCCUUAAUUGAUUUAAGCAUUUCAAAGCUUGGAAAAAACAUCAAACUAAUCUCAAAUGGAGUUGAAAUGGGAAGCCAAGAAUACGAACUCGGAGUGGGAGUGAAGGUGGUUGCAGACAAAUCAGUGGUGUGCCAUAAGCAGAAGUAUCCAUACGCUGUGUUUUACUGCCAUGCAAUCCAUAAGACGAGGGUUUACACACUUCCAUUUGUGGGAACCGAGGAUGGAACCAAAGCUGAGGUUGUGGCUUCUUGCCAUAUAGAUAUGUCGGCUUGGAACCCGAAGCAUGCGACCUUUCAAGUGCUGAAAGUUAAACCAGGAACUGUCCCUGUUUGCCACUUCCUUCCUCGUGAUGAUCUCAUCUAGGUUCCUAAAUAACUAGAAAUCUGAAAGAAAAAAAAAAGCCUCAAGCCCAAUCGCAUAAGUCGAUCUUGUAUUUUCUAAUAUCCAUAUCUGAUGUGCUUUGAAUAAGUGUUGGUUAGAGGAAUGUAUGUAUGUCUAUGGGUACUAUUUGCAAUGUAAUUCGGGUUAUGCCAUGACCAUCUUCUUGGUUUUUAUCCAUGUUUUCAUAACUGGACUGGUCAUUGAACGUGAAAAAUUAUCAGUUUAUGGUUCACCGGUUGGACUGGUGGUCGAACCGCGGUUGAACCAGUGGUUGAACCGAUAACGUCAUAAAUAUGUAAUUUAUAUAUUAUUAAAUUUUAAAAUAAUUAUAAAAAAUUUAAAAUAUAUAUGAAUAAAUUAAAAAUCAAUAAUAUUAUUUUAUAUACUUGAUAUUAUCGAAUUAAAUCAUAUUAAUAUUUUAAAUUUUAUUAAAUGAAAUAUGUCUAAUAUUUAAAUGUGAAUAUAUUAAAAUGAAAAUUUAAACUAAUUUUAUAAUUUUUAAAAAUAUUAUAUUAUUUUUAUUUAAUAUUAUAAAAAAAAAUUUUAAAUCCAAUAUAUAUUGUUUUGUUUGGCAUAUUAGAUAACAAAUUGCGUGUAGCCGAGUGGUGUCUUAGCAAUCCCACAUCGGAUUCUUAGAGAAAUAAGGGUGCAAAGGAUGCCUAUAAAAGCUAUCCUCAUUGAAGGCCAAGACAUCAUCCCAUCUUGUGGGCUCAAGACUCGGCCACUUAAUGGUUGGGGUGGGUAUGGGCUUUGUCAUAAUAAGACAUGGCCCAACAUGGUUUUUUGCCAAAAGUUUUUAUACAAUGGGGUCCUCAUGCUUACAAAAUGAGGGGGCAACUUGUACCGUUUAGUUUGUUUAGAAUUAUUUGGUUCCACUGGUUCACUGGUCCGACUGUCGGUUCAAUACUUAAACGGUUUAAUAGGGUAAAUCGGUCAAUAGUUGAAUUAGUUGGAUCGACUGGUCCGAUCUGGUUUACACAUCAUUGGUUAAAACAUGUAAAAGUAUCUAAAAUUGUGCCUUAAAAGCCAACAAUACUUCAUGGGUAGCUUGACCAUAUCUUUUGCCCUUUGUGAAUUAAUUUAAUGAAGAAGAAUUUUUGGUUAAAAGGGUUAAAAUAAGUUUGAAAUCGAAAAAAUGACCCAUUUGAAAUAUUUUUAUCAUUUUUUAAACCCUUUAAAACAUUAUUUCUCUCACUUUUUGCUCAUUUUCCUUAUGUUUUUGUCACCUCCUUUUCCAAUGAAGCUCACAUCCUAGAUAAUUAGAAAAAGAAGGAAAGGGUCGGAUAAAAUAGAUAUUAUAUCUAUAUUCUUAUUCAAAUUAAUAAAAUUUUAAUUUGACUACAUAAGUUUUUCUUCAAAAGAAAUUGAUACGUAUAUAUAUAAGUAUGAUUGGUUAAACUAUAUUAAAAACCUUACAUAUCAUUUUUAUCUUUAUGUUAUUACACUAACAAGGGCGAUCCUACUUAGCUUCCACUAACAUAAUAAAUUAAUGAAGGCUCUCUCUGAAUCACGCAAACCUGAUAUUUUCUAUUCUUGUAUGAUUGGUAUUUGUUUCUCGAGAAACUGGUACUGUUUUCUUGGUCUUUUUUUUUUUUUUUUUUUUGUGCUCCAAAUUAAUUUAAAAGAAUGUUUUGGAUUAGCAGUUCCCUACCUUUAGACCCUUGUUGGUAAAUGAAACGUAACUGAUAUUCUCUUUGUAAUUCAGCAUGUAUGAAAUGAAAAACCUUUCAUAUUUCAUAUCUUCUCAUAAAAACACAAAUUUUAUCUCAUCAAGGGAAAUAGUUGAGAAUUUAAGUUGGUACUUUUUCUCAUUUUUAUACUUUCUUGGUUAUGUUUGAUUUUUGAAAAAUUUGAGGAAAAAUAUAAUGAAAAGAAAAAAGAAAAUAGAAAAGAAAAGUGGAAGAGAAAGAUGAAACCAAAUAAAAAAUAAAUUUAAAAUUAAUAAAAUAUUUUUAUACGCUUUUUGAAAUUUAUUUUACUUAUUUUCCUUUAUCAUAUAAAUAUUAAAUAAUUUAAAAUUACAUAAAUUUGUAAUUAAUUUUUAUUUUAUAUAGAUGCAUUUUCAAUUUUUUUUUUUACAAUAAAACCAAAGAUGAGAAAACCAUCUUCUUUAAAAUAUUUUCUUUGGUUAAUAUUUUUUUUUAGGAGCCAAAAAUAGCUUAAAUGAUUAUUGUCACACUGACACGAGUAAGUGAAAAAAUCUUGUAGACAAAAUUAAAUACAGAGAAAUAAUUUGGCGAGCCGACUUGCCUUCAGUAGGAAUGGCAAUUUCACGGGUAUUUCAGGUCACCCGCCCCGCCCCGCUCCGAUUAGAACGGGUAUGGGAGCAUAAAAAUCGGGGAUGAGACGGGUUCAGGUUUUAAAAAAAAACCCGAAUCGGGUUCGGGGCGGGAUUGGGUUUAGUAACAAUAUGCCCCGCCCCACCCCGAAUAUGAAUUUACAAGUUUACCCCCACCUAUAAAUAUUUGCUUCCUAUCCUUUUUGAUCUUCCUCUCUCGUUUUCUCUCCCGUUUUAGGUUUUUUUUCUCUCGUUCCUGGGGUUGUUGAUGAGAGAACACAAGUGAUGAUGGAGACGGAGCUGUCCCGAAUCACCUGAGACGACCUCAUCAUACUAGAUUGCCUCGACCCCUUUCUGUACCAGUUUCCAGUGUGAAGAAAUGGCUUCCGCAAAUCCCUCCCAUCCUCGUUCUCGUCCCUAAAACUCAUCCCUAAUCUGCAAUCAGCAACUCAAGUGUUCGUCAAAAUGCUAAAAGAUGGUGUGUUUUGGACAGUUGGAGUACUCAAUGCAGAAAUCCAUCAGAUAAUCCACCCGAAACUGCCAUUUUCUCCAUGGGAAUCGUUUUAGAUAUUUUUUUUUGGAAUUUUGAUUUUUUGGUUUUGGGUGUUUUUUUGUCAGUUUCUGGGCAAAAGAUGAGAGAUUUGAAUGUUGAUUUGUUUGGUUUGGGGUGUUUUUUUUGUCAAUUUCUGGGCAAAAGAUGAGAAAUUUGUUGGUGAAAUUUGGGAUUGUCCAGAUUUGUAAUCUGGUGGCAACAAGGUGGUCUUUUUGCUAAUUUGUUUUCCUCAUUUCAGCAGUCUGUAACUCAUUGUUUUCACCUGUUUUUGGGCAACCCGGGUCGGAACGGCCGGGGAUGGAAUUUUGAUUAUUAUUUCAAAACGGGGAUGAGAUUACAUACCCCGCCCCGCCCCGGGUUUGGGACGGGGAUGAGAUUUGUUUUGAAUAAACGGGACGGGGUUGGGAUGAGGGCGACCCGUCCCGAACCCGUCCCGUUGCCAUUCCUAGCCUUCAGAACCAUUGUAUCUUCUUCUACAACAAUAGUUGCCAAUUGCCAACUGGGCAUCAAAACCAUUGAAUCUUCUUUUAUAACACAUGUUUGUAGGAUGAGUCAUUAUCAAGGGUGUCGUCCUGCUAAGAAAACAAAACAAAAAAGAUGAUAUAUUCCCAUUUGGUGUGUGUUCAUAUAUGGAUUUUAUAUCCUUUUGGGUGUACCCCACUUCUGCAUCAAACCCAGGCUUGUUUGCUCGUAUAUAUGUAUAUCUUUUUUGGAAUCAUAUAUAGCCACAUAGCCUUAAGAUAUUUAUUUUUAAUUAUUAAUUAAUUAUUCUGGAAAAUAAGUGAUGGUGCCUUAGUAAUGAAUUACUUAAAAAAAAAUUGUAAUAAUUAUUUAAAAAUUAUAAUUAUUUUUUGUUUUUAGAAUAUCUAAAAAAUAUUUUCUUAUAUUUGAUUUUUAAAUAAAAUAAAUAAAUUAUCCUAGAUUUUUUUUAAUUGUUUUUUCAAAGUAAAUAGACUAGAAAUGAAUCAUUGAACCGACCAAUCACUUCAUCAAUGAUGACCAAUCACUUCAUCAAUGAUGAGUGCCAGCAUGGCCAUGAAAUCAAUUCUUGGCGCCGUCGGAUAUAGACAAUGGUGAUACUUAAUUUAAUUUGUUUGGCUUAUCACUUUUGCUAGUUUUUGUCCAUUCUCAUUUUGUAUUUUUUUUCCUAAUUAAAUUAAACUGUGAAUAAUAAUAAAAACAUUUUAAAAAUUACUUAUUAAAUUUUACAUAUAUUUGAUGACUAAGAUAUAAAUUUAACAAAAUUGGGGGAAAAUAGCCAUUAAAGAAUUAUUUGAAAUAGAUUUUUUUUUUCAAAUUUUUUUAUUAAAUAAAAUGUUAUUGAAAUCAUUGCAAAAAUACUUUUCAUUUAUAUCAAAUAUUAUUAUUAUUUUUGAAUACUAUAAUAUUGUAUGAAAAUGAUGUACUCCAAUAGCCGAAUGUGGUGUGUUGAAAGUCCAAUGUGAUGCCUUAAUAUAUGUUUCUUCUUCCGGUCAAGAUUUUAUCCUUCUACUCGUCAAGUUUCAAUUCUUUUCAAACAACUUUUUUCUUUCCCUUUGGAUUUAUAUCAAAAUAUCAAUUAAUUUUUCUUGAGAAUGAUAUUUGAUUUUACAGAAAUCACUUUCAUAGAGCUUUUAUUUCACAUGCGAUCUUAGAAGAUGUUAAAGCAUGCGUCAAUAAUCGUACAUGGUUUGGACUGAUGUUAUUAAUAAUACGAUGUUAUAUAAGAAUGUAAUAUAACGGAGGAUUGAGAGGUAUAAACAAGCGGAACAGUGCUAAUCGACAAAGGAAUAAAUCCCCACAUUUAUAAAGUAUAUAAAUCUUUGGCUAUGUUUGGUUCUCGGAAAAUUUGAAGGAAACUGCAAAGGAAAGAAAAUAGAGAGGAAAAAUAAAAUAAAAUAAAAAAACGAAUGAAAAUAAAAAAUAGAGUUAAAGAUGAUAAAUUAUUUUUAAUUGCUAUUUCAAACUUAUUUUAUUUAUUUUAACUCAUCAAUAUAAAGAUUAAAUACUUUUAAAAUGCAUAAGUUUCUAACUAAUUUUCAUUAUAUUUAAUUUUCUUUGAAAUAUUUUAUAGGACAACCAAACAUAAGAAAAUCAUUUUCCUUAAUAUUUUUUUUUUCCAGGAAUCAAACAUAACCUUCAAGAAUAUGGUAAUCAAAGUAAUGAUAAAAAGUUAUAAUAAAAAGUUCUUAUUGUUUUUACGAUUGAUAUUACAUACAUAAUUUUUAUUCUCUUUAACAAAACCCUAAAUUAUAAGAAGAUAGAGAUACACUAAGGAUAAAUUCGUCAUUAAUAUUUUUUAUUCAAAAGACAUCCCGAACUAUGGAAAGUGACCAUCUCCUUCUUUGCAUUUAUUUUUAUGUCCUAUUUAUUUUAUCUAUAAGCUUGUUAGGUGAAAAUUAGUUGUAAAAAUUAAAUUAAUUCUUUUUAAUUUUUUUUUAUCUCAUCUUAAUAAAAUAUACUAUAAUUUUUAAUAAAAUUAAAGAUUAAAUCAAGAAAAGAAAUGUUAAUAAAAAUGAUUUUAUCAUGUUUGAUUUAUUUAAAAAAAAUAUAAAAAAAUAUUUUUAUUUUAAAAUUAAUAAAAUAAAUAUUUUUUUAAAUUUAAAUGAACUGUGUAUCUAAAAAUUAUUUAUAAAUUUAUAAUAUAAAGUUACUUGAAGAAAACAUUUUAUUAAUUGGAAAAGAAAAAAACAACAUCUUCCAAACAUGUUUUUUGUUUUACUUGUUCUAAAAAACUUUUUUAUUAACUCAAGAAAACAUGUUUUUUUUUUUUUUGAGAACAAAACUGUUUUCCAAAAUUCAGUUCCCAAACACAAUUUUUUUUUAAAAAACAUAAAAAACUAUUCUUAAAAAUUGUUUUAUAUAACAGUUUUAAAAAACAACAACCAAAUAGACCCUUAAUUUCAAUAAUUUAAGGAAAAAGAAAGGGUUUGUAGGUGGGGGUGUGGUGGUUGGGUGGAGCUUACCUUUGUGAAAACACAAAAAACAGCUAAUAAAAAAAAACAAGAAAAAUAAUUUAUUCUUUGAAUAUUGAAAAAAUAUUGAAAACAACUUUUUAUUGUUCUAAAAAAAGUAGUUUUUAAGAACACGGAAAACAUAAUAAAACAAAAACACACCCCCUUCCUCAAAUAAGUUUUUUGUAUUUUUUGUUUUUAAGAACAGAAAACAGUUCUUGAAAACAAGAACCAUUAAAAUGGAUAAAAAGAAAUGAGAGGGAAAAAAUGCUUUUGAAGGAAAAUAAAAUAGAAGGGUAAACUUUUUCAAAUAUAAUCAAAAUUAAUGAAAUCUAUCAAGGAGUAUAAGAAUUAUAUAUGGAGAGAGAGAAAAGGAAAACAUACAUAAAUUUGUAUUAAGAAUUUAAGAGUGAAGAGAAGGUGGGGAUAAUGGAGACGGAAAGAUGGACAAAUCAAGAAUUUGUAACCAAUUUUACUUAUCCAUAAAUUGAGAAUGACAUAUUCCCUUUUGGUGUGUGUUCAUAUAUGGAUUUUAUAUCCUUUUGGGUGUACCCCACUUCUGCAUCAAACCCAGGCUUGUCUGACCGUUCAUAUGUAUACCUUUUUUGGAGUCAAAUACAGCCACAUAGCCUUAAGAUAUUUAUUUUUAAUUAUUAAUUAAUUAAUUGUUUAUUUAUUUAUUUAUUUAUUCUGAAAAAUAAGUGACGGUGCCUUUCAUGUCAUCCAUUAUUGUGAUCACAAUUUUUCUUGCAUCUUUAACAAAUAUUUUUUUAAUCAAAAUAUUUGUAAACAUGUUAGUAAUGAAUUACUUAAAAAUAAAUAAAUAUUGUAAUAAUUAUUUAAAAAUUAUAAUUAUUUUUUGUGUUUAGAGUAUUUGAAAAAAUAAUUUUCUUAUAAUUGAUUUUUAAAUAAAAUAAAUAAAUUAUCCUAGAUUUUUUUAUUUUAAUUGUUUUUUCAAAGUAAAUAGACUAGAAAUGAAUCAUUGAACCAAUUAUUGGUGCCGAUCAAUUCAUCAGUCUCACGUGGUGAUAAUUCAUGGGCAUGGGCAUGCAGGUUGCGGCGGCACUUGGUGAUAAUUUAAGGAAGGUGGCCCAUAUAGUCACUCUGCCAAUUGCCAACUUGCCAUCAAAGCCAUUGCAUCUUCUUUUAUUACAACAAAAAUAGAAAAACGUGAGUUGUUCGUAGGAUGAGUCAUUAUCAAGGGUUUCGUCUUGACAAGAAAACAAAAGAGACUAAAAAACAAAACAAAAAAGCUGAUGAUCAUCUUUGUAUUGCCGCUAUGGCACUAUUUCAGUAUCGAAAAGUACCACCCAAAUAAAAAUGAUAACAUGAUCAAGGUUCCAUGGCGUCUGAAGAUUUUCUCUUCCUCUACACUCGCUCGUUCUCACCAAAAUGGUACCAGUUCAAGCCCAAAUACAACUCCGAUAAUGUCGUCUCUGAAUCAAGCAUUCAUCAUCAGGCUUGAUCACUCAAAUUAUCUUCUAUUGUGUACUCAGAUGCUGAAUAUUGUAAUCGUUAAUUGACUCAAGGAGAUGAUCGAUGGCUCACAACCUUCUCCUCCAAUUUUUCUUGAGAAUUCUGAAAGUACAAACCCAGAUUUUCAGAUCUGGCAACGACAGUCGUUUUGUCAUGUGUUGGAUUUAUUCAUCUCUCAUUGAGAAUGUAAUGUCGCAAAUCAUCGAUCUCACUUCCGCUUCUGAAAUCUGGAGUGCUCUUGAAAAAUUCUUCUUUUGCUGCAUUAAUUGUAUUUAAUAUCUUAUUUAUUUUUUUUAUUUUUAAAAUUUUUUUUUUAUUUUUUUUUCUAUUUAAUUUUUUUAUUUGUAUUUUGUCUCAUUUUUUAAAUCAAUUUAUUUUUUAAUUAAUUAAUUAAUUAAUUAUUCUUGAAAAUAAGUGAUGGUGCCCUUCAUGUUACCCAUUAUUGUGAUUACAAGUUCUUGUGUCUUCAACCAAUAUUUUUUUAAUCAAAAUAUUUGUAAAAAUAUUAGUAAUGAAUUACUUAAAAAAUUAAAUAUUAUAAUAAUUAUUUAACUAUAUUUAUUUAUUUUUCUUUUUUUUUAUUUACUUUUCCUCUGUAUUUGAAAUAGUGUAUAAAAAAAAUGAAGUAUUCAACUUCAAUUUUUUUUUUUACUAUAUUAAGUUUAAAAAUUUUAAAAUCAAUUUAAAAUAUUUAAAAUAUAUAAUGUAUACUUUUUGUAUAAAAAGUUUUAAUUUUUAUGCAAAAUUUGAUUAAUUUAAAAAAAAAACAAAAAUAGGAAAUAUAUUCUAGGACACUUAUUUUGUUAAUUUUUAAAUAAAAAUAUAAACAUGGAAUUAUCGUCUAUAGAUUUUGUUAAUUUUAAUUUUUAAAUAGUCAACCUUUCACAUCUUAUGAUAAAAAUUUGUAAACAUAACGACGUAUUAUCACUCCUGGGUGAUCCUUUUUUAUAAUUCUCAGAGCCCAAGUCAAUAGAAAGAGACAAAACAGUGUUCACGUUUGUUUGUUAAUUUUUAAUUUUAAUUUUUUUGGGUGAUUGUGAAACAGAACUUUGGGCUAAAACUUUAAGCAAGUAGAGGUGACUUCCCUAAAGUGAAGUUUCCAAAAUAAGUAUGUGGUCCACCCCUAAAGUGAAGUUUCCAAAAUAAGUAUGUGGUCCACGUGUCAUUAAGGCUGACGUUGAUGGUGUCUGCCCACAUAUGGCGUCAUUUCUGACCCUUAAUUGUACUGGUUUUGGACCACCACGUUCACCUCCAGCCAUUGGAUCUCUAUCCCCCUUUUUCUUGGUCCCCCACCAUACUCGCCAUCCCCUAAUUUUUCUUGUCCUUUUUGUCCUUGACUGUGAAUACAGUGGUUAGUUUGGCUUUGAUUUGUUCAUUUUCUCGGAUGAGAAGUCAUCUUAAUUUGGGGGACGUUAAGCCCGAAGAUGUUUCAGAAGACACCUUGAAGGCCGUGGCUGAAAUUCUGAGAAAUUCUACUACCCUUAAGGUUUCUGAAGAUGGUGAGCUCUAUGUUUUCCACUCAUAGGUUCCUUUUUUUAAUCCAAAAUAGAAUUAAUGGACGAGUUUUCUGCUUGUCCAGUGGAUAUUUUUCCUUGAAGUUUUGAAGAUUUAUCAGCACUCUUAGUUGCUUUUAUGCUUGUUCUUUUCAUUGCCCCAAAAAAUUUUCUAUGUUCUCAUCGAUAAAAUCUAUGUAUUAUAAGGAACAUAAACAAUGGUGUAAAAGAGAAUGUACCCCUAUUUCUUAUUCUGUUAUGUUGGUGCUCAAUAUGUUUACACUUGUUUUUGGUGUUUCAGGGAAAAAGAUUGGCAGGGCUACUGAACUUUUAAAGCCAGAAGAGGUGGUAGAGCAAGUGAACAUAAGGACAAUUGCAGCAUCACCCCUAGAAUAUGAUGCAAAGCUUGAAGAUGUGGAGGCUUACUUUGGUCAAAUUGCCAAGGUAUUUGCUGCAUGCAUUGUUCUUUUUUAAUAAUAAACUAAUUUUUCUGGGCAUUAUUUGUUUCUUACUUUUAGAAUCUAUAUUUCGGCAUCCAUUAGUUUAUUUUAUUGGCUUGGGAUCUCCCUUGAGAUUUUGUAUUGCUAGGUGACAGUAUGGAGUUACUUUUUUUGAUGGAUAAAUUAAUUUGAGAUGAAAAUUGUAGCCUUCCUUGAAUGAUUGUCUAUUGUAAAAUCUCCACUAAUGCAAUCCUUAAAUGAACGACUAUGAACAGGGCUAGAUCCCUUUUUUGCUUUAUGUGCACUUGAAUAUUUGAAGGGGAAAAGACAAACAUUUUCUAUUCAACAAACUGAACAGUCUUUCCCCUGAGUUUCUCAAUGUGAAUCAGAUAUUUAACCGGUGUGUGAACCUGAGCAGAAGUGUUGAAAUAUUCUUAUUAUUUGGAGCAUUUGUAUUCAUGGUUUCAGAAAGUUGGGAUUUUAAUGACUCACCCCAAAAGACAGUUGGAAUUUUUUGUUUUCAAACUUGCAUUUGAACCAUCGGGAUGAAUAAAUGUAAUUGUAAAACCCAGCCUAAUCUAUCUCCCAUAUAAAAGAGAAUAGGUGAAGAUCAUGUGAACAUUAUUGCCAACUUUUAUACUGACUUAUUUUCUCUGAAAUUCUAUUUAUGGUACUCUGUGAAUUUAUCCAUAUUUCAGGUUAAUAGUGUUAGGCUGCCCCGUCAUGUUGCAGAGAAAAGGGUAUUUUGUGGUACGGCCCUAAUUCAAUACUCAACUGAGGAAGAUGCUGCGAAGGUUUUGCAGCAAAGCUUGGUUUAUGCUGGUGUUGAAUUGGAACUAAAACCAAAGUAAGUAGUGCUUGAGGCUGCAGGUUGAAAUAAAUGUGAUUCCAAUGCAAUAUGGAUGAAGAAAGCAUACAGUUUUGAAUGGGGAUGGCCAAUUAGUUAGUAUAUUUGAUUUAUCCUUUUUCUUUUUCUAAUAUCUAUGAAGUUCUACAUAGAGUGAAUGAAAGGCUUAUAACAAAAAUAAUGAGAUUUUUCUGGUUAUUUUAUAAUUCAAAAUUACGUACGUGUAUCAAUAGUUACUGUUUUUAAUAUUACAUGCUAGGAAAUAUUCAUAAUUUUUUAAUUUAUGCAACAUCUUUCUGCAACAUCUUUUACUGAUUCUUAUGGUCUCCUAUCAUAGAAUUAAACUGCAGGGAAACUGUCAUAUAUAUCAUCAAGAUUGUUCUUCAUAACCAUUAAUUUGCUUUAUUUCUUGAAAAAUAUUUGUCUAGAUUAACAUUUCUAACUUUUCUUUGUAAUUGCUGAACUUGCAAAUUCAACAGAAGGUCUAAUUUCUGUCGAUGCUUUGGCUCCCUCUUGUAUUGGUGUUCACGUCCAUUUCGAUAAAUUCUCUCAACCCGCCGGAGAAGAGGCUCAAGUAGAUGACUCAAAAAUAGGUAACUUCUUCUUGGAAACAGACCUGCAUCCAGGUAAAAAAAUGAAGCUGAACUUGGCCACAACUACAAAUGGAGCUGUUUUCUUGCCUCAUCAAGUUGCUGAAUCCAUGCCCUUUUCAUCCAACAAGCUACCCGAAAUCUUGAACCGGUUUUCCUGAAAGAAAAAUCCGCAGAAGCCGAAAUAGUAAAGAAGGAGCUAGAGGCCUGUGAGGAGCCUGCCAUGGAAGGAUAAGCCAGGUACUGUNNNNNNNNNNNNNNNNNNNNNNNNNNNNNNNNNNNNNNNNNNNNNNNNNNNNNNNNNNNNNNNNNNNNNNNNNNNNNNNNNNNNNNNNNNNNNNNNNNNNCAUUCACAUUCCUUCCAAGCUUUGAAGUGCUGAAAUGGAUUAGGGACUCUAAUGAUGUUGCACAGUACCUGGCUUCUCCUUCCAUGGCAGGCUCCUCACAGACCUCUAGCUCCUUCUUUAUUAUCUCAGCUUCUGCGGAUUUUUCUUUCAGGGAAAAUCGGUUCAAGAUUUUGGGUAGCUUGUUGGAUGAAAAGGGCAUGGAUUCAGCAACUUGACAGCCAGGAGUAUGAGUUUGGAGUGGGGAUGAAGAAGGUUGCAGACAAAUCAGUGGUGUGCCAUAAGAUGAACUACCCAUAUGCUGUUUUCUACUGCCAUACCUUCACUAAGACACGGACUUACAUGAUUCCAUUGGUGGGUGUUGAUGGAAGCAAAUCUAAAGCCAUGGCAGCUUGUCACAGUGAUACAUCAGCUUGGCACCCACAGCAUGUGGCCUUCCAAGUGCUCAAAAUUAAGCCAGGAACGGUCCCAGUCUGCCAUUUCCUUCACAACAAUGCCAUGGUCUGGAUUCCAAAGUAAGAAUCAGCCUCAAGCCUCAAGCCCAGUUGCAUUAUCAGUUCCAUCUUAAAGCUGUUUGUAGUAUGAAUGGUUAGAAUAAAAAAUUAAAUAAAAAAAAACUUUAUUAAAUAAAUAAACUUUAGUUAUUUUAUUUUUAAUUAUAUUAAUUUAUUAAUUAAAAUAUAGACGCCCGGUUUCAUCAUAUUAAAAUAUAUUGGUAUGAUAUUUUAUUAAUAAGGCCACUAAUUUUAUAAAUUAAAUAUGAUGAACAACAUUUUGAGAAUCAAAGAUGUGCCUCCAUUUGGAAAUUUCACACGAGAUUUUGGGCAUGUCACCUAUUUUAUUCCCAAAGGGUUGACUAAGAAAAACAGUAGAGCAUGUCACCUAAUCACACGAGCUUAGUGAUUUCGGGACCCUCUUCUGACAAUAAAUGAGCCACUAUUUCAUUUAAAAACCCAUAACAAAGUGAUUUUGGCCCGAUCCCCACUUCGGUUCACACAUUGGAACCCUUGGUACAUCCGUUACAAAAUUUGGUACAUCCUUCACAAAAUUUGGUACAUCCUUCAAAAAAUUUAGUACAUCCUUCAUUAAAUUUGGUACAUCCGAUCUGACAGAUUCCGAGGCCCCCAUUUCAACAUGGAUGGUCCAUAAUUACUUUUAGAAACCCAUAACAAAGUGAUUUUGGACCGAUCCCCACUUUGGUUCACACAUUGGAACCCUUGGUACAUCAUUUACAAAAUUUGGUACAUCCUUCACAAAAUUUGGUACAUCCUUUACAAAAUUUAGUACACCCUUCAUUAAAUUUGGUACAUCCGAUCUGACAGAUUCCGAGGCCCCCAUUUCAACAUGGAUAGUCCAUAAUUACUUUUAGAAACCCAUAACAAAGUGAUUUGGGGCCGAUCCCAACUUCGCAACGCAUUUUUAGACCCUUCGUACAUCCUUAACAAACUUUGGUACAUCUGAGUUUAGUGAUUCCGAGGCCCUAUUCUGACCAUGGAUGAGCCACUAUUUCAUUUAAAAACCCAUAACAAAGUGAUUUGGGCCCGAUCCCCACUUCGGUUCACACUUUGGAACCCUUGGUACAUCCUUUAUAAAUUUGGUACAUCCUUAAAAAAAUUUGGUACAUCCUUCAUUAAAUUUGGUACAUCUGAUCUGACAGAUUCCGAGACCCUCAUUUCAAAAUGGAUGGUCCAUAAUUGCUUUUAGAAACCCAUAACAAUGUGAUUUGGGGCCGAUCCCCACUUCGGAACGCAUUUUUAGACCCUUCGUACAUCCUUAACAAAAUUUGGUACAUCCGAGCUUAGUGAUUCCGGGACCCUCUUCUGACCAUGGAUGAGCCACUAUUUCAUUUAAAAACCCAUAACAAAGUGAUUUGGGCCCGAUCCCCAUUUCGGUUCACACUUUGGAACCCUUGGUACAUCCUUUAUAUAUUUGGUACAUCCUUCAAAAAAUUUGGUACAUCCUUCAUUAAAUUUGGUACAUCUGAUCUGACAGAUUCCGAGACCCUCAUUUCAAAAUGGAUGGUCCAUAAUUGCUUUUAGAAACCCAUAACAAUGUGAUUUGGGGCCGAUCCCCACUUCGGAACGCAUUUUUAGACCCUUCGUACAUCCUUAACAAAAUUUGGUACAUCCGAGCUUAGUGAUUGCGGGACCCUAUUCUGACCAUGGAUGAGCCAUUAUUUCAUUUAAAAACCCAUAACAAAGUGAUUUGGGCCCGAUCCCCACUUCGGUUCACACAUUGGAACCCUUGGUACAUCCUUUACAAAAUUUGGUACAUCCUUCACAAAAUUUGGUACAUCCUUCACAAAAUUUGAUACAUCCUUCAUUAAAUUUGGUACAUCCGAUCCGACAGAUUCUGAGGCCCCCAUUUUAACAUGGAUGGUCCAUAAUUACUUUUAGAAACCCAUAACAAAGUGAUUUGGGGCCGAUCCCCAAUUCGGAACGCAUUUUUAGACCCUUGGUACAUCCUUAACAAAAUUUGGUACAUCCGAGCUUAGUGAUUCCGGGACCCUCUUCUGACCAUGGAUGAGCCACUAUUUCAUUUAAAAACCCAUAACAAAGUGAUUUGGGCCCGAUCCCCACUUCGGUUCACACUUUGGAACCCUUGGUACAUCCUUUACAAAAUUUGGUACAUCCUUCACAAAAUUUGGUACAUCCUUCAUUAAAUUUGGUACAUCUGAUCCGACAGAUUCCGAGACCCCCAUUUCAAAAUGGAUGGUCCAUAAUUUCUUUUAGAAGCCCAUAAAAAAGUGAUUUGGGGCCGAUCCCCACUUCGGAACGCAUUUUUAGACCCUUCGUAUAUCCUUAACAAAAUUUGGUACAUCCGAGCUUAGUGAUUCCGGGACCCUCUUCUGACCAUGGAUGAGCCACUAUUUCAUUUAAAAACCCAUAACAAAGUGAUUUGGGCCCGAUCUCCACUUCGGUUCACACAUUGGAAUUACAAAAUUUGGCACAUCCUUCACAGAAUUAGGCACAUCCUUCACAAAAUUAGGUACAUCCUUCAUUAGAUUUGGUACAUCCGAUCCGACAGAUUCUGAGGCCCCCAUUUUAACGGUCCAUAAUUACUUUUAGAAACCCAUACCAAAGUGAUUUNNNNNNNNNNNNNNNNNNNNNNNNNNNNNNNNNNNNNNNNNNNNNNNNNNNNNNNNNNNNNNNNNNNNNNNNNNNNNNNNNNNNNNNNNNNNNNNNNNNNAUUCCGGGACCCUCUUCUGACCAUGGAUGAGCCACUAUUUCAUUUAAAAACCCAUAACAAAGUGAUUUGGGCCCGAUCUCCACUUCGGUUCACACAUUGGAAUUACAAAAUUUGGUACAUCCUUCACAAAAUUUGGUACAUCCUUCACAAAAUUUGGUACAUCCUUCAUUAAAUUUGGUACAUCCGAUCCGAAAGAUUCUGAGGCCCCCAUUUUAACAUGGAUGGUCCAUAAUUACUUUUAGAAACCCAUAACAAAGUGAUUUGGGGCCGAUCCCCAAUUCGGAACGCAUUUUUAGACCCUUGGUACAUCCUUAACAAAAUUUGGUACAUCCGAGCUUAGUGAUUCCAGGACCCUCUUCUGACCAUGGAUGAGCCACUAUUUCAUUUAAAAACCCAUAACAAAGUGAUUUGGGCCCGAUCCCCACUUCGGUUCACACUUUGGAACCCUUGGUACAUCCUUUACAAAAUUUGGUACAUCCUUCACAAAAUUUGGUACAUCCUUCAUUAAAUUUGGUACAUCUGAUCCGACAGAUUCCGAGACCCCCAUUUCAAAAUGGAUGGUCCAUAAUUGCUUUUAGAAGCCCAUAAAAAAGUGAUUUGGGGCCGAUCCCCACUUCGGAACGCAUUUUUAGACCCUUCGUAUAUCCUUAACAAAAUUUGGUACAUCCGAGCUUAGUGAUUCCGGGACCCUCUUCUGACCAUGGAUUAGCCACUAUUUCAUUUAAAAACCCAUAACAAAGUGAUUUGGGCCCGAUCUCCACUUCGGUUCACACAUUGGAAUUACAAAAUUUGGUACAUCCUUCACAAAAUUUGGUACAUCCUUCACAAAAUUUGGUACAUCCUUCAUUAAAUUUGGUACAUCCGAUCCGACAGAUUCUGAGGCCCCCAUUUUAACAUGGAUGGUCCAUAAUUACUUUUAGAAACCCAUAACAAAGUGAUUUGGGGCCGAUCCCCAAUUCGGAACGCAUUUUUAGACCCUUGGUACAUCCUUAACAAAAUUUGGUACAUCCCAGCUUAGUGAUUCCGGGACCCUCUUCUGACCAUGGAUGAGCCACUAUUUCAUUUAAAAACCCAUAACAAAGUGAUUUGGGCCCGAUCCCCACUUCGGUUCACACUUUGGAACCCUUGGUACAUCCUUUACAAAAUUUGGUACAUUCUUCACAAAAUUUGGUACAUCCUUCAUUAAAUUUGGUAUAUCCGAUCCGACAGAUUCCAAGACUCCCAUUUCAACAUGGAUGGUCCAUAAUUGCUUUUAGAAACCCUUAACAAAGUGAUUUAGGGCCGAUCCCCACUUCGCAACGCAUUUUUAGACCCUUCGUACAUCCUUAACAAAAUUUGGUAUAUCCGAGCUUAGUGAUUCCGGGACCCUCUUCUGCCCAUGGAUGAGCCACUAUUUCAUUUGAAAACCCAUAACAAAGUGAUUUGGGCCCGAUCCCCACUUCGGUUCACACUUUGGAACCCUUGGUACAUCCUUUACAAAAUUUGGUAAAGCCUUCACAAAAUUUGGUACAUCCUUCAUUAAAUUUGGUACAUCCGAUCCAACAGAUUCCGAGACCCCCAUUUCAACAUUGAUGGUCCAUAAUUUAUUUUAGAAACCCAUAACAAAGUGAUUGGGAGUCGAUCCUCACUUAGAAAUGCAUUUUCAGACUCUCGGUACAUUCUUCACAAAAGUUGGUACAUUCUUCAUUAAAUUUGGUGCAUCCGAGCCUAGUGAUUUCGGGACCCCCUUUUGACCAUGGGUGAGCCACUAUUUCAUUUAGAAACCCAUAACAAAGUGAUUUGGGGCUGAUCCCCACUUCGGUUCGCACUUUGGAACUCUUGGUACAUCCUUAACAAAAUUUGGUACAUUUUUAAUUAAAUUUGGUACAUCCUUCAUUAAAUAUGGUACAUCGGAUCCGAUAGAUUCCGAGACCCCCAUUUCAACAUGGAUGGACCAUAAUUGCUUUUAGAAACCCAUAACAAAAUGAUUGGGUGUCGAUCCCCACUUCGUGACUCAUUUUUGGACCUUUAGUACAUCUUUCAUUAAAUUUGGUGCAUCGGAGCUUAAUGAUUCUGGGACCUUCUUCUGACCAUGGAUGAGCCACUAUUUCAUUUAAAAACCCAUAACAAAGUGAUUUGGGUCUGAUCCCCACUUCGGUUCACACUUUGGAACCCUUGGUACAUCCUUUACAAAAUUUGGUAAAUCCUUCACAAAAUUUGGUACAUCCUUCAUUAAAUUUGGUACAUCCGAUCCGACAGAUUCCGAGACCACCAUUUCAAUAUGGAUGGUCCAUAAUUUCUUUUAGAAACCCAUAACAAAGUGAUUUGGGACCGAUCCCCACUUCACAACGCAUUUUUGGACCCUUCGUACAUCCUUAACAAAAUUUGGUACAUCCGAGCUUAGUGAUUCCGGGACCCUCUUCUGCCCAUGGAUGAGCCACUAUUUCAUUUAAAAACCCAUAACAAAGUGAUUUGGGCUCGAUCCGCACUUCGGUUCACACUUUGGAACCCUUGGUACAUCGUUAAGAAAAUUUGGUACAUCCUUCACAAAAUUUGGUACAUCCUUCAUUAAAUUUGGUACAUCCGAUCCGACAGAUUCCGAGACCCCAUUUCAACAUGGAUGGUCCAUAAUUUCUUUUAGAAACCCAUAACAAAGUGAUUGGGAGUCGAUCCUCACUUCGAAAUGCAUUUUCGAACCCUCGGUACAUUCUUCAGAAAAUUUGGUACAUCCUUCAUUAAAUUUGGUACAUCCGAGCCUAGUGAUUUAGGGGACCCCCUUUUGACAAUGGAUGUGCCACUAUUUCAUUUAUAAACCCAUAACAAAGUGAUUUGGAGCCGAUCCCCACUUCGGAUCGCACUUUGGAACCCUUGGUACAUCCUUAACAAAAUUUGGUACAUUCUUAAUUAAAUUUGGUACAUCCUUCAUUAAAUUUGGUACAUCUGAUCCGAUAGAUUCCGAGACCCCCAUUUCAACAUGGAUGGUCCAUAUUUGCUUUUGGAAACCCAUAACAAAGUAAUUCGGGGUCCAUCCCCACUUCGUGACUCAUUUUCGGACCCUUAGUACAUCCUUCAUUAAAUUUGGUACAUCCGAGCUUAGUAAUUUCGGAACCCUCUUCUGACCAUGGAUGAGCCACUAUUUCAUUUAAAAACCCAUAACAAAGUGAUUUGGGUCUGAUCCCCACUUCGGUUCACACUUUGGAACCCUUGGUACAUCCUUUACAAUAUUUGGUACAUCCUUCAGAAAAUUUGGUACAUCCUUCACAAAAUUUGGUACAUCCUUCAUUAAAUUUGGUACAUCCGAUCCGAAAGAUUCCGAGGCCCCCAUUUCAACAUGGAUGGUCCAUAAUUACUUUUAGAAACCCAUAAACAAGUGAUUUGGGGCCGAUCCCCAAUUCGGAACGCAUUUUUAGACCCUUCGUACAUUCUUAACAAAAUUUGGUACAUACGAGCUUAGUGAUUCCGGGACCCUCUUCUGACCAUGGAUGAGCCACUAUUUCAUUUUAAAACCCAUAACAAAGUGAUUUGUCCCCGAUCCCCACUUCGAAUCACACUUUGGAACCCUUGGUACAUCAUUUACAAAAUUUGGUACAUCAUUCACAAAAUUUGGUACACCCUUCAUUAAAUUUGGUAUAUCCAAUCCGAUAGAUUCCGAGAGCCCCAUUUCAACAUGUAUGGUCCAUAAUUGCUUUUAGAAACCCAUAACAAACUAAUUUGGGGCCGAUCCCCACUUAAGAAACCAUUUGUAGACCCUUCGUACAUCCAUAACAAAAUUUGGUACAUCCGAGCUUAGUGAUUCCAGGACCCUCUUCUGACCAUGGAUGAGCCACUAUUUCAUUUAAAAACCCAUAAUAAAGUGAUUUGGGCCCGAUCCCCACUUCGAUUAACACUUUGGAACCCGUGGUACAUCCUUAACAAAAUUUGGUACAUCCUUCACAAAAUUUGGUACAUCCUUCAUUAAAUUUGGUACAUCCGAUCCAACAGAUUCCGAGACCCCCAUUUCAACAUGGAUGGUCCAUAAUUUCUUUUAGAAACCCAUAACAAAGUGAUUGGGAGUCGAUCCUCACUUCGAAAUGCAUUUUUGGAUCCUCGGUACAUUCUUCACAAAAUUUGGUACAUCCUUCAUUAAAUUUGGUACAUCCGAGCCUAGUGAUUUCGGGACACCCUUUUGACCAUGGGUGAGCCACUAUUUCAUUUAGAAACCCAUAACAAAGUGAUUUGGGGCCGAUCCCCACUUUGGAUCGCACUUUGGAACCCUUGGUAGAUCCUUAACAAAAUUUGGUACAUUCUUAAUUAAAUUUGGUACAUCCUUCAUUAAAUAUGGUACAUCUGAUCCGAUAGAUUCCGAGACCCCCAUUUCAACAUGGAUGGUCCAUAAUUUCUUUUAGAAACCCAUAACAAAGUGAUUGGGUGUCGAUCCCCACUUCGUGACUCAUUUUUGGACCCUUAGUACAUCUUUAAUUAAAUUUCGUACAUCCGAGCUUAGUGAUUCCGGGACCUUCUUCUGACCAUGGAUGAGCCACUAUAUCAUUUAAAAACCUAUAACAAAGUGAUUUGGGCCCGAUCCCCACUUCGGUUCACACUUUAGAACCCUUGGCACAUCCUUUACAAAAUUUGGUACAUCCUUCAGAAAAUUUGGUACAUUCUUCAUUAAAUUUGGUACAUCCGAUCCGACAGAUUCCGAGACCCCCAUUUCAACAUGGAUGGUCCAUAAUUGCUUUUAGAAACCCAUAACAAAGUGAUUUGGGCCCGAUCCCCACUUCGGUUCACACUUUGGAACCCUUGGUACAUCCUUUACAAAAUUUGGUACAUCCUUCACAAAAUUUGGUACAUCCUUCAUUAAAUUUGGUACAUCCGAUACGACAAAUUGCGAGACCCCCAUUUCAACAUGGAUGGUCCAUAAUUGCUUUUAGAAACCCAUUACAAAGUGAUUAUGGGCCGAUCCCCACUUCGGAACGCAUUUUUAGACCCUUCGUACAUCUUUAACAAAAUUUGGUACAUCCCAGCUUAGUGAUUCCGGGACCCUCUUCUGACCAUGGAUGAGCCACUAUUUCAUUUAAAAACCCAUAACAAAGUGAUUUGGGCCCGAUCCUUACUUCGGUUCACACUUUGGAACCCUUGGUACAUCCUUUACAAAAUUUGGUACAUCCUUCACAAAAUUUGGUACAUCCUUCAUUAAAUUUGGUACAUCCGAUCCAACAGAUUCCGAGACCCCCAUUUCAACAUGGAUGGUCCAUAAUUUAUUUUAGAAACCCAUAACAAAGUGAUUGGGAGUCGAUCCUCACUUAGAAAUGCAUUUUCAGACUCUCGGUACAUUCUUCACAAAAGUUGGUACAUUCUUCAUUAAAUUUGGUGCAUCCGAGCCUAGUGAUUUCGGGACCCCCUUUUGACCAUGGGUGAGCCACUAUUUCAUUUAGAAACCCAUAACAAAGUGAUUUGGGGCUGAUCCCCACUUCGGUUCGCACUUUGGAACUCUUGGUACAUCCUUAACAAAAUUUGGUACAUUUUUAAUUAAAUUUGGUACAUCCUUCAUUAAAUAUGGUACAUCGGAUCCGAUAGAUUCCGAGACCCCCAUUUCAACAUGGAUGGACCAUAAUUGCUUUUAGAAACCCAUAACAAAAUGAUUGGGUGUCGAUCCCCACUUCGUGACUCAUUUUUGGACCUUUAGUACAUCUUUCAUUAAAUUUGGUGCAUCGGAGCUUAAUGAUUCUGGGACCUUCUUCUGACCAUGGAUGAGCCACUAUUUCAUUUAAAAACCCAUAACAAAGUGAUUUGGGUCUGAUCCCCACUUCGGUUCACACUUUGGAACCCUUGGUACAUCCUUUACAAAAUUUGGUAUAUGCUUCACAAAAUUUGGUACAUCCUUCAUUAAAUUUGGUACAUCCGAUCCGACAGAUUCCGAGACCCCCAUUUCAACAUGGAUGGUCCAUAAUUGCAUUUAGAAACCCAUAACAAAGUGAUUUGGGGACGAUCCUCACUUCGGAACGCAUUUUUAGACCUUUCGUACAUCCUUAAUAAAAUUUGGUACAUCCGAGAUUAGUGAUUCCGAGACCCUCUUCUGACCAUGGAUGAGCCACUAUUUCAUUUAAAACCCCAUAAUAAAGUGAUUUGGGACCGAUCCCCACUUUGGAACCCUUGGUACAUCCUUAACAACAUUUGGUACACACUUCACAAAAUUUGGUACAUCCUUAAUUAAAUUUGGUACAUCCGAUCCAACAGAUUCCGAGACCCCCAUUUCAACAUGGAUGGUCCAUAAUUUCUUUUAGAAACCCAUAACAAAGUGAUUGGGAGUCGAUCCUCACUUCGAAAUGCAUUUUCGGACCCUCGGUACAUUCUUCACAACAUUUGGUACAUCCUUCAUUAAAUUUGGUACAUCCGAGCCUAGUGAUUUCGGGACCCCCUUUUGACCAUGGGCGAGCCACUAUUUCAUUUAGAAACCCAUAACAAAGUUAUUUGGGGCCAAUCCCCACUUUGGUUCGCAUUUUGGAACCCUUGGUACAUCCAUAACAAAAUUUGGUACAUUCUUAAUUAAAUUUGGUACAUCCUUCAUUAAAUUUGGUACAUCCGAUCCAACAGAUUUUGAGACCCCCAUUUCAACAUGGAUGGUCCAUCAUUGCUUUUAGAAACCCAUAACAAAGUUAUGUGGGCCCGAUCCCCACUUCGGAUCGCACUUUGGAACCAUUGGUACAUCCUUCACAAAAUUUGGUACAUCCUUAAUUAAAUUUGGUACAUCCUUCUUUAAAUUUGGUACAUGCGAUCCGAUGUAUUCCGACACGCCCAUUUCAACAUGGAUGGUCCAUAAUUGCUUUUAGAAACCCAUAACAAAGUGAUUUGGGGCUGAUCCCCACUUCUGAACGCAUUUUUAGACCCUUGGUACGUCCUUAACAACAUUUGGUACAUCCGAGCUUAGUGAUUCCGGGACCCUCUUCUGACCAUGGAUGAGCCACUAUUUGAUUUAAAAACCCAUAACAAAGUGAUUUGGGUCGGAUCCCCACUUCGGUUUACACUUUGGAACCAUUGGUACAUCAUUUAAAAAAUUUGGUACAUCAUUCACAAAAUUUGGUACAUCCUUCAUUAAAUUUGGUACAUCCGAUCCGACAGAUUCUGAGACCCCACUUUCAACAUGGAUGGUCCAUAAUUGCUUUUAGAAACCCAUAACAAAGUGAUUUAGGGCCGAUCCCCACUUCGGAACGCAUUUUUCGACCCUUUGUACAUCCUUAAUAAAAUUUGGUACAUCCGAGCUUAGUGAUUCGGGGACCCUCUUCUGACCAUGGAUGAACCACUAUUUCAUUUAAAAACCCAUAAUAAAGUGAUUAUGGCCCGAUCCCCACUUCGGUUCACACUUUGGAACCCUUGGUACAUCCUUAACAAAAUUUGGUACAUCCUUGACAAAAUUUGGUACAUCCUUCAUUAAAUUUGGUACAUCCGAUCCAACAGAUUCCGAGACCCCCAUUUCAACAUGGAUGGUCCAUAAUUUCUUUUAGAAACCCAUAACAAAGUGAUUGGGAGUCGAUCCUCACUUCGAAAUGCAUUUUCGGACCCUCGGUACAUUCUUCACAAAAUUUGGUACAUCCUUCAUUAAAUUUGGUACAUCCGAGCCUAGUGAUUUCGGGACACCCUUUUGACCAUGGGUGAGCCACUAUUUCAUUUAGAAACCCAUAACAAAGUGAUUUGGGGCUGAUCCCCACUUUGGAACGCACUUUUAAACCCUUGGUACAUCCUUAACAAAAUUUGGUACAUNNNNNNNNNNNNNNNNNNNNNNNNNNNNNNNNNNNNNNNNNNNNNNNNNNNNNNNNNNNNNNNNNNNNNNNNNNNNNNNNNNNNNNNNNNNNNNNNNNNNACAAAAUUUGGUACAUCCUUCACAAAAUUUGGUACAUCCAUCAUUAAAUUUGGUACAUCCGAUCCGACAGAUUCUGAGACCCCCAUUUCAACAUGGAUGGUCCAUAAUUGCUUUUAGAAACCCAUUACAGAGUGAUUUGGGGCCGAUCCCCACUUCGGAACGCAUUUUUAGACCCUUCGUACAUCUUUAACAAAAUUUGGUACAUCCCAGGUUAGUAAUUCCGGGACCCUCUUCUGACCAUGGAUGAGCCACUAUUUCAUUUAAAAACCCAUAACAAAGUGAUUUGGGCCCGAUCCUCACUUUGGUUCACACUUUGGAACCCUUGGUACAUCCUUUACAAAAUUUGGUACAUCCUUCAUAAAAUUUGGUACAUCCUUCAUUAAAUUUGGGACAUCCGAUCCGACAGAUUCUGAGACCCCCAUUUCAACAUGGAUGGUCCAUAAUUGCUUUUAGAAACCCAUAACAAAGUGAUUUGGGGCCGAUCCCCACUUCGGAACGCAUUUUUAGACCCUUCGUACAUCCUUAAUAAAAUUUGGUGCAUUCGAGCUUAGUGAUUCCGGGACCCUCUUCUGACCAUGGAUGAGCCACUAUUUCAUUUAAAAACCUAUAAUAAAGUGAUUUGGACCCGAUCCCCACUUCGGUUCACACUUUGGAACCCUUGGUACAUCCUUAACAAAAUUUCCUACAUCCUUCCCAAAAUUUGGUACAUCCUUCAUUAAAUUUGGUACAUCCGAUCCAACAGAUUCCGAGACCCCCAUUUCAACAUGGAUGAUUUAUAAUUUAUUUUAGAAACCCAUAACAAAGUGAUUGGGAGUCGAUCCUCACUUCGAAAUGCAUUUUCAGACCCUCGGUACAUUCUUCACAAAAUUUGGUACAUUCUUCAUUAAAUUUGGUGCAUCCGAGCCUAGUGAUUUCGGGACCCCCUUUUGACCAUGGGUGAGCCACUAUUUCAUUAAGAAACCCAUAACAAAGUGAUUUGGGGCUGAUCCCCACUUCGGUUCGCACUUUGGAACCCUUGGUACAUCCUUAACAAAAUUUGGUACAUUCUUAAUUAAAUUUGGUACAUCCUUCAUUAAAUAUGGUACAUCUGAUCCGAUAGAUUCCGAGACCCCCAUUUCAACAUGGAUGGUCCAUAAUUGCUUUUAGAAACCCAUAACAAAGUGAUUGGGUGUCGAUCCCCACUUCGUGACUCAUUUUUGGACCCUUAGUACAUCUUUCAUUAAAUUUGGUACAUCCGAGCUUAGUGAUUCCGGGACCUUCUUCUGACCAUGGAUGAGCCAUUAUUUCAUUUAAAAACCCAUAACAAAGUGAUUUGGGCCUGAUCCCCACUUCGGUUCACACUUUGGUACCCUUGGUACAUCCUUUACAAAAUUUGGUACAUGCUUCACAAAAUUUGGUACAUCCUUCAUUAAAUUUGGUACAUCCGAUCCGACAGAUUCCGAGACCCCCAUUUCAACAUGGAUGGUCCAUAAUUGCAUUUAGAAACCCAUAACAAAGUGAUUUGGGGCCGAUCCUCACUUCGGAACGCAUUUUUAGACCCUUCGUACAUCCUUAAUAAAAUUUGGUACAUCUGAGCUUAGUGAUUCCGGGACCCUCUUCUGACCAUGGAUGAGCCACUAUUUCAUUUGAAAACCAAUAACAAAGUGAUUUGGGCCCGAUCCCCACUUUGAUUCACACUUUGGAACCUUUGGUACAUCGUUAACAAAAUUUGGUACAUCUUUCACAAAAUUUGGUACAUCCUUCAUUAAAUUUGGUACAUCCGAUCCGACAGAUUCCGAGACCCCCAUUUCAACAUGGAUGAUCCAUAAUUUCUUUUAGAAACCCAUAACAAAGUGAUUGGGAGUCAAUCCUCACUUCGAAAUGCAUUUUCGGACACUCGGUACAUUCUUCACAAAAUUUGGUACAUCCUUCAUUAAAUUUGGUACAUCCGAGCCUAGUGAUUUUAGGACCCCCUUUUGACGAUGGAUGAGCCACUAUUUCAUUUAUAAACCCAUAACAAAGUGAUUUGGGGCCGAUCCCGACUUCGGAUCGCACUUUGGAACCCUUGGUACAUCCUUAACAAAAUUUGGUACAUUCUUAAUUAAAUUUGGUACAUCCUUCAUUAAAUUUAGUACAUCCGAUCCGAUAGAUUCCGAGACCCCCAUUUCAACAUGGAUGGUCCAUAAUUGCUUUUAGAAACCCAUAACAAAGUGAUUGGGGGUCGAUCCCGACUUCGUGACUCAUUUUCGGACCCUUAGUACAUCCUUCAUUAAAUUUGGUAUAUCCGAGUUUAGUGAUUCCGGGACCCUCUUCUGACCAUGGAUGAGCCACUAUUUCAUUUAAAAACCCAUAACAAAGUGAUUUGGGCCCGAUCCCACUUCGGUUCACACUUUGGAACCCUUGGUACAUCCUUUACAAAAUUUGGUACAUCCUUCACAAAAUUUGGUACAUCCUUUAUUAAAUUUGGUACAUCUGAUCCGACAGAUUCCGAGACCCCCAUUUCAACAUGGAUGGUCCAUAAUUGCUUUUAGAAACCCAUAACAAAGUGAUUUGGGGCCGAUCCCCACUUCGGAACGCAUUUUUAGAUCCUUGGUACAUCCUUAAUAAAAUUUGGUACAUUCGAGCUUAGUGAUUCCGAGACCCUCUUCUGACCAUGGAUGAGCCACUAUUUCAUUUAAAAACCCAUAACAAAGUGAUAUGGGCCCGAUCCUUACUUCGGUUCACACUUUGGAACCCUUGGUACAUCCUUAACAAAAUUUGGUACAUCCUUCACAAAAUUUAGUACAUCCGAUCCGAUAGAUUCCGAGACCAGUAUUUCAACAUGGAUGGUCCAUGAUUUCUUUAAGAAACCCAUAACAAAGUGAUUGGGAGUCGAUCCUCACUUCGAAACGUAUUUUCGGACCCUCGGUACAUUCUUCACAAAAUUUGGUACAUCCUUCAUUAAAUUUGGUACAUCCGAGCCUAGUGAUUUUGGGACGCCCUUUUGACCAUGGAUGAGCCACUAUUUAAUUUAGAAACCCAUAACAAAGUGAUAUGGGGCCGAUCCCUACUUCGGAUCGCACUUUGGAACCAUUGGUACAUCCUUCACAAAAUUUGGUACAUCCUUAAUUAAAUUUGAUACAUCCUUCAUUAAAUUUGGUACAUCUGAUCCGAUGUAUUCCGAGACCCCCAUUUCAACAUGGACGGUCCAUAAUUGCUUUUAGAAACCCAUAACAAAGUGAUUUGGGGCCGAUCCCCACUUCGGAACUCAUUUUUAGACCCUUGGUACAUCCUUAACAACAUUUGGUACAUCCGAGCUUAGUGAUUCCGGGACCCUCUUCUGACCAUGGAUGAGCCACUAUUUCAUUUAAAAACCCAUAACAAAGUGAUUUGGGCCCGAUCCCCACUUCGGUUCACACUUUGGAACCCUUGUACAUCCUUAAACAUUUUAUAGAAUUAUUAUCAAAUACAAUAUGAGAAUUAUUAUUAAAAACAUUUUUGACUUUUUUAAUACUUGAAAGAUAAAAAUUUUGAAAUAUUAAAAGUACUCCUUAAAGUCACAACCAAAUGGAUCUUUUGAAUAUAUUAAACAAUGAUUUUAAAAAACUCUUUUAACCUUAAAAACAUUUUAAAACAAAAUUAAGUGUUUGAAAAAUUUUAUCAAAUAUUUUUAAAAAUCUUAAAAAUUACUUAUAAUAUGAAAAAAUUAGAUUUUUUUUAAGAAACCUUUAUUAUUAAUUUCUCAUCCAUUUUUUUUGUUUUUGUUUUUGACAAGAAAUCAUUUCUAAGUACGGGGAUUCCCACACAUUUUCACAAUAUUUGAAUAAGGGAUUGGCAGUUAGCGUGGGUCCUAUAGUUGAUUGCUAUUUUAAGAUCGGCCCAUUAUCUUCCUCAAUUACUCCAUUUUAUAUUUUUCUAUUUUUGAAAGAAUCUUUACAGAUCUUCAAUAAUUAAUGAGAAGUACUAUCUUCCUCAUCCCAUUCCUCCCCCUCUCACUCUCUUUACGUCUUUAAAGUAAGUGGUAGGGUUGGCUUUUUUGAGUUAGAGUUGGUACAAUAAAAAGGGAAAUGGAAUUAUUGCCUUUUCAUCCAGAUGAGCAGCCACAAUCAUUUACUUCAAAAGAAUCAAAACAUCUCCCUUUUGCAGUGAAAGACAUGUGAAAUUCAUUGAGUUUGAAUUUCAAUAAAUUUGAAUUGAAUUUGAAUUUGAAUUUACCAAUUCAAGGUAAUGGGGCAGUCGUCAAAAGUGGAUUUUAAGACAAUAAGUUUGAAGAAGUUUAUGUUUGGGUAUCAAAAAAUUAAACCAAAAAUGGAAGGGAAGGAAAAAAAAAUAAUUUAAAAUUAAUAAAUUAUAUUUAUAUAUUUUUUUAAAAAGUAUUCUACUUAUUUUCUUUUAUUACAUAAAAAUAAAAAAUAAUUUAUAAAUUUAUAAAUUUUUAAUUAGUAAAAUGAUGCCUAUAAUUGCAAAACAACAUUGAUUAUAUUGUUACAAAUUUUGUAUUCAAAAUAAAAUUGGAUGUCAUUCAUGAGUUUGGUAGUGGUUUUAAAAUUUUUUUUUUUUAUAUUUAUAACAUAUGAAGAUUUUUAUUUUUUAAAUAUUCAAAAUAUUAAAAAUAUUUCAUAAAAUUAUUAUCAAACGGAUAGUGGUUGUGAAAAACGUUUUUAUCUUUUGUAAUAUUUAAAAGAUAAAUUUUUUGAAAUGUUAAAAAUAUUAAAAGUAUUUCGUACAAUCACUAUUAAACGAGUUAUUAGAGUGUGUUUGAGAGCCCAUUUGAUAGUAAUUUUAUGAAGCGCUUCUAACCCUUUUAACACUUGAAAUUUUUUAUCAUUCAAGUGUUAUAAAUACUAUAAACAUUUUAUAGAAUUAUUAUCAAAUACAAUAUGAGAAUUAUUAUUAAAAACAUUUUUGGUUUUUUUAAUACUUGAAAGAUAAAAAUUUUGAAAUAUUAAAAGCACUCCUUAAAAUCACAACCAAAUGGAUCUUUAGAAUAUAUUAAACAAUGAUUUUAAAAAACACUUUUAACCUUAAAAACAUUUUAAAACAAAAUUAAGUGUUUGAAAAAUUUUAUCAAAUAUUUUUAAAAAUCUUAAAAAUUACUUAUAAUAUUUUAUCAAUUAUUUUCUUAAUACUUUUUUCUUCUUUAUGGUAUUAAAUAUGAUCAUAAGAAAUAAAUUAUCAGUGCCGCCGACUGCAGAUAAUCUUCUCAAUUUUCUUAAAGCUAUGUUUAAAAAAUUGUAGAAGGAAAGAGUAAGCGAAAAAAAUAAAAUAAAAUUUAAAUUAAUAAAUUAUUUUAUAUGUGUCUUUAAAUUAAAUUAAUUUAUUUUUAUUUAUUAUAUAAGCAUUAAAUAAUUUUAAAAUAGAUAGUUUUUUUUAAUUAAUUUUAAUUAUAUUUGAUUUUUUUUUAUAAUGAAAUGAAAACCCUUUCUUUUAGUAUUUGUUUUUUUUCUUUAGUAUUUUUUAGAAACUAAAUAUAGCCUUAGGUUUUUUUAUUUAUUUAUUAAGUUUAUUUUUUUUUUAUUAACUAAAUUGAGCUCUUAAUUAAUAAUGAAAGCAUUUUCUUAAUAAUGAGCUCUUAAUAAUACCAAUAAAAAAAUUUCAUCCAAUUUAAAGUUGAAGGUAAUAUCUCGAAUGGUCAAAGUAAUACAUGUAUCGUUGAAAUAUAGUAUUUAUAUAUUCAAAAUUAAUACCUCAAUUGAAAAGUAUUCAAAAUCUUAAUUAUUUUCUAAAAAAUGUAUUAAAUUUAAAUUUUUUAAAAUUGGGUUUUUAUUUUCUGAUUUGUGCAAGAGCACACACUUUUCAUCUUUUUUUAUUUAUAUAUUUAUUUAUUAUUUUUUAUUUUAACUGUUGAAUAAGACUUAACAAGAGUGGAUGAAUGUCUAUCAGAUUCAGAUAAGGAUGAUGGCACAAGCCGACUAAAACGAAAGAGUUAAGCAUGUGAGUGCCACCAGGCCUGCAAGGAAUGGUAGGUCCCAAAAUAUCCAAGAAAUCUCUAUAUAUAGAAACCAAUACACUUCACGUCUUUCCAUGCGACUCGCAAGCUUCUUGUCUCAGUUGCAAACAGGUACAAAAAUGAUGCUGCAGUUGCCACAAACCACAAAUGAAGCUAUGUUAAAUAUUUAAAAUAUUGCAGUUCCAAAUGGGGUGUUCGGGAUAAAAUAUUUUAAUGUGAGAUCGAAUAACCUAAAAGAAAGGAUGUUGCCACUGAGUCUAGAGAAGUGAUCCUUCACAGCUUUGGGCAUGGGAGUAUGAGGCAAAACCAACUUCCAGUAACCCUCAUAAGGUAGAGAAGCAUGGCUUACUACCACCACCACCACCACCACUGAGUCAACUUGACGAGUGUUCUCACUCCAUCCUCUUCCCAUUCUGGCUUUUCUUUCGGUAAGUCCACAUCUUUUUCCUCUUCAUUUUUGUUAUGAAUAUUGUCAAUCAAAUAUUCUUUCAGUUGUGUUAUUGUUAUUAAUGCAACUUAAUUGCAGGUGGAGGUGGUAGAAAGCCAUGCUUCUCUACCUUCUGAAGGUUACUGGAAGUUGGUUUUGUCUAAUACUCCCAUGCCCAAAGNNNNNNNNNNNNNNNNNNNNNNNNNNNNNNNNNNNNNNNNNNNNNNNNNNNNNNNNNNNNNNNNNNNNNNNNNNNNNNNNNNNNNNNNNNNNNNNNNNNNCAAUCAAAUAAUGUUCAGAUAUGUUAUUGUUAUUAAUGCAACAUAAUUGCAGGAGGUGGUGGUAGUAAGCCAUGCUUCUCUACCUUCUGAAGGUUACUGGAAGUUGGUUUUGUCUCAUACUCCCAUGCCCAAAGCUGUGAAGGAUCACUUGCAGCCUGGUUUGUUUCAAUACAUCUCUAGACUCAGUGGCAACAUCCUUUCUUUUAGGUUAUUCAAUCUCACAUUAAGCUCAUAAUUUUUCUUUGUCAUUGCUGAAUUUGCAAAUUCAAGGCGUAACUUCUUUCAAUGCUUCUGCUGCCAGAUGUUUUGGGAUUCACAAUCAGUUCAACAAAAUCCCUCAACCAUUCCAUGCAAAGCAGGCUCAAGAUGGCUUAAAUAUAGGUAACUUCUUCUUGCAAACAGAUCUGCACCCAGGUACAAAAAUGAUGCUGCAGUUGCCACAAAGUACAAAUGAAGGUAUGUUCUUGCCUUGUCAAGUUGCUGACUCCAUAUCCUUUUCAUCUAAGAAGUUACCCAAAAUUUUGAACCGGCUUUCAGUGAAGGAAAAAUCUGCAGAAGCUGAGCUGAUGAAGAAGGAGAUAGAAGAGCUAGUGUGAGGAGGCUGCCAUGGAUGGAGAAUCUAGGUUCUGUGCAACAUCAUUAGAGUCCCUAAUCGAUUUCAGCACUUCAAAGCUCGGAAGAAAUGUGAAUGUGCUGACGAAUGAGGUCAAAACGGGAAGCCAAGAGUAUGAAUUUGGAGUGGGAAUGAAGAAGGUUGCAGACAAAUCAGUGGUGUGCCAUAAGAUGAACUACCCAUAUGCUGUUUUCUAUUGCCAUACCUUCACUAAGACACGAACUUACAUGAUUCCAUUGGUGGGUGCUGAUGGAAGCAAAGCUAAAGCCAUGGCAGCUUGUCACAGUGAUACAUCAGCUUGGCACCCACAGCAUGUGGCUUUCCAAGUGCUCAAAAUUAAGCCAGGAACGGUCGCAGUCUAUCAUUUCCUUCACAACAAUGCCAUGGUCUGGAUUCCAAAGUAAGAAUCAGCCUCAAGCCUCAAGCCCAGUUGCAUUAUCAGUUCCAUCUUAAAGCUGUUUGUAGUAUGAAUGGUUCGAAUAAAUGCAGGUUCGAGGAUUAAUGUGUGUAGUGUGCAAUUGAUGCUAUGUAUUCAUCAAUGUUUCCAGGUUGAUUAAUUAAGGAGUAUUAUGGUAUAUAUAUAUAUAUAUGUUGUGUGCAAUAGUCCUCAGCAAAGCAAUUAGCCAAUAUUUUUUUUUUAUAUUAAUUCCAAUCAUAUGAAAUAUUGGAAAUAACCUUCACUGUUUCAUAUAUGGCCGGAGAAAGAAUUGAAUAAGAUUAAUGUUGUUGUGCCCUGAAGCCAAACAAUACAUGUGUAAUAUGGGCCAUAAAUUUAAAAAUACACAAAUUUAUAAUUAAUUUUAAUAAUAUGUGAUAAACCCAUAUUCUUUAAUAUUUUUUUUAGAAUCAAACAUAACUUAAAUGAUUAUUACUACACCUACACAAGUGAGUGAAAAAACUCUUACAGACAAAACUAAAUACAGAGAAACAGUUUGGAGAUAAGGUUGCCAAUUGCCAACUUGCCAUCAAAGCCAUUGCAUCUUCUUUUAUUACAACAAAAAUAGAAAAACGUGACAUGUUUGUAGGAUGAGUCAUUAUCAAGGGUUUCCUCGUGACAAGAAAACAAAAGAGACUAAAAAACAAAACAAAAAAGCUUUGCUUCUGUGGCACUAUUUCAGUACCGAGUUCACGGGACCAUGUGCAGAGACUGAGCAAUCCUUCAAUUGCUCUCCAACUCCAACACCACCCAUCUGAGAUAAACCCCGGGAAUUUUCCGUAUGAGUUUCUCCAAAUUGGCCUGAUAAAAGGGCAUUUUCAUUUUCAUCUUUAGAAGGCAAAUUAAUCUCCAAUGUCAAAUUUCUUUUAACUGGGCCUUUUCCUGCUGAUGAACCACGAGCAGUGGAAUUAUCAUCCGGAGAAGUUACCAAAUAGUUGUCUAAGGUGCCCUUGCUACUGGGAGAACCAUCGACUGCUCUUUUUGAAUCUUUUUCGAUUCUUCCAGUCUUCAAACCAGGAGAUAGCAGUUUCCUUUUCUUUGAAGAAAAAAACUGCAUACAGAAACCAAUUACAGGCCAACAACGAAUGCAAAUUACUUCAAAUUUGAACAAGAAAGGCGAAAAUCUCUGUAACCCUACCACAUGAAAAUUUUCAUAAAAUUGCCUCAUCAAAAAUAGAAGAUUCGUUGCAUGUUUUACCAAGAACAAUGCAACAAAGAUGAAAUUUUGAAGAGAAAAUGAAUGCCGAAAGAGAUCUAUGGUUUUGGGAGAGAGUAUUGAUGAGAAAAAAAUUACCUGAUCGAUGCGAAUCCGAGGCCAUGAUAGAAGCGAAGUUUCAGGCGAUCUACGGAACCCUAGUUUUUGGCCCCGCACAUACAAGCUCGCAAAAGGAAGUCACUCAAGAGGUUUGAAUUUUCCGGAAUGACCGCCAACAAGUGCCAUGUGCACAGGAAAGGCAGAUGACAAUGGACCCAAACCCGGCCCAUUAAUCCCUGGGGCUCGGGCUGGCCCAAAUCUUUAGACGGCUGUAUUUUCCUUUACGAUUGAAAAAUACGACUAAUUCAAGACGUAACAAUAUAAAGGAAAACCUACAUAAAAAUCACCUUUGCAGGCACAGAGUAUUGGCCCAAAAGAAUCUAUUGCCGACCCAAUUCUUAGAUUAGCAAGCUGAAUUUCAUGUGAGUUUAAUUAACCUAAUUGGAGUUGGUCUAAUCUAAUCCGCAAUCUUACCUUGUUAUGAAUCAAAAUAUUAUAGGCAAGCCAACUAGGUAUAUCGUUAUCAAUCUUAAGACUACGUAUAUUUAGGGUUUAGAGUUUAUGAUUUAUAGUUUAUGGUUCACAAUAGACAAUUCAUGGUUAAUAAGUUAAUAACUAAUAGCAUGAUAAUUUUGAGAUUUAUGGUAAUAUAGUUUAGUGUGUUUUCUAGAUAUCUUGUAAUCAUCAUGUUCCAUUGUUGACAACCUUUCAUUGUUAACAACACAAUAUCUUUUUCAUCAAACUUUUUUGUUAGUAUAGGAACUCUAGGGUCAAGUUGAUUAUGGACAAGCUUAGUAACUCCUUGUCUAAUUGGUUGCAAUCACACGGACCACAUAGCUUUUUUUUAUAAGAAUCCUACUCACAAAGAGUAGUGCAAUGUCCAACUACCCUUGGCAAUGAAGUUAGUGAGGGUUAGAUGGAAAAAAAAAGGGAUGAUUAGAAAAGGAUUGGCUCUAGUAUUCCCUUUCUCCUAGGAAAUAAAGUGGAUGAGUUCAAGGUGGUUUUAUAGAUAGAAAUGAACAGGCUACUUAAUACUGUGGUUGAAGAUCUUUAUGUAGGAUAAUCUAAUCAUAGUUGUUCAGUUAUCUUUAUUUGGACCAUUAUGGUUUUUCAAGUGGCAUGUAAAUCUCUAUGCAAAGGGCACCAUUGGUUACUUAAAACUGGUAUGAUAUAUUAUGAUAGAAUCUUUAAAAGCAUGCCAUGAUAUAACAAAUGUAAAGUUUAUUAUUUAUUUAAUAAUAUCUCAAUUGAACUUUUUUAUAUCUUUGUUUUAUGCAUUAUACUUUAUGAGUAUCCUGACUUGCAUCUCUUUUAUGAGUAUCCUGACUUGCAUCUCUUGUAUCGUACAUAACUUAGGUGGAUUGGGAGUUGUAUAAAAAAAAUCCAAGUCAUGGGUUCCUUGCAAGUUGAUGAUUUGUUUACAAUUAAUUUGUGAACUUAGGCAAUCUAUUUGAGAUUGUAAUGCAUUACCUCUUAGUUGGAGAAAUAACUAGUCUUGGACAUCGAGAUAAGACUCUCAUGAUAAGUGCACUACUGUGUGCAGUUACACAUUAGACGAAAUCUACAGUGAAUCAUGAUGUAAGUUCACAGAAGUAUGAGAUAAUCAUGACUUCACCAAAUUGUUAUGAUACAUUGUCUCUUAACCUUAAGAGAAUAUUGAGUUUUUGCAUUCGUAGUGGCUUUGACCAACUAUUAAGAUCCUAAAGUGAUCAUAUAUUCCUUAUGAAUUGGGUUACUGUUGAUGAAAGCCAACAUCAACAAGUAUUAUUAAUAGAGGUACCAUGAUAUCUCAUGGACUUUGAGACAGUGUGUCCCCUUAGGUAGUUCUAAGAAAGUGUAUUUAGGUAAACUAUAAUCAUAGUAGUUUUUUAAGUAGAAUUUGAGAUAAACUCUUAGUGAGCUAGGACAUGUCAAUUGAUUACACAAUAGGAAAAUUUAUAACUCAAGAAUGGUAGAGGUGAUUUUGAGAGGCUAAUAGUUUUUACCUUACUAGAUUAUGAAUACUAAUUCAUGAGAAAACUAUGUAUAGUGGAGCAGGUUACGGAUAUGACUUAGUGUCUUGUUGUAAUAUACAUAGGACAUUGAAGUACAAUUGACUUUUUAUAGCGGGAUGUUGAGUCAUCUUCAAAAUUUGAUUAUGAGGGAGCUAGUAUUGUCCUAUAAGUCCCAUCGAUCCUUAUUUAAGCUCAUAUACCUCAAUGACUAUAUUUAUAAUGAUUGGAUUGAUUCUUGGUUCACUUAUAUACAUAAGGGUAUUUUGAUAACUAUGUAAGGUUAUAUAAGAAUAAGUGAAAGACAUUUCUAAAUUGUGACGAAAGGCUUCCCAUGUUUAGGAAUGAAUCUAUUGCAUUUGAAGAUUGAGAUAUUGUGGGAUAUUGAGUUGGAAAGAUGGACGAAUCAAGAAUUUGUAAUCAAUUUUACUUCAUAAAUUGAGAAUGACAUAUUAAUUCUCACUUGCCGUGUGUUGAAAUUAGUUUUAAAUAGCAUAUAAAGGUAAUUUAUUGUAUUUAAAUUUAUUUUUCAUAUUUUUUUCUUCUUUAUUUUUUUUAUUUGUAUUUUGUCUAAUUUUUUAAAUCAAUUUAUUAUUUUUAUUUUUAAUUAAUGAAUUAAUUAAUUAAUUAAUUAAUUAAUUAUUCUUGAAAUAAGUGAUGGUCCUUUCAUGUUAUCCAUUAUUGUGAUCACAAGUUCUCUUGUGUCCUCAAUCAAUAUUUUUUUAAUCAAAAUAUUUGUAAAAAUGUUAGUAAUGAAUUACUUAAAAAAUUAAGUGUUAUAAUAAUUAUUUAAAAAAUAUAACUAUGUUUUGUUCUUAGAAUAUAUUAAAUAAAAAAAUACUGAAAAAAAUGAUUUUCUCAUAUUUGAUUUUCUUACAAAAAAAAUAUGAAAAUAUAAAAUAUUAUUAAAAUUAGUUUUCAAAUUAUUUAAUUUUUAUAUGAAAGACUUAUAAAAUAAAUUUGAAAACGUGUAUUAAAAUAAUUUAUUAAUUAUAUAUAUAUAUAUAUAUAUAUAUAUAUAUAUUUUUAUCUUCUUUCGUUUUUUUUCUUUUUCUUUUAUUUACUUUUCCUCUUUAUUUGAAAAAGUGUAUAAAAAAUGAAGUAUUCAUUUUUUAUUUUAUUUUAUUUUUUACUAUUUUAAGUUUUAAAAUUUUAAAAUCAAUUUUAAAUAUUUUAAAUAUAUAAUGUAUACUUUUUGUAUAAAAAGUUUUAAUUUUUAUACAAAAUUUGAUUAUUUUAUAAUUUAAAAACAAAAAUAGGAAAGAUAUCCUAGGACACUUAUUAUGUUAAUUUUUAAAUAAAAAUAUAAACAUGGAAUUAUCGUCUAUAGAUUUUGUUACUUUUAGUUUUUAGUUUUUUUCAAAGUAAAUAGACUAGAAAUGAUUCAUUGAACCCUACUAUCGAUGCCCAUCAUUCCAUCCAUGCCAGAGUGGCCGUGAAAUAAAUUCUUGGUGCCGCCGGACAUCAACAAUCAUGACACUUAAUUUAAUUUGUUAGGUUUUUGUCAAUUUUCAUGAUCACUUUCGCUAGUUUAACAAGGGUCUCCAAAAAGCCCGCGGCCCACGGCCCGGCCCGACCUGAGCCCAUUUCUGGAUGGGAUGAGCCAUGGGCCCAAAUUUAGGCCUAGCCCGGCCCAGUGGGCUGGCCCGCCCGUAGGCCCGCCACUUAAAAUAUAUAUAUAUAUAUAUAUAUAUUCAAGAAAUAGAAAAUGCUACAUUAAUAAAAAUAUUUAUUGCUAACUAUUUUAUUCAUUGAAUGUAUACAUUACAUUUGAAAAUGUGGGAAAAGUUUACAUCACUACAAAAUAAAUACAUCUCAACUAGGUUGACACUUACUUAUUUGUCAAUCAUUUGUACUUUUCAACCAUAAAAAUAAAAAUAAAAAUAUGACAUACAUUUAGUAAAAUAUUUUAAUCAUUAUCUCUUGGCGAUGAUGGCGAACUAUCGCAAAUCCAUGAAGAUCUUGAAGAUUUUAGUUUUUCUAUAUCGACAAACAUAUUUUCUUCUUGAAUAGAAUCAAAUAUCCUUUUAUCUGCUAUUGCCUAGUCUUUCCCACAUAUAUUUGCUUCAAUAGAAUCCGACACUAAGCUGCAUCGUUUAUCACUAACUACUCUUCCACCUGUACUAAAAGUAGCUUCUGAUGCAAUUGUACUCACAGGAACUGUUAGUACAUCACGAGCAAUGAUAGAAAGUACAGAAUAUUUGUGUUGUUGUGAUUUCCACCAUAUUAAAAUAUCAAAAUCUUCAUCAUCUUCAAAUGAAAUUAAAUCAAUAUUAAGAUAUCUAUCUAAAUCAGUUGUGUUGUUUGGAGAACUAUUUGUUGUCUUCUUUCGACUUUUUAACAUUUCUAGAGCUCCUUUAUAAAAAGAUGAAGAGCUUGUAGAUGUAGGUGGUAAUUUAAUAGAACUAAUAUCAUCACCAUAUUUUUCUUUAUAAUAGUUAUAUAAAUUAUAUAAUAAUGAAUUUAUUUCAUUUUUAAUUUCUUCAAUUUUUAUUUGGUCAUUAAAAUAAAUAAUUGUUAACCAUUCAUUCAAAGCUUCAAAUUUCAAUCUAGGGUCCGCAAUUAAACCAAGAUAAAAAAUUAAAGGUAUUUCUCCCCAGUAUUUUCUAAAUUUUUCUAUCAUUGCAAAUAUUGCAUCAUUAAAUAUAUCCAAAUUUAAAUAUUUUGAAGUACAAUAAAAAUAUUAGUUAUUUGCAUGACAACUCGGUUUGAAGAUGGAUGAUAUACACUACAAAAAUUUGGUGGCUAGUUACACAAAAAAGGGUCAGCUCAAUUGGUGGCUAGCUCUUCUUGAAUGCUUAUGGAUUCAUAAGGGAAAGGGUUCGAAUCCCCUUCCCUUCAAAACUUAAAAGUAUUUUAAUUUUUACCCAAUACCCACCCAAGCCCGCCCAGCCCGUCCAGCUUGAGGGCCCAUAGGCUGGGCCACGGGCCUUAGAUUUACCAAGGGCCCGGCCCGACCAGCCCGUUGACCAGUCAACGGGCUCAGUGGCCCGCCCGGGUUGGGCCAUGGGCCUUACUCCUCCGGGCUGGCCAGCCCGGUCCGGCCCGUUGGAGACCCUCAGUUUUCAUUUUGACGUAAAUUUGAUGAUUAAGAUAGAAAUUUAACAUUGGGAAAAAUAGCCAUUAAAGAAUUAUUUGAAAAACAUUUUUUCCAAUUUUUUUAUUGAAUAAAAUGUUAUCAAAAUCAUUGCAAAAAAUGUUUUUCAUUAAUAUCAAAUAUUAAUUAAUUAAUUAAUUUUUUAAUAUGAUAAUAUUGUAUGAAAAUGACAUACUCUAAUACUUCAAUAUAGUGUGGUGAUAUAUUUUUUCUUCUUCUGAUUAAGAUUUUAUCAUUUUUGGACAAGUUUCACUUCUUUUCCAAUACUCCAAUACUCUCAAACUAAUCGGAUGCUUCAACCCUAUAAGAUUAGGGGAGAGGAUGACCCUCGACAUCCUUUGUGUAACACAAUAAAACUAAUUCAAGUUCAUAAUAUGAUAUUUUAUAUAUUAUUUUUAUAAAUAUUUGAAGAUAAUAUUUGAGAAUGUAAGUUUAGUAAAUUAUGUACAUACGGUGUGAAAUUAAAAGGAUAUUAUUUUCAUUCUUAAACAAAUAGAUACUUUAUAAAACAUAAAUUGACUGCUUUGUUGUUUUUACUCGUGAAAGUAAGACCAGCCAAGCAGUGGUGGUUGAGGGGUCACAUGAUUGGUGAUAAAAUUGUUUAUAUCCACAUUUACAAAAACCUAUUCUUGAGAAGGGAUCUUCAGGACACUCAUGUGCUAGUUUAAUUAUCUCGUUGUAAUGGAACUUACAUGAAUAAAUGAACUUGGUGGCAUGCAUGCAGGUGAUGGUGGUAGUAAUCCAUGCCUCUCUACCUGCUGAGGAUUACUGGAAGUUGGCUUUGCCUCGCACUCCCAUGCCUAAAGCUAUACUAGAUCUGUUGCAGUCCAGUUAGUUUCAUUAAAUCUCUACCCUCCUCUUCUGCAACAUCUUUUACUGAUUCUAAUUAUGGUCUCCUAUCAUAGAAUUAAACUGCAGAGUAAAGAUUGUUCUUUAUAACUAUUUGCUUUAUUUCUUGAAAAUUAUUUGUCUAGACUAACAUUUCUAACUCUUCUUUGUAAUUGCUGUACUUGCAAAUUCAACAGAAGGUCUAAGUUCUGUCGAUGCUUCUACUGCCUCUUGUACUAUUCACAUCCACUUCGAUAAAUUCUCUCAACCCGCGGGAGAAGAGGCUCAAGUAGAUGACUCAAAAAUAGGUAACUUCUUGGAAACAGACCUGCAUCCAGGUAAAAAAUGAAGAUGAACUUGGCCACAACUACAAAUGGAGCUGUUUUCUUGCCUCAUCAAGUUGCUGAAUCCAUACCCUUUUCAUCCAACAAGCUACCUGAAAUCUUGAACCGGUUUUCCCUGAAAGAAAAAUCCACAGAAGCCGAGAUAAUAAAGGAGCUAGAGGAAUGCGAGGAGCCUGCCAUGGAAGGAGAAGCAAAGUACUGUACAACAUCAUUAGAGUCCCUAAUCGAUUUCAGCACUUCAAAGCUUGGAAGAAAUGUGAAUGUGCAGGCGAAUGAGGUCAAAACGGGGAGCCAGGAGUAUGAGUUUGGAGUGGGAAUGGAGAAGCUUGCCGACAAAUCAGUGGUGUGCUAUAAGAUGAACUACCCAUAUGCUGUUUUCUACUGCCAUACAUUCACUAAGACACGGACUUACAUGAUUCCGUUGGUGGGUGCUGAUGGAAGCAAAGCUAAAGCCAUGUCAGCUUGUCAUAGUGACAGAUCAGCUUGGCACCCAAAACAUGUGGCCUUCAAAGUGCUCAAUGUUAAGCCAGGAACAGUCCCUGUCUGCCAUUUCGUUCACAACAAUGCCAUGGUCUGGAUUCCAAAAUAGCCUGAUGAUGAAAUCAACGGAAAUAUUUAAUCCUCAACCACAGUUGCAUUGUUCCACGUAAUAGUCGUUUCUAGUAUCAAUGGUGUGGUUUGAACAAAUGCAGGUUAAUUUGAGAAGAAUGUAGUGUGGAAUGCUAUUCAUCAAUCUUUCCCGGUUGAUUAAAGGAAUAUUGUAUAUAUUGUUGUGUGGCAUAAUAUUCAGUAAUUAAUGAAUCACUAUGAAUUAUCCUAGUGUAUAUAUUGUAGUUUAUCCUAGUGUAUAUAUUGUAGUUGUGCAAAUGAUCCUAUUUAUAUUUUUAAAAAUUAAUUUUAAAAUUUGAAUUAGUAAUUUUUUUAAAUCUUAAUUUUUAAAAUGAUUUCAACCCUUUUAACCAAAUAUUUUAUGUUAAAAAUUAUUAUUAGUAUAUAUAUAUAUAUAUAUAUUAGAAAUCCCUAUUUUACUUUAACAAAUAUCUUAUCAGGCUUUUUUUAACUUACACAUCUAGUUCAAAAAAUAAUUAUUAAAAAAUGGUAGUUUGGAAAAAAAAAAAUUUAAAAUAUGAUAGUUACAAAACUAUUAAUAAAUUUUGAAUACUUUUUGUUCAUUUAUGACAUUUUUCAUAAUUUCAUAAAAUUAAAUUUAUGUUGAAGGUGUCUCUUCAAAAGACACUUUUUUCAUAAUUUUUUUAUUAGUUAUACACGUUAAAAACAAAUUGAAGUUAUACUAAAAAAUAUAAUUUCCACAAUGUCAUAGAAUCAAAUUUAUACCAAAGGUGUCUCUUGAAGAGAUAUCUUCCACAAUUUUCAUAUUAGCCAUAUAGUGAAAAAAAAAACUGUAUUUAAGUUUAAGGCAUAGAUCUCUAUAAUUUCACAAAAUUGAAUUUACACUAAGGCGAUGUUUGUUUUUUUCACUUUUUGCUAAAAGUAAUUUGCUUUCAAAAUUUAAGUUUUUUUUUUUUCUAGUUUUUGAUGACUUAUUAUUGAAUUUUCAAUUUUUUUUGGUUAAAUAGAAAAAACAAACUUUUUAAACCUCCCCAAAUCACGAUUGCAACCCGACACCUGACGCCCAACCCUAGCCCAUCCCUUGUAGCUCUCUAGUCUUAAUUGCAAUCGGCGAUCCCCAACCCUCACCUCAUCAUUGUGUAGCUCAUUGGUUCCACGACCAUCACCAAGCUUUCUUAAGGUAAUUUCUUCCCCAUUUUCUCUCUAUUUAGGUUUCAGCUUUCGUUCUUCCUCUUUCUCAGCAAUGGGGUUAAACCAUAGGUAGAAUGGUUGUUUUAUGUUUGGAAAUGGUUUAUUAAUAUAUUCUUUAGUACGAUUCUUUAUGAUUCUCAUGCCAAUGGUUUAUUUUGAAGUUUUGUGGGCAAUUUUGACUUUGUGGGAGUGGGUUUGAUGAGUUUACAGGUUCAAUGAAUUUUGUAGAGAUGCUCAUGGGUUUUUUGGAUACAUUUGUGUGAUUCGAUUUUGACUUUGAGGAACCAUUUGUGUGAUUUUGUGGGCCAUUUUUUGCCUGCUUGGGUUGUUUUUUGUUGCCUUUGUAUAGUGUCAUUCACUUGUCUAAUGUGCAGAGUGAAGCUUUGUCAUUCACUUGUACUUGGUUGUUGGAGGAAAUAAUAAUAUCAAAAUAAGAAUUGUUAACCAAUUUUUAAACAAUAAUAUGCAUUUUCUGAAUGUAUGUUAUUGCUUGAUUUGACUCCGUGUUCUUGUUUCCUGUUGUUUUGCAUUGAAAUUACUUCCUUCCUUUGAAAACCUUCUGCCAGAUAAACAGGACUAUAAAAGAAUCACAUAGAGAGAGUUUGACAAAUUUUGCAAUCUCAAAACAUCUUGGAUUUUCCAAUUUCAUAAGAGAGUGAUAAUUUCUAUGGGAUAACCAAGUUACAAAAAAGUACGGUUCUUAUAUCAAAUGAACAACAAAAAUGAACAAACUCAUUCCUCACCAGAAUCCUUCCGUGGUUGGAGGCCACCAAUCUCGAAAACCCUAGAAGUUUAUGACAUGGGGGAUGAAUUAGAAUCCAUAUUGAAGAGGGCUUAUUUUUACAAGUGCAGAUGCUGAUCCACUCUUUUUUUUUUUUUUUUGUAAUAAAUAACUUCACAAUUUUUAAUUUUAAGCUUCUAUCCUUUGCCUUCAAUCUUCAAUCUCUGCUAUUGUAUUAAUGGCCCUGGGAGCUGCCUAAGAAAAAUGAAAAAAAUGGACCAACCAAACUCAAAGAUGACAAUAGUUUGGUGGCUGCCCUUGAAGAAGAUCCACAGAAGAAUGGACAGUUCAGAAAGGGGAAGAGGGUCAGAAAACACACUACUUUGGGAAGAGAGAGUGAAUUGAAUUGGUUGUUCUUGUACAUGAUCAGAGAUGUUUAAUUGGCCUGGAUAAAAAAACAUAUAUCUCUCAUUAAUAAGAUAUAUAUGUAGCAUAGUCAGGCUUAAAAUUGAAUGCCAUUAACUAUGACAAAGACUGCCAUACACAAUUGUGCAUGGCACAUGCACAUCCCAUCAGCAUCCUAUGCUUCUUAUGGAUCAAAGGUGAAUUUGCUUUUAGUGCAGACUAGACAUGUAAUGUGAUUUUGUUAUCUGAUGGGAUUCUUGGUGUUACCGUAUCUAUGGUUAUAGAAAAUAGCAUUAUUAAACUGGUGGUUGUCUUAGGGAUUGUUAACUUCUUGAGGUUGCUUAUAGAAGAAAAGAUUAUUCUAAAGCAACUAAAGUGAAUAUUGUGUUUGCCAGACAAUUGUUUAUUCUUUCUGUUAACAUUUAGGGCAUUGGAUGGAUUAUCUCUGUUAGAACCUUGCAAGAUAUUGUGAGUACUUUUUUCUGCUUAUAGUUGAAGCCUUUGUUAGUGUUGAAAGCCAGCUGGCUAGUUGCUUCCUUUCUUGAAUUCAAGAAAGAAUUUUUUUGCCACCACCAAAAGAAAAAGUAAAGGUAAAUAAAAAAAUUUAUUUAUUUUUGUAUGUUUUUUUUUUUUUUUAAAUUUUGACUUAUUUUUACCUAUGAAAUUUAAAUAAUUUAAAAAUAAAUAAAAUUUAAACUAAUUUUAAUUAUAUUUGAUUUUAAUUUUUUUUUUUAUAAUGAAAGAGAAAACCAUUUUUUCAGCAUUUGUUUAAGUAGUUCCCAAAAUAUCCAAGAAAUCUCUAUAUAUAGAAACCAACACACUUCACUGCUUUCCAUGCAACUUGCAAGCUUCUUGUCUCAAUUUCUGAGUUUCUGAGCUUUUACCAUUAAUGGAGUUCCUUCGUCCUCUUCCCAUUCUGGCUUUUCUUUCAGUAAGUCCACAUCUUUUUCCUCUUCAUUUUUGUUAUGAAUAUUGUCAAUCAAAUAUUCUUUCAGUUGUGUUAUUGUGAUUAAUGCAACUGAAUUGCAGGUGGUGGUGGUAGUAAGCCAUGCUUCUCUACCUUCUGAGGGUUACUGGAAGUUGGUUUUGCCUCACACUCCCAUGCCCAAAGCUGUGAAGGAUCACUUGCAGCCUGGUUGGUUUCAAUACAUCUCUAGACUCAGUUGCAACAUCCUUUCUUUUAGGUUAUUCGAUCUUACAUUAAGCUUAUAAUUUUUCUUUGUCAUUGCUAAAUUUGCAAAUUCAAGGUGUAACUUCUUUCAAUGCUUCUGCUGCUGCUUUUUGUUUGGGGAUUUACUAUGGGUUCAACAAAAUCCCUCAACCAUUCCAUGCAAAGCAGGCCCAAGAUGGCUUAAAUAUAGGUAACUUCUUCUUGCAAACAGAUCUGCACCCAGGUACAAAAAUGGUGCUGCAGUUGCCACAAACUACAAAUGAAGCUAUGUUCUUGCCUCGUCAAGUUGCUGACUCCAUACCUUUUUCAUCUAAGAAGCUACCCGAAAUUUUGAACCGGCUUUCAGUGAAGGAAAAAUCUGCAGAAGCUGAGCUGAUGAAGAAGGAGAUAGAAAAGUGUGAGGAGCCUGCCAUGGAUGGAGAAUCUAGGUUCUGUGCAACAUCAUUAGAGUCCCUAAUCGAUUUUAGCACUUCAAAGCUCGGAAGAAAUGUGAAUGUGCUGACGAAUGAGGUUAGAAUGGGAAGCCAAGAGUUUGAAUUUGGAGUGAGAAUGAAGAAGGUUGCAGACAAAUCAGUGGUGUGCCAUAAGAUGAACUACCCAUAUGCUGUUUUCUACUGCCAUACAUUCGCUAAGACACGGACUUACAUGAUUCCAUUGGUGGGUGAUGAUGGAAGCAAAGCUAAAGCCAUGGCAGCUUGUCACAGUGAUACGUCAGCUUGGCACCCACAGCAUGUGGCCUUCCAAGUGCUCAAAAUUAAGCCAGGAACGGUCCCUAUCUGUCAUUUCCUUCACAACAAUGCCAUGGUCUGGAUUCCAAAGUAAGGGAUAAGCUGAAAGCCUCAAGCCCAGUUGCAUUAUCAGUUCCAUCUUAAAGCUGUUUGUAGUAUGAAUGGUUAAAAACUUAGAAUAAAUGCAGGUUUGAGGAUUAAUGCAUGUAUUGUGCAAUUGAUGCUAUUUAUUCAUUAAUGUGUCAAUAUUUAUUGAUUUUUUAGGUUACUGAUAUUUUGUGUCAAUAUUUAUUGAUAUAUCUCAUAUAAAUCCAUAAAAUCGAAAUACCUAUACAUUAAUUCGUGAUUACUUAUAUUUUUAUCCCUACUUUACACUCAUCAAAUCCUACCUAUGCCCUCACCUUUGGCUUUCAUUUGCAUUCCUCCUUCAACUAAAGUUUGUAAAGAGAGAAGAGAUGUGCAGUCAUUGCUAACUAUUUGGACAUGACAAAAAAUCUUAAGAGGAGUGCAAAGAUGUUUUCUCAAAGGAGUGCUUAUAUAUAUAAAUAAAGAGUAUUAAAUAUAGAAGAGGUUGACGGAAACAGAGUGCAAAGACGCUUUCUCAAAGUAGUGUUUUUUUUUUUAAAAAAAAGAAUAUUAAAUAUAGAUGAACGAGGUUGGGAGAAAAAAAUGUGCAAAGAUGCUUUCUCCAAGUGUUGGCUUGAUAUAUUUUUUUCUUUUUUCUUUUUAUUUUUAAAUAAUAUCAAUCAUUAAAAAAAAAAAAAGGGAAACUCUUAUAUUAAAGGUAGAAUUUUAUUUUUUUCUUAUCAAAACUUCUAUUUUUACUUAUUAAAUGCAUCACAUGAGUGUUUAUUAUUUUGAUAUAUCUAGAAAUGAAAAAUCUAUUCCCGUCACAUAAGAGAUUUUGUACAUAUAUAACAUGAUAUGCGAUAAGAACAAACAAAAACUACUUCAUUGAUUUUGAAUAAGAACAAACAAAAAUUACUUAAUUGACUUUUUCUUUUGAGUAGAAAAUAUAAGAAUCUGAAUAUAGAGCCAACCACAUAAGAGGACAGUAAAGUCUUGAAUAGAAAUUGAUGUUACAAAGGGAUUAAGGGUUUUUGAGAGAGGACAUGGGGUUGGGAAAACUACUUGAUCCACAUGGUAGUCUAAGGGAGUUUGAGGUAAACAAUAUAUUUAACUUGACCCUUAAUCUCUGUACUUGUAUAAAAUGUUCUUUACUUUGUAUAGUAGCUUGGAUCGAUUUAUAUGGUCAAUAGUAGGUUGGGUUAUCAUCUAUAGAACCAAUAAUCUUUCUAAUCAUCAAACAAUUAAAAACCAAAAGUGAUUAUGGAGCUCAAUCAAAUAAAGAUAUAGAAAUUAAGAUUUUAACUAAAACUAGUCAAAUGAAAAGAAAAUCUCUAGAAAAAUUCUCAAAUCAGUUUGAGGAACCACACAAACAUGUUAGAUUUUAAUCUUAACAAGGUGGUUUAAAGUUAAUACAAGUCUAAAUCUAAUCAAAUGAUAGAUUUAGAUUUGGAAAUACUUGAAUUUGGCAUUUUAGGUUCAAAUCUCAGAGUCAAUAUAUUAGAUUAUUCCAAUUUUUUGUAGUUUCUCGAUUCAUUGAUUAUGCACUGAUUUAUCUUCUAAGAUUCAUUUUAAUCUUAUAUGCAACUAAUCAAAUGAGGUCUCCAUUAUUGAUUAAUAGAUGAUCAAAUAUCAUUGGAACUAAAUAAGCAAUGUCUUUCCCUUAAUUAUCUACGCAGAGAGUUCAAUCCAAAAAAAAUUACAAAUUUAAAUAAGUUUUUUCUCGCAUAUCAUAUUUGGUUGGCAAGAAAUAAGAGAAAGUAAUAGAAAAUAAGAAUUUAAGAGAUAAGUUAAAAUAAUAAUUUUUUUUUCCUCACAUAUCACAUAUAGCACUGGAAGUAUUAUUUCCUUUGUCUUUUUGUUGUGAUGAAACCCUUGACAAACAUUGUCAUAUCAUAUCCCAAGUUUGCAAGAAUAUUUUUUCACUCUCCUAGUGUUGGUGGAACUUAAUUAUUUAGACACGCAUGUCUUAUAUAGUAACUCUUAAUAUUUUAAUAUACAAAGGAAAUGAUUAAGAGCUACUAUAUACAAGAUAUGCAUAUCUAAAUAAUUAAGUUCCAUUGACACUAGGAGAGUGAAAAAAUCUUACAAAUAAAACAAAAGAAGAAAACAUGAUGUGCUUAUAGUAUUGGGAAAUGAUAUGACAAUGUUUAUCAUGAGUUCCAUCAUAGCAAAAAAAAUAAAGGAAAUAGUUCUUCCACUACUAUAUAAGAUAUGUAUGUCUAACUAAUUACAUCCCACCAUACUAGAUAAGUGAAAAAAUAUUGCAAACAAAACAAAAGAAGUAAAUUAACAUGAUAUAUAUGCUUGUAGCUACCAAUGAUGUCAAACUAAUCCUAUCUAUGUGGUUCACAUUGACCUUGAGAUUUAACCAUUUGAAGGUACAUAGUGAAGCUUGACAAAUUGCACACAAUAUACCUAUCUUGAGCCUUGAUUUAUCCAAAGGCCUAUAGUAGGCCUAAUCAUCUUCAACCUUCACACACCCAUCACAUGGUCAUUUUUCAACCAUCAUUUUCCUAGGGAGUAACAUUACUACAUACCUAAUGAUCAAUCACUUCGUUAACUCAUAAGGUUCCUAUGAUUUGAACCUAUAUGACCUGAUUAGUUUGACACCAUUUGUUUUAAUUUUAAAGCUUUAUUACAUCUAGGUAGUUUUAUUAAGUCAUAUAUUGUGGUUUUCCUAUAAAAAUUUCAUCUCUUCUUGUAUGACAUUUGAUCACUCUUCUUUUUUUCAUAUGAUAAUACCUUUUGGUAAGUUUUUGGCUCUCUUCUUAGUGAUCAUCGCAUACUAAAUAAGGGAGUAUCUUCUAGAAUCUAUCUAGCUAUCGGAUCUUCUUAACUAAGAUUCUCACCAAGUUGCUCAUCUUCAUCUAUGAGCUCAUCAUCCAUUAGAGGGACAUCAUUAUGAUUGUCCUAUACAUCUCUCUUAUCAUCAAGACACAGUAUUGAUGGAUGAACUAUACUUGGGUCAACUAGUUCAUCAUCAAUAGAUUUUGGUUUUUCUAACUUACCAAAUUUUGAAAUGAUUUGAUCAUCAAGAAAUUCAAAAUCUCUAUUUUUGGUGAUUUUCUAGUGGACCAAGUCUUAGAAUCUAUACCCAAAUUCUUCAUGAUUAUACUAGACAAAAAUACACUGCUUUGACUUCCAACAAAUACCUUGCAACCAAAAAAAAAAAAAAAAAAAUUCAGAUAAUCAUAAGCAACAUCUUUUGCUAUCCAAAAUCUUUCAAGCACGUCACCAUUCAAAGGAAUUGAGGGAGAAAGAUUUAUUAAGAGAUACCACCUAUUCUACUUACCAUUGUUACCUAAAUCCUCCAUUUAAUUAGCUAAAUAAAAUCCAUAAAUAUCUAAACUCUCCAAUACCAUUUAUUGGGAAAACUAGUUAUUUCAAAAUAAUUCAAAUACAAAAACAAAUCUAAGCAAAACAAAUAAAUGAUUUUUCCCUUUUCAUGUAAACAAAUAUGUAAAUCUAGCUAUAUCAAGUGAAUAAAACGGGUAAGAUAAAUUAACAUAAUUCACAAAAAUCAAGAUACAAAUUUUACAAGGAAAACCCUUCGAUGUGAAGGGAAAAAUCAUGAGUUGUGGUCAACUUAAAACUUUUACAAAUAAAAAAUUAAUAAGCUACAUCAAGUUCUUCUCUAGAAAUUACAUCAUUUUAUUUAACAUAGAGAAUAUGAUAUUUUAUACAUAUAAAUUACACGGAGGACAACCCUCGACAUCCUUUGUGUAACACAAUAAGACUGAUUCAAGUUCAUAAUAUGAUAUUUUAUACAUUAUUUUUAUAAAUAUUUGAAAAUAAUAUUUGAGAAAUUAAAAGGAUAUUAUUUUCAGUGCAAUCCCAAAUCUAAUGCCUCUCCACAACUUCAUCAACAAAGCUUAGAAAUACCCACAAACAUGUCAAAUCUCUCAUAAAAAAAAAGCAAAAAAAUACAAAUAGAGUUUUUCUAGAAAUAUCCAAAGAGUCGUCCUCCUUAACCGUCCUUCCCUCCUCCCUUUCUUUGGUUGCAAGAUGGUCCCUUUAUCCCCAAAUCAGGUUCACCAACUUUCUGCUCAUGCUCAUGCCUUGCCUCCAACUAAUGCUACACCUCUAUUCCCGCUCUUAGCAACCAAAAAAAAAAAAAAAAAAAAAGCCACAAUCAUGUAUUAGCAAAAAGGGUCAGGCCCAAUACAAGAUUUAAUAAAUACAUCAACCCAAAUCUAACUAAUAUAAUAGGCCCAAAUUUCAAUCACCAAUAACAUAUGAGCCCAAAAUCCAUAUCAAUUAGGCCCUAAUCUCAUAACAUCAAGCCAAAGACAAAAAUAAAAAUAAAAACAAAUGAGAAAAUUAAAAUAAAAUGAAAUAAUAAAAAAAAAAAAUAAGUAAAUGAAAUCUUACCUAUCUCCUAACCCACGAAUAGAGAUGCAACAAUUGAUGGUCAUGGGGAGUGACAAUGAAGACAGAGGCACGCUUGUGGCAGUGCAUAAAAGAAAAUAAAAGAAGAAGAAAAAACAAAGAUAAAUAUAAAUAAAUAAAAUAAAAUAAUAAAAUAAAAACUUAAAAGAGAUAAAAAUAGGGAAUAUAUAGUCGGAGAGUGAGGGGGAUGACGAUUGGAAGUGGUGCGAAUAGUAGCACCGCCGAUGACAACUUGGCGGUGGUGGAGUCGAUGAAGAAAUGAAGAAAGAAGAAAUGGAAAGAAAAAAAAAAGGAAAAGAAAAAGAAAGGAAAAUAAGAGAAGAAGAAUGAGAAAGGAUGGAGGCUGUGAGGGGGCGGUAGAAUGGGGAAAAAUGGGCUUUUAGGGUUUGACUUUUGAAAUAGUUGGUGGAGAUUAAAAAGGAAAAAAAAUGGUUAGGAUUAGUUCUCACAUUUGGGUAUGGAAAGUUGGGCCUAGGUUGGACCUAGGUUGGGCUAAAAUUAAAAUGGAAUGAGCCCAAAUAAAUACAAUCAAAAUAAGCCCUAUAAAUAAAUAAUAAAUAAAUAAAUAAUAGCAAAAAUAAAAUAAGUCAUCAAAAACUAGAAAAACAAACAACUUAAAUUUUGAAAGUAAAUUAUUUUUAUCAAAAAACCAAAAAAACAAAUGUCACCUUAGUGUAAAUUCAAUUUUGUUGAAUUAUAGAGAUGCCUUCAAUGUAAAUUCAAUUUUUUUCCACGUGACUAAUAUGAAAAUUGUUGAAGAUGUCUCUUCAAGAGACACCUUUAGUAUAAAUUUGAUUUUAUGACAUUAUGUUAAAUUUUACAUAUAUUUGAUGACUAAGAUAUAAAUUUAAUAAAAUUGGGGGAAAAUAGCCAUUAAAGAAUUAUUUGAAAUAGAUUUUUUUUUUCAAAUUUUUUUAUUAAAUAAAAUGUUAUUGAAAUCAUUGGAAAAAUACUUUUCAUUUAUAUCAAAUAUUAUUAUUAUUUUUGAAUACUAUAAUAUUGUAUGAAAAUGAUGUACUCCAAUAGCCAAAUGUGGUGUGUUGAAAGUCCAAUGUGAUGCCUUAAUAUAUUUUUCUUCUUCUGGUCAAGAUUUUAUCCUUCUACUUGUCAAGUUUCAAUUCUUUUCAAACAACUUUCUUCUUUCCCCUCGAUAUAUAAGAAUGUAAUAUAAUGGAGGAUUGAGAGGUAUAAAGGAAGAAAUCCCCACAUUUAUAAAGUGUAUAAAUCUUCAAGAAUAUAGUAAUCAAAGUAAUGAUGAAAAGUUGUAAUAAAACGUUCUUAUUCUUUUUACCAUUGAUAUUACAUACAUAAUUUUUACUCUCUUUAACGAAACCUUAAACUAUAAGAAGAUAGAAAUACACUAAGGAUAAAUUCGUCAUUAAAAUUUUUUAUGAAAAGACAUCUCGAACUAUGGAAAGUGACCAUCUCCUUCCUUACAUUUAUUUUCAUGUCCUAUUUAUUUUAUUUACAAGCUUGUUAGUUGAAAAUUAGUUGUAAAAAUUAUAUUAAUUCUUUUUAAAAAUUUUUAACUCAGCUUAAUAAAAAAUAUACUAUAAUUUAUAAUAAAAUUAAAGAUUAAAUCAAGAAAAGAAAUGUUAAUAAAAAUGAUUUUAUGUUUGAUUUAUUUUAAAAAAAUAUAAAAUAUAUUUUUAUUUUAAAAUUAAUAAAAUAAAUAUUUUUUUUUUAAUUUAAAUGAACUGUGUAUUUAAAAAUUAUUUAUAAAUUUAUAAUAUAAAGUUACUUGAAGAAAACAUUUUAUUAAUUGGAAAAGAAAAAAACAACAUCUUCCAAACAUGUUUUUUAUUUUACUUGUUUUAAAAAACUUUUUUUAUUAACUCAACCAAACAUGUUUUUUUUUUUUUUUGAGAACAAAAAUUGUUUUUCAAAAUUCAAUUCCCAAACACAAUUUUUUUUUCUUCUAAAAACACCAAAAAAUGUUCUUGAAAAUUGUUUUCCAAAACAGUUUUAAAAAACAACAACCGAACAGAUCCUUAAUUUCAAUAAUUUAAGAAAGAAGAAAGAGUUUGCGGGUGGGGGUGUGGUGGUUGGGUGGAGCUCACUUUUGUGCAAACACAAAAAGCAGCUAAAAAAAAAAAACAAGAAAAAUAAUUUAUUCUUUGAAUAGUGAAAAAACACUGAAAACAUGUUUUUUGUUUUUAAGAACAGAAAAUAGUUCUUGAAAACAGAAACCAAAUAUGCCAAAAUUAUCUUAGGUUUUCUUGAAAGAGUGAGAGUACAACAAUUAAAAUGGAUAAAAAGAAAUAAGAGGGAAAAAAUGCUUUUGAAGGAAAAUAAAAUAGAAGGGUAAACUUUUUCAAAUGUAAUCAAAAUUAAUGAAAUCUAUCAGGAGUAUAAGAAUUAUGGAGAGAGAGAAAGGGAAAACAUAUAUAAAUUUGUAUUAAGAAUUUAAGAGUGAAGAGAAGGUGGGGACAAUGGAGACGGAAAGAUGGACAAAUCAAGAAUUUGUAACCAAUUUUACUUAUCCAUAAAUUGAGAAUGACAUAUUCCCAUUUGGUGUGUGUUCAUAUAUGGAUUUUAUAUCCUUUUGGGUGUACCCCACUUCUACAUCAAACCCAGGCUUGUUUGCUCGUAUAUAUGUAUAUCUUUUUUGGAAUCAAAUAUAGCCACAUAGCCUUAAGAUAUUUAUUUUUAAUUAUUAAUUAAUUAAUUAAUUAUUCUAGAAAAUAAGUGACGGUGCCUUUCAUGUCAUCCAUUAUUGUGAUCACAAUUUUCCUUGCAUCUUCAACAAAUAUUUUUUUAAUCAAAAUAUUUGUAAACAUGUUAGUAAUGAAUUACUUAAAAAUAAAUAAAUAUUGUAAUAAUUAUUUAAAAAUUAUAAUUAUUUUUUGUGUUUAGAGUAUUUAAAAAAAUAAUUUUUUAUAUUUGAUUUUUAAAUAAAAUAAAUAAAUUAUCCUAGAUUUUUUUUAUUUUAAUUGUUUUUUCAAAGUAAAUAGACUAGGAAUGAAUCAUUGAACCCAAUUAUUGGUGCCGAUCAAUUCAUCAAUAAUGAGUGCCAGCAUGACCAUGAAAUAAAUUCUUGGCAUCGCCUGAUACAGACAAUCUUUGUUUUGCUUAUCACUUUUGCUAGCUAGCUUUUGUCCAUUCUUAUUUUGUCUUUUUUUUUUCCUAAUUAAAUUAAAUUGUGAAUAAUAAUAAAAAGAUUUUAAAAAUUAUUUAUUAAAUUAAGAAUUAUUUAGUAAAUUAUAUACAUAUGUGUGGAAUCCAAAAAUAUAUUAUUAUCAUUUUUAUACAAAUAGACACUUUAUAAAACAUAAAUUGAUUGCUGUGUUGCAGUGGAGCUUGAGGGUCAACAUGAUAGGUGAUAAAAUUUUAGAAUAUGAUAUUUGAAGUUAUUUUUAAUAUUUUUAAAAUGAUAAUUUCAAUUUAGAGAAAAAAGAUAAUUUUCAUAUUUAAAUUGAAAAUAUUUAUUUAAAAGAUAAUUUUCAAUUAAUAUUAUAAAAAUUAAAUUUGAAAAUAGUUAUAAAAGCAUCAUACCUUAAUAAUAUUUUUAAAAUUACUGUAAUUUUUUUUUUCUUUCAAAAAAUCUCCAUUUUACUUCAACAAAGAUCUUAUCGUGAUCGUUGUAGAUAACUCUCACGUGGCGAUAAUUCAUGGGCAUGGGCUUGCAGGCUGCGGCGGCACUUGGUGAUAAUUUAAGGAAAAGUUUAAUUAAUUGUAAAGGUCGCCCAUUCAGUCACUCUUUACGUAAAAGGCAAUGAUUGAGCCAAAAUAAUAAAAUAAGGCAUUUAUCACCACGCCAAUUUUUUUUUUUUAAUACUUUUUUCUUCUUUAUGGUAUUAAAUAUGAUCAUAAGAAAUAAAUUAUCAGUGCCGCCGACUGCAGAUAAUCUUCUCAAUUUUCUUAAAGCUAUGUUUAAAAAAUUAUAGAAGGAAAGAGUAAGUGAAAAAAAUAAAAAUAAUAAAAUUUAAAUUAAUAAAUUAUUUUUAUAUGUGUCUUUAAAUUAAUUUAAUUUAUUAUUAUUUAUUAUAUAAAUAUUAAAUAAUUUUAAAAUAAAUAAUUUUUUAAUUAAUUUUAAUUAUAUUUGAUUUUUUUUAUAUAAUUUUUUAUAAUGAAAUCAAAACCCUUUCUUUUAGUAUUUAUUUAUUUUUUCCUAAAAGUACCACCCAAAUAAAAAUGAUAACAUGAUCAAGGUGAAGAUUUCUCUUCCUCUACACUUGCUCGUUCUCACCAAAAUAGUACCAGUUCAAGCCCAAAUACAACUCCGAUAAUGUCGUCUCUGAAUCAAGCAUUCAUCAUCAGGCUUGAUCACUCAAAUUGUCUUCUAUUGUGUACUCAAAUGCUGAAUAUUGUAAUCGUUAAUGGACUCAAGGAGAUGGUCGAUGGUUCACAACCUUCUCCUCCAAUUUUUCUUGAGAAUUCUGAAAGUACAAACCCAGAUUUUUAGAUCUGGCAACGACAUUGUCGUUUUGUCAUGUGUUGGAUUUAUUCAUCUCUCGUUGAGAAUGUAAUGUCGCAAAUCAUCGAUCUCACUUCCGCUUCUGAAAUCUGGAGUACUCUUGAAAAAUUCUUCUUUUACUGCAUUAAUUGUAUUUAAUAUCUUAUUUAUAUUUUAUUUUUUAAAUUUAUUGUAUUUAAAUUUAUUUUUUUUAUUUUUAUUUUCAUAUUUUUUUCUUAUUUAAUUUUUUUAUUUGUAUUUUGUUUAAUUUUUAAAUCAAUUUAUUUUUUUAUUUUUUAAUUAAUUAAUUAUUCUUGAAAAUAAGUGAUAGUGCCCUUCAUGUUACCCAUUAUUGUGAUUACAAGUUCUCGUGUCCUCAACCAAUAUUUUUUUAAUCAAAAUAUUUGUAAAAAUAUUAGUAAUGAAUUACUUAAAAAAUUAAAUAUUAUAAUAAUUAUUUAACUAUAUUUAUAUAUAUAUAUAUAUAUAUAUAUAUAUAUAUAUUUAUAUUUUUUCAUUUUUUCCUUUUUUUAUUUACUUUUCCUCCGUAUUUGAAAUAGUGUAUAAAAAAUGAAGUAUUCAAUUUUUUUUUUUACUAUUUUAAGUUUUAAAAUUUUAAAAUCAAUUUUAAAUAUUUAAAAUAUAUAAUGUAUACUUUUUGUAUAAAAAGUUUUAAUUUUUAUGCAAAAUUUGAUUAAUUUAAAAAAAAACAAAAAUAGGAAAUAUAUUCUAGGACACUUAUUUUGUUAAUUUUUAAAUAAAAAUAUAAACAUGGAAUUAUCGUCUAUAGAUUUUGUUAAUUUUAAUUUUUUUUUUCAAAGUAAAUAGAAUAGAAAUGAUUCAUUGAACCUACUAUUGGUGCCCAUCAUUCCAUCAAUGCCAGAGUGGCCAUGAAAUAAAGUCUUGGUGCCGCCGACACAAACAAUAAUUUAAUUUGUUAGGUUUUUGUCAAUUUUCAUGGUCACUUUUGCUAGUUUUCAUUUUGUCUUAUUUUCUUAAUUAAAUUAAACUGUGAAUAAUAAUUAAAAUAUUUGAAGAAUUAUUUAUUAAAUUUUAUGUAUAUUUGAUGAUUAAGAUAGAAAUUUAAUACAGUGAAAAAUAAGCAUUAAAGAAUUAUUUGAAAAAUAUUUUUUUCAAUUUUUUUAUUGAAUAAAAUGUUAUCAAAACCACUGCAAAAAAUGCUUUUCAUUUGUAUCAAAUAUUAAUUAAUUUUUUAAUAUGAUAAUAUUAUAUGAAAAUGUCAUACUCUAAUAUUCUAAUCAAGAUUUUAUCUUGUUUGGUCAAGCUUCACUUCUUUUCCAAUACUCCAAUACUCUUGAGCUAAUCAGGCGCUUAGGGGAGAGGACGACCCUCUACAUCCUUUGUGCAACAUACAUUAUUUUUAUAAAUAUUUGAAGAUAAUAUUUAAUAAAUUAUAUACAUAUAAAAACAUAUUAUUUUCAUUCUUAAACGAAAACAUAAAUUGACUGCUUUGUUGUUUUUAUUCGUGAAAGUAAGAGCAGUCAAGCAGUGGUUGUUGUCGUUGAGGGGUCACAUGAUUGGCGAUAAAAUUGUUUAUGUCCCUUCUCUUAAUGCCACUCACCCUCAUUGCCAAAAUAGUCCCACUAACCUCUAUAAAUAGCAAGAAGCUCGGUUCAGUUCUUUCCAUCCAAGCAUACCUUCUCAUAGCUUAGCUUUCUGUUUAAGUUUCUCAGCUGUAAUGGAGUUUCGUUCCUUUCCCUUUCUGGCUUUUCUUUCUGUGAGUCCAGAUUAAUUCUUCAUUUUUUCACAAAAAUGUUUUGGGAACAAGUCAUAAUUUUUCUGUUUAAAAAACAAAAACCUGUUCUUGAGAAGAGAUCUUUAGGACACUCAUGUGCUAGUUUAAUUAUCUUCUUGUAAUGGAACUUGGUGGCAUGCAUGCAGGUGAUGGUGGUAGUAAUCCAUGCUUCUCAACCUGAUGAGGAUUACUGGAAGUUGGCUUUGCCUCACACUCCCAUGCCUAAAGCUAUACGAGAUCUGUUGCAGUCCAGUUAGUUUCAUUAAAUCUCUACCCUACUUUCUGCAACAUCUUUUACUGAUUCUUAUGGUCUCCUAUCAUAGAAUUAAACUGCAGGGAAACUGUCAUAUAUAUCAUCAAGAUUGUUCUUCAUAACCAUUAAUUUGCUUUAUUUCUUGAAAAAUAUUUGUCUAGAUUAACAUUUCUAACUUUUCUUUGUAAUUGCUGAACUUGCAAAUUCAACAGAAGGUCUAAGUUCUGUCGAUGCUUCUACUGCAUCUUGUACUGUUCACAUUCAUUUCGAUAAAUUCUCUCAACCCGCCGGAGAAGAGGCUCAAGUAGAUGACUCAAAAAUAGGUAACUUCUUCUUGGAAACAGACCUGCAUCCAGGUAAAAAAAUGAAGCUGAACUUGGCCACAACUACAAAUGGAGCUGUUUUCUUGCCUCAUCAAGUUGCUGAAUCCAUGCCCUUUUCAUCCAACAAGCUACCCGAAAUCUUGAACCGGUUUUCCCUGAAAGAAAACUCCGCAGAAGCCGAGAUAAUAAAGAAGGAGCUAGAGGAAUGUGAGGAGCCUGCCAUGGAAGGAGAAGCCAGGUACUGUGCAACAUCAUUACAGUCCCUAAUCCAUUUCAGCACUUCAAAGCUUGGAAGGAAUGUGAAUGUGCUGACGAAUGAGGUCAAAACGGGGAGCCAGGAGUAUGAGUUUGGAGUGGGGAUGAAGAGGGUUGCAGACAAAUCAGUAGUGUGCCAUAAGAUGAACUACCCAUAUGCUGUUUUCUACUGCCAUACAUUCACUAAGACACGGACUUACAUGAUUCCGUUGGUGGGUGCUGAUGGAAGCAAAGCUAAAGCCAUGGCAGCUUGUCAUAGUGAUACAUCAGCUUGGCACCCAAAACAUGUGGCCUUCAAAGUGCUCAAUGUUAAGCCAGGAACAGUCCCUAUCUGCCAUUUCGUUCACAACAAUGCCAUGGUCUGGAUUCCAAAAUAGCCUGAUCAUGAAAUCAACGGAAAUAUUUAAUCCUCAAGCCCAGUUGCAUUGUUCCAUGUAAUAGUCGUUUCUAGUAUCAAUGGUGUGGUUUGAAUAAAUGCAGGUUAAUUUGAGAAGAAUGUAGUGUGGAAUGCUAUUCAUCAAUCUUUCCCGGUUGAUUUAAGGAAUAUUGUAAAUAUUGUUGUGUGGAAUAAUAUUCAAUAAUUAAUGAAUGAGUAUGAAUUAUCCUAGUGUAUAUAUAUUGUAAACUUAUUUAUAUUUUUAAAAAUUAAUUUUAAAAUUUGAAUUAGUAAUUUUUAUUAAACCUUAAUUUUUAAAAUAAUUUCAACCGUUUUAACCAAAUAUUCCAUUUUAAAAAUUAUUAUUACUAUUUUUUUCUUCAUAAAUCCCUAUUUUACUUCAACAAAGAUCUUAUCGGGUUUUUUUUUUUAACUUCUACACCUAGUUUAAAAAAUAAUUCUUAAAAAAUGGUAGUUUGAAAAAAAAAAAUUCUUAAAAUAUAGUAGUUACAAAACUAUUGAUAAAUCUACAACACUUUUUGUCAUUUUAAAAGGUGUUUCUUGAAAAGACAUCUUCCAUAUUAUUCGUAUUAACAUGUUAAAAUUUUUUUGAAUUUAUGUCUUUUGAAAAGACAUUUUUCAUAAUAUCAUAAAAUUGAAUUUAUAUUAAAAAUGUCUCUUCAAAAUACAUUUUUUCAUAAUUCCAUAAAAUUGAAUUUAUUAUGCUAAAGUUGUCUCUUCAAAAAGACACAUUUUUAUAAUUUUUUUAUUAGUCAUACAUGUUAAAAAUAAAAAUAAAUAAAUUUAUACUAAAAAAAAUAUUAUUUCUACAAUGUCAUAAAAUCGAAUUAAUACUAGAGGUGUAUUUAAAGAGACACCUUUUACAAUUUUCAUAUUAGUCACACGGUGAAAAAAAAUUGAAUUUACAUUCAAAGUGUCUCGAUAAUUCCACAAAAUUGAAUUUAUGCUAAAGAUGUCUCUUGAAGAGAUAUUUUUCAUAAUUUCAUAGAAUUGCAUUUAUACUAAAAGUAUCUCUUCAAAAGACACUUUUCCAUAAUUCUAUAAAAUUGAAUUUAUUAUGCUAAAGCUGUCUUUUCAAAAUAUACCAUUUUAUAAUUUUUUUUAUUAGUCAUACAUGUUAAAAAAAAAAAAUUAUACUAAAAAAAAAUUCUUUCCACAAUGUCAUAAAAUCAAAUUUAUACUAAACGUGUCUCUUGAUGAGACAUCUUCCACAAUUUUCAUAUUAUACAAUGAAAAAGAAAUUGAAUUUACAUUGAAGACAUCUCUAUAAUUCUACAAAAUUGAAUUUACACUAAAUGUGUCUUUUGAAGAAGCACCUUCUACAAUUUUUAUAUUAGUCACCUAUCGAAAAAACUAAAUUUAUACUAAAAGUAUCUCUUGAAGGGAAAUCGUUUAAUAUAAAUUUAAUUUUGUGCAAUUGUGAAAUAUGUUUUUUGAAGAGAUAUUUUUAAUAUAAAUUUAAUUAUUUUAAUAGGUAAUUGAUAUGAAAAUCGUUGAAGGUGUCUCUUUAAGAAACAUUUUUAAUAUAAAUUUAAUUUUAUAAAAUUAUAAAAGAUUUCUCUUAAGGAGAUAUUUUUAGUAUAAAUUCAAUUUUUUUUACUAUGUAACUUAUAUGAAAAUUGUGAAAAAUGUCUCUUAAAGAUAUACUUUUAUUAUAAAUUCGAUUUUAUAGAAUUAUAAAAUGUGUCUUUUGAAGAUAUAUUUUUAAUAUAAAUUUAAAAUUUUUUUAAUGUAUGUCAUUGAUAUAAAAAUUAUAAAAAGUGUCUAUCGAAGAGAAAUCUUUAAUGCAAAUUUAAUUUUUUGAAACAUGUAUAAUUGAUAUCAAAAUAAUGAAAGAUGUUUUUGAAGAGACCUUUUAAAAUGGCAAAUGUUGUAGAUCUGAAAAUAUUUUUUAAUGUACUAUAUUUUUUAAUUUAUGGGCAAACAGCCGGCGGCUGUGAUAAUUUAAAGAAAAGUUUAAUUAAUUGUAAAGGUGGCCAUGAAGUCACUUUAGGUAAAGGCGGUGACGGAGCUGGUGCAUGGACACACCCUACAAAUAAUGCAAAACCUUUAAUUUUAAAUUCACUGUAUAAUUAUAAAAAAUCCGAUCUUAUCGACAACUCCCACGUGGUGAUAAUUUAUGGGCAGACAGCCGGCGGCGGCGCUUCUUCAUAAUUUAAAGAAAAGUUUAAUUAAUUGUAAAGGUGGUCAUAAAGUCACUUUAGGUAAAGGCAGUGACGGAGCUGGUGCUUGUACACCCACCCUACAAAUAAUACAAAACCUAGAAGGCAUGGCUUUGAUUGCACAAGUGGGAGAACCAAAUGAUAAAACAAGGCAUUCAUCACCACGCCAGUAUAGAAUUUUUUUGCCACAGCAAAAGAAAAGGAAAAGGUAAAUAAAAAAAUUUAUUUAUUUUUGUAUGUUUUUUUAAAAAAAAUUUAUUUGAAUUAUUUUUACCUAUGAAGAUUAAAUAAUUUAAAAAUAAAUAAUGUUUGAACUAAUUUUAAUUAUAUUUAAUUUUAAUUUUUUUAUAAUAAAAUCAAAUACAAGAAAAAUCAUUUUUUCAAUAUUUGUUUAAGUAGGUCCCAAAAUAUCCAAGAAAUCCAUAUACAUAGAAACCAACACACCUGACUUCUUUCCAUGCAACUUGCAAGCUUCUUGUCUCAGUUUAUGAGCUUUUACCAUUAAUGGAGUUCCUUCGUCCUCUUCCUAAUGCACAUAAAUAAUCUAAACAUGCUCAUAGCAAUCCUUAAAUAACAAUUAAAUCAUAAGUGGAAUUGAAAACAGAUAAAAAAACGUAUCUCCCGCCAUUGCCAUUUUUACAGUUUAAAAAAUGUGUCUUCAAUUUUUUAGGUUUCAGGUGCUUUUAAACCUUUCUCAACCUCCACUUAGAUGGUGUUUUUUAAGACUAAAAGAGAUUGAAGGCUUAGGGAACCCUACCCUUUAGUUCUCUGCCCUUUUUUAAAGACUUUUUCCAUCACCGAGUCUGCUUCGAGCAUGCACAAAACAUGGAGUAGUGAUGCGAACGUGGUUUCGAACGUUAAUCCUCAUUCCUAAAUUGAUGGAAUGAAUGUGGACCACAUUCCGAAUCAUGUCUUCGGUUUGUUAUCGAAGAUCCAGGAGAAACAAAAUCCCAACAUUCUCCCACUUGGUCCAUAUAUUCCAUCAUUCACCAUAACAAGAAACAAAACACAUGAAUCAUGGUGAUAGGUCCUCUAAAAUCGAGUAUUAUCUUCCAUGUAUCACAAUGCAUCAUGUCUCUCAAAAAUUAGCCCAUAUAAGUUAAUGAAUAAACCCUAUGUUUAUUCUAGGUCCAAACAUUAAUGAUAUUUCUCAAUAAAUGAAUAAAGUGUACACAAAGAAAAUCAAAUAUGAGAAAAUAUCACAAAUAGAGUUUUAUUGAAAAUAACAUUCGUUCUUACAAUGAAAAUCACAUGAAGGAACCAAGUCCCAAUCUAUCUACAUGAUCCUUAAAUUUCAACGGUGGCAUGCCUUUAGUCAAAGGAUCAGUAAUCAUCAAUUCAGUGCUAACGUGUUCAAUAACCACUGUUUUCUCUUUAACACGUUCUCUUAUGGCUAAAUACUUGAUGUCGAUGUGCUUGUUUCGACUAUUGCUUCUGUUGUUCUUAGUCAUAAAAACUGCAGUUGAAUUGUCACAAUAUAUCUUCAAUGACCUAGAAAUUGAAUCCACAACUCUAAGCCUAAAAAUGAAACUCUUUAACCAUACACCAUGUGAGGUAGCCUCAAAACAAGACACGAACUCAACCUCCAUAGUGGAGGUUGCAAUCAAAGUCUGUUUUGCACUUCUCCAAGAAACAGCUCCAUCGGCUAGCAUAAAGACAUAUCCUAAAGUUGAUUUUUGCAAAUCAAUGCAACCAACGUGGUUCGAAUCAAAGUAGCCAAUCACUUCUAAAUUAUCAGUCCAUCUAUACAUAAACAUGUAGUCUUUGGUCCCCUGAAGAUACCUCAUCACUUUCUUUGCAAUUUUCUAAUGGUCUAUACCUGGAUUACUCUGAUAUCUUCCUAACAUCCCAACAGCAAAUGUAAUGUCAAGUCUUGUGCAGACCUGAGCAUAGAUCAAGCUUCCAAUAGUAGAAGCAUAAGGAAUGUUCUUCAUUUGUUCCCGCUCAAGAUCAUUCUUCGGGCAUUGGUCUAAAUUGAACCUAUUGCCCUUCACAAUGGGAGCUAUACUAGGUGAAAAAUCCUUCAUCCGAAAUCUCUAUAAAACUUUGUUGAUACAGGUCUUUUGAGACAAACCCAAAAGGCCUCGAAAUCUGUCUCUAUGUAUCUUAAUGCUAAUGACAUAAGUCGUAUCACCCAUAUCCUUCAUGUCAAAGUUUUCAAAGAGAAAUUGUUUCACCUCAUGUAGCAAACCCUUAUCAUUGGUUGCAAGUAAAAUGUCAUAUACAUACAGAACAAGGAAACAAAUCUUACUCCCACUUACUUUAUGAUAUAUACAUUGAUCCAUAAUGUUCUCCACGAAACCAAAUGAAGAAAUAACAUCAUGAAACUUCAAAUACCACUGACGGGAUGCUUGUUUCAAUCCAUAUAUGGAUUUCUUAAGCUUGCAUACCAGAUGCUCACCUCCACUAGAGGAAAAUCCUUCUGGUUGUUUCAUGUAAACCUUUUCUUCUAGAUUUCCAUUGAGAAAUGUUAUUUUCACAUCCAUUUGUUGCAACUCUAUGUCAAAAUGUGCAACUAAUGUCAUAAUGAUAUGAAGAGAAUCUUUCUUAGAUACAGGAAAAAAAGUCUCCUUGUAGUCAAUUCCUUCAUUUUGAGUGAAUUCUUUAGCAACAAGUCUUGCUUUAUACCUUUCAAUGUUGCCUAAUGAAUCAUUCUUUGUCUUGAAGACCCAUUUAUAUCAAAUGACUUUUGCACCAUUAGGCAGCUCAACAAGAUUAUGGACUCUGUUAGAUGCCAUAUAAUUCAUCUUAUAUUUCAUAGCAUCAUACCAUAAAUUUGACUCUUUGCAACUUAUGGCUUGUGAAAACGUUUCAGGAUCAUUUUAAGCUCCAAUGUUGUAGUCCGAUUUUUGCAGAUACACAAUAUAAUCACUAGGUAUUGUUGUUUUUCUUACUCUGGUAGAUAUCCUUAAUGUUGUAUCAAUAUUUUCUUGAGAAUCAUGUUGCUCAACUGGUUGUUCAACAAUUUCUAGUGAAUCUUGAACAACUUGAUCUAUUGGAUUGUCAUCAGCAAUUUCUGGAACUUCAAUGAUAGGUUGUCUGUUACUUGUUUAAACUUGAGGGGUGUUGUGAAUAACAAUGAAUCUAUCACUUGAAGUGGAUGGUUGAGCAUCAAUAUGAUCUUUUCCAGAAACAAUGUCCUAAAAUUGAUCGCUCCCACUAAUCAAGUCAUUCUUAAGAAACUUAGCAUUUCUUGACUCCACAAUCCUAGUGUUGUGAGAUGGACAGUAGAAUCUAUACCCUUUAGAAUUUUCGGCAUAUCCAAUGAAAUAUGCACUAAUGGUCCUUGGGUCUAUUUAUUCUCUUGUAGGUUGUAAACUCUUACUUUAAACGGGCAUCCCCAAACACAUAUAUAUUGCAAACUCGGUUUCCAAUAUUUCCAUAAUUCAAAUGGCGUCUUGGGCACAACCUUUGUUGGAACUCGAUUCAAUAUAUACACUGCCAUUGUAAGAGCUUCAGUCCACAAGGAUUCAAGAAGCUUGGAGUUGCUACACAUACUCUUAACCAUGUCCAUUAAUGUUUAGUUUCUUUUUUCAGCCACACCAUUCUGGUCUGGGGAACCAGACAUGGUGUAUUGAGCAACUAUCCCAUGCUCUUGAAGAAACUUUGCAAAGGGACCAAGUGUUUGUCCAUCCUCGGUGUAUCUACCAUAAUAUUCUCCACCUCUAUCCGUUCUCACAAUCUUUAUUUUCUUUCUGCAUUGUUUCUCUACUUCAGCCUUAAAAACUUUAAAGGCACCCAAUGCUUCAUUCUUGUUAUGAAGCAAGUAGAUAUACAUGUAUCAUGAGUAAUCAUAUAUGAAAUGCAUCAUGAGUAAUCAUAUAUGAAGGAGAUAAAAUAUUUCAGACCAUACGCGUCUAUGCUUGGACAAAAAAUAUCUGAAUGUAUGAUCUCUAAUCUUAGACUCAUAACAAAUAAAUGAGAUUGGUUUAUUUUUCUUCUCAAGCCAUUUCUAGAAUUUGGUGCAACCCUUCUUCAUAUACCCAUUUUUCUUGUAGAAAAGGCAUCUAUUGGCCUUCUUAAUUCCACAUUGGGGCAAUAUUUUAUCUUUUCCUUUCUUUUUAGUCUGAUUAUGAUCCUUUCCUUCCAUUUCCAUUAAUGCACUCUCACCCAAUUCCAUUUUUUAGUCUUCCCAUCCUCUUGAACACACAAGGUCAUAAGCUCAUUAAUUGACCACUUAUUCUUGUGUGUGUUGUAGGAGAUUUUGAAAUGUCCAUAUUAUUGUGAAAGAGUGUUCAAAAUAUAGCGCACAAGGAAGGAGUCAAACAUUUCAACCUCAAGUGUCUUCAAUUGUGCCACAAUGUCCCUCAUCUGCAUUAUGUGCUCUCACACACCACUCACAUCGGUGAGCCUUAAGGAUGAAAACUUCAUUAUCAAGGUGCUGGCAAGUGCCUUAUCUGAAGUCACAAAUUACUCAUCAAUAACCUUCGGUAAUGCCUUGACAUUGUCAUGUUGAUCGACAGAACCACAAAUACCAUUAGAGAUUUUAGUCUUUAUGAACAUUAGACUAAGGCGAUUUAAUCACUCCCAUUCUUCAUAAAGAGCCUUUUCGGUUGUAGUGUUGGUGUCAGUAAUAGUUGGCUUGUCUUUAUGUAUCCUAAAUGAAGGAGAAUUCUCUCAUUCCAAACCUUAUAGUUAUUAACUUUCAAUUCGGGAAUGUCACAUUUUGUAUUAGAGAAAUUUGCAGGUUGCAUGACUGCACAAAAAUUAAACAUAUAUGCUUAUAAUUCAAAAUUGAGACUAAUAACCAUAUAUCAUGUUUUACCAAUGUAACUCAUGUUCCAAAAUUAUGAAUAUAGUGACAUAAAACUUGCGUGUAGGCUAAAGUUCUAAUUCAAUUAGAUCCAUAUAAAACCAUCAAAUUAUGUUUCAUUUCCUAAUUUCUAUGGGUAAUUAAGAAAUAUAAUUUUAUAUUCCAUCCUAAUUAAUCAUACAAAUAUAAUUAAAAAUUCCUAUGGGAUAAAAUUUUAUUAUAUCAAAUAUAAUUAAUUACCCGUAAUGUCAUUUUUUUUAUAUGUGAUUCUAAAACACUUAAUAUAUAAUUUUGCAUAAUUAAAGAUGUUGUGACUACUCUUUAAUUAAUUACAAUUAUAUGGAUCACUUGACAUUUAAUUAAUUCACAAGAAAAACUUAUAUAAAUUACAUGAAACCAUAAGCAAUGUGUACACAAAAGUCAAUAUCAAUGUACUAAUAUUAUUCAACUCAAUAUUGCAUGUAAUAAAACAAUAAAUCAUACACACAAAAUUAUGAAAUAAAUAUUAUAAGUACAUAAAUAUCGAAAAUUAAAUCCAUAAAGAGCCUUGCAUAAUUAAAGAAUCAAUUUAAUGUGCAAAAUUAUUUUAACUUAAUGUUGUAUGCAUAAUAAACCAUAAAAGUAUACAUACAAAUAACAAAAAUAAAUAAUUUAGCAUAUAAAAUAUCCAUAAAUUAAAAGAUCUUAAGGAGUCUAACCUGGGUAGUGAUUGGGGAAAGGCAAGGCUAAGACCAAUUGGGCUACUACCCAUUUUCUUAUUUUUAUUUUACUUAUUUCUUUCUUAUUUACCUUAAAAAAUAUAAGCCCAUGUAGUUGUCUUCUACUUUUAACCAGGUCUGUUUGACCCAUUUGCGACCCGAAAUGAAACCCGAUGAUUUCCAGGUAUUCCAAACACCAGAUUGACGAUUUAAAACAUUGAAAUGUUAGAAAUAUAAUCUCCUAAUGAUUUCUAACUAUAUUUUUAAUAAAAAACUUCUAAAAACCAUAAACUCCAAAAUACCAAAACUCACUGUAUUUUUUUAUUUAUUGAAAAACGCAGAUUGUAAAAUGAACAAGAUAGAAACAUACAUUGCUCUGAUACCAACUGAUGGACAUAAAUAAUCUAAACAUGCUCAUAACAAUCCUUAAAUGGCAAUUAGAUCAUAAGUGGAAUUGAAAAUAGAUCGAAAACGUACCUCCCGUCAUUGCCAUUCUUACAGGUUAAAAAAUGUGUCUUUAAAUUUUCCGGUUUCAGGUGCUUUUAAACCUUUCUCGACCUCCACUUAGAUGGUGUUUUUUAAGACUGAAAGAGAUUGAAGGCUUAGGAAACCCUACUCUUUUAGUGCUCUGCCCCUUUUUAAAGAUUCUUUCCAUCAUUGAGUCUGCUUCGAGCAUGCACAAAACAUGGGGUAGUGAUGCGAACGUGGUUUCAAACGUUAAUCCUUGUUCCUAAAUUGAUAGAAUGAAUGUGGACCACAUUCCGAAUCAUGUCUUUGAUUUGUUACCGAAAAUCCAAGAGAAACAAAAUCCCAACAUUUUCCAUUCUGGCUUUUUUUUUAGUAAGUCCACAUUUUUUUCUUCUUCAUUUUUGUUAUGAAUAUUGUCAAUCAAAUAGUCUUUCAAUUGUGUUAUUGUGAUUAAUGCAACUUAAUUGCAGGUGGUGGUGGUAGUAAGCCAUGCUUAUUUACCUUUUGAGAGUUAGUAAGCCAUGUUUUUCUACCUUCUGAGGGUUACUAGAAGUUGGUUUUGCCUCACACUCCCAUGCCCAAAGAUGUGAAGGAUCACUUGCAGCCUGGUUUGUUUCAAUACAUCUCUAGACUUUGUUGCAAGAUAUUUUCUUUUAGAUUAUUUGAUCUUACAUUAAGCUUAUAAGUUUUCUUUGUCAUUGCUGAAUUUGCAAAUUCAAGGUGUAACUUCUUUCAAUGUUUCUGCUGCUUGAUGUACUAGGAUUCACAUUCAGUUCAACAAAAUCCAGGCUCAAGAUGGCUUAAAUAUAGGUAACUUUUUUUUACAAAUAGAUCUGCACCCAAGUACAAAAAUGAUGUUGCAGUUGCCACAAACUACAAAUGAAGCAAUAUUCUUGCCUCGUCAAGUUGCUAACUCCAUACCCUUUUCAUCUAAGAAGCUACCUAUAGACCCUCAUCUUGGGGUGUCUUUUUGCAGGAUAAUUUUUGCCAGGUGUCACAGUCCUAGAAGACCAUAUGUCACCUCGUGGUUAGCUGUGAGAGAAUCAUGUUAGUGGAUAGAGAAUGCAAUGGGAAAAAGACACGUGUUUUAGAAUAUUCUAGAGAUGAGUGUAUUCAGUUAAGGGAGUAGGCUGGUUGUUGCUGGUGGGAUUUUUUUUUAGCUUGUUGGGGGAGGCAAGACAGGGAGAGGAAAAACUGUGGAAAACAAGUUGGGUAUAUGGGAAGAGAGAUGGUAGGAAGAAUGGAACAAAAUUGAGUGUUCAUUGAAAGGAGUGGUUACAGAGAACGUUUUUUUGGGAAAGAGGGGAAAGAGAAAGAGAACUUGGGGAGAAAACCAGAGAAAUGAGCUUGAGAGAAAACGAGACAGCUUGAGAAUGGAGACAAGAAAAAAUGAGAGUAGUAGAUAUUUUUUUGGGGUGAGAAGAGAAAUUUGAGAGAGCUUGAGAGAGAACCAGUGAUAAGCCUUAGAGAGAAACUGAAGAAGAAGCAGGGGAGGAACUUGUCAAUUCGGUCCAAGUAUGAUUUCAUCAUUCUUUUGUAUUUUAUCAUUUCAGAUUGUUCUAUCAUGUUUCCUGAUGAUUUUUGGGUUUAUUUGCUGAUUGGUGUGGACGUCUGCUUUUUAUGUGCAUUCUCUGUUAGGGCCUCAUGUUCAAAUCUUUGUUUCUCUGUGGAAAAUACUUGAUGUAUUAAUCUUUCCCUGAGUUUGAUGAAUAGAAAUCCUGAUCUUGCUUCUUGAGAUUUUUCCACCCAUAUCCAACUCAUUGAUUAUCAUGAAUGGAGCUAAUUGUAACAACAUUUCUUCCUCUUGUACAUGCUCUGUUUUUCUUCAUUUUUUCCUCUGUUUCUGGUAUUUUUAGAGUGUUGGGCAGCAUGUUUGGGUUGGCCAUUUGGAUUGGGGUGCUUUUGAGAGAGCUCAACAUUGGAGUCUUUGAAAGACAUUGCCCUAUUGUUCAUUUGGUGAGCUGAAGGUUAUCUAUCUAAAGAAGGCAUGAAGGAGGCCAGUUUCUAGCAAGAUAUGAUGUCGCUUUUUUUUUACAAGGAUGACGGAAAUAACAUAGUUCAGUGAAGAAGGUCAUUUGGAUGUCAUCUUCACUCUGAUCAGACAUUGAAAAAUGACCCUCUCCAAAUUAGUGAAUGAAAGCUUCAUUUUCAAGUAUCCGAGUUCUUUGUAGAAGAGGUGCUCCAUGACACACCAAAUUGCCAAGGUGUCUAGUAAAUGGUCCAUGCCUUCAUGAUACCCAUGCACCUAGUUCUAGCUUCUCAUGACUGAUACCAGUUGAAAGAUAUGAUUCACCACUGUUUGCUAUCCAGCUGAGUCUUGGGAAAGGUCGGAGAAGCAUGAAUGGUGUUGAUGUGGUUGGAAGUAUGGUUGAUGCUGUAGAUAGAGAAUGUGAGAGAGAUGACCAUUUCUUCCUUUUUUUCAGCCAAAGCUGAGAUUGAUUCAUUACUUCGCGGGACUAAUCCCAUCACUGGUGGUUUUGAAGCUGGUAUCUCCAAAGGUGGACCAACCUGUGAGCACGCACAUGCCAACUUUCAUUCUUGGCAUGAAGUGGAUGAUUUGCUACUGAAAUAAAACAGAGGACAUGACGCCAAUGUGCUCUACAAUAAGGCUUCGAAGGUGCCGAUAUGAUAGAAAGGCCUACCAACCUUGAUUGGUACAAAGACCCGAUUCUUCUUGAGGCCCUAGACAUGGUUAAUAAGCCUAAAAGGCCCUCAGACAAGCCACUACAUCAUCUUCUAUAGGAUGUGCAUGAGAUUGAUGGGAUUAGAACUGUACCAAUUGGGCGUGUAGAGGCUGGCACCCUGAAGUCCAGCAUAGUGGUGACUUUUGUCCAUUAUGAACCUAUAAUUGAAUUCAUACCCGAUGAGACGUGCCAUCAGUCUUUCCCAGAGGUUGUGCUUGAUGAUAAAUUAAGCUUCAAUGUGAAAAAUAUUGUUAUGAAUGAUAAAAAACGUGGCUUUGUUACAUCCAGCUCCAAAGGUCGAUCCUAUAAAGGGAAUUGCCAGCUUCACCGCCCAGGUCAUCAUCACGCACCACCUUGAUCAUAUCUGAAAUGGAUAUGUCCCUGUUCUUGCAGUACCUCCUCCUCCACCAUGUACCCAUCCUAUCAUCCAUACUCUCCAUGCGUUUCCAUUUUUCAAAUACCCAUACCUAUAUCUUCACCUUUCAACACCCACUAAACCCAUUUUUCUUAUUACGUACCUAUUCCAUCAACCAUUUCCUAACCAAUUUCUCACACUACCCCUUAUCAUCCAUUCCACCCAUGAACAAGACCAAUAUUUUGUAAACCACUUUCUCUCCCUACUCAUGGCUCCACCCAACACUAAUCCUUUUGCGCAUGGCUACUUUCAUUUCACCACCUCUCCUGUUUGUUUUCAUCAUGCAUGAACCCAUAUGUACCUCUCUCCACAAGUUAUUCCAUUGAUCAAUCUUCAUACUCACCACAUACCUAGCACACCCACUUCCAUGUUUAUAUUUCCAUUUUUUUCAAUGCCCUUAAACCAAUAUCUCUCGUUACCUUCCUAUCAUUGCUCACUCUCUGUCACCCUUCCAUCAUUCUACUAUGGUGUACAAUGGUUCAUGCUGACGGGUUUGUUUUGCAAACUUAGAGACUACCUAAAACAUUCACAGGGGUUCAGUAGAUCAGACUAUUUUCAGCUACUCGGGGUAUCCGUACCGAUGAAUGAGGAAAUAGUAUGAAUGUACCAACCCGAGUUGAAAAGCAUAACUGGACAUGGUACAAGAAGCACCUUCUCUUAAGAAGAAUGUGAACAUGAAAUUGCCAAAGGGUUAACGAAGAUGAAUAUUUUAUUCCUACUUUGGAAGAUGAAGCAAUUGAAGUUAAACAUUUACUUGUUGAACCUAAAAAUGAUAAUAUCUUUGUGGAUGGUGUUUUGUCUCUAAAGAAGUGCUUGGACAUUUAAGAUAUUCCUGGCAGAUUUGAAUGUGUCCUAGAAGGCCAUAGUGGUGGGAUGGAUUCAAAUACUACUCGGGAAGGAGAAGACGAGCUAAAACUUGGAGUUUUGAUGGAAUGCUGCAUGAAGUUGGAGAAGUUGGGGAUCUUCAUGCAACAAAAGUCUCUCUGGUGCUUGUGAAGAUUAUCUUUUGGAUAUUGAAUUUGCUUAAAAAGUUUCAGAAUUGGACAAUGGUCUUUGUGCAGGAUCACACUUGGAGAACUCAAGUUUUGAAAGUCAUUCUCCAGGAUUUAGCGGUAAUGAUAAUGGUGUUGUUGGGAUAUCAGAAUCAUCAAUAGGAGCCAUUCCAUUGCUCGAAUGUGGGAAUAAUCUUGACAAGACAACCAUUUGUACUUUAUAUGGCACUUCUGGAAGCAAAUGUGAAUGUAAAAAUGCUUAUUUAAGAAGCAAGUAGAAUACUUUCAUACCAGGGGAAGCAGUCUGCAUAUGAUAUGAUGUAUCAAGUGUCACUGAAACAAUACUGCUCCAAAGCCACCACCUUAUUAGCUGAAUAGGAACUCAUUUGUCAAUACUCCCUUGGUGCACCCACGUAGACUUCUUCUGGCUUAAUCAGCGAGAUGGAGCUACAUGCAAAGAUCAUGGGUUGCUUUGUCGACCACUGUAUGUUGUUUGGUGUCCAUCUAUGUUUUUGUUACUCCUAUUCUCAAGCUCAUUGGAGAGACUAAUCAGGUUUCUGAGGUUGUGCAUAGCUAGAUAUCAAUAGAAAUUCCACAUGUUUGGAACAUGUUCUUGCUUCACUACAACCUUCCGUCUUUGCACUGCUCAACUGAAGACUUUUAUGACAAUCAUAUGGUGAUGCCGAAUCAAUAAACUUGUUGAUCUAGUGGAAGUUACUCUUGGUCUAAAAGACAGGAAUGUUAGACAUAACUUUUAUACACUUUUUCUCAGUCUCUUAGAUCACAUGGUUCUGGUGAAAAUCUCGAUACCGUGAAGGAACUUUUUGGUGUUGAACUUGUUAGUAGUGAGCAGAAUAGCAAUGGGAGGAAGUGGCUUAAGAAGAUUUAGCACGAUUGGAGCUUCCUUCAAGUCCUAAGUCCACUUCUAGAAUCAGUGCAAGUCAUUUUGGUGGAAUAUGGCAACCAACUCAUGCGUAGCAUCUUUGAGGCAUUUGCAAUAAGAAACUGGAUCUUGAUCCUAAAAAGGUCAAUGUCAAUGGAGGUGCUUUGGCUCUUGGGCAUCCCUUGGGUGCUAUAGGUGCUCAUUGUGUUUCAACACUGUCGUAUGAGAUGAAGCAUCGUGGAAAGGACUACCGAUAUGGUGUGGUUCCCUUGUGCUUAGUCGAGACCAUGAAAGGCAAAACCCAAGUGAGAUAGAAUCAGAAAUUGUAGAUUCAGUGAUGUGGUUCAAUGACCAGCUCAAAACCCCGAACUUAGGAUCCCACUCUUGCAUGAUUUUGGUUUGCAUGGCCACCUCCCUAAGCCCAUUUUCAUAGCCCAUACCUGCAUGCAUGUCUCCAAAACUGAUAUUUGGAAAAUCUAGUUUUCAAAAUGAUUUAAUUCACAACUUCUCAUUCCUCUUUGAUGUUUAGGUUCAACAAGUUUCAUUUUUAAUAAAAUUUUGCUGCCAUAUUGUGGACCCGCAUUUCUCACGUGCGUCCCCACUCGAUCGGCGAGACUCGCUUUUUUAUUUGUGAAAAAUUGAUUUUUGGAAAAAAAGUUGGAGUCGCCACUUAUUUUAUUUUUAUUUUAGAGGGAAAAUAAAACAAGAAAGAAAAACCCUAAAAUGUGACUCCAUUAUUUUUGGAAAAAGCAUGUCUUUGAAAAACCCGAGUCUAAGUCUGGGGAUCAGGUUACCUAUUGGGAAGGUACCUUUAAAAGGUAGCACCCCUCUAAGCCCUAUAAAGGUCUCUACUAACUAAGUUAAGGGGAAUAUGACAAUUAAUCGUUUAAUUAUGGAUACCUGAGUAGGCUAAAGUGAUUUCAAAAAAUAACAUGCCAAAUAGGAUCAAAUUGUCAUAAAAGAAAGGUUAGGAUGCGUACCCGGACCGCUUCUCAAGCGCUAUCAUAAAACAUCAGAGUUAGUAUAGAUGUAUAACACACAACAUGUAUUUAAUCAUAGUGAAUCAAGCAUACAUCUAAACACCUAAGGAUUAUCAAACAUAUGCAUACUUCACAGUGACAUGAUUGUUUACAAAAUUUAGAAAGUAGGUGAUACGAGGGCGUACCUGGAUAGCAUAGAUAACUUACAAUGCGCUUCCAUAAGACAUGAGGGAUUAGAUAAUAAUAAAAUAAAGAAACCCUAGCAUGCUUGUUAUCUAAUUAGCAUAACAAAAAUUAUCAAAGUAUAUGAAAACAUUAAUUAUCACACACAUCUUGCAUACAAUUCCUAAAAAAGAUAGACAUAAUUUCAACAAGUGACAAAGGUGGUAACAAAAAUAAUCUUUGAAAAGAUUUUCUUAUGUAGGGGUUUCACCAAUUCCCCAAUUGAUAUACACGAAUUUAGCUCAGAAUUAUCCCAUUUAUUUGGGACCACAAGCUUUGAUUCGUGUUUUAUUCAAAACUGAAAUUUUGUUUGAAAGAUGUGAACCGAUCAAAACAUGGUUGCACAUCAUUUUUUAAAAAAAAAUGAUAUUUUGAUUCUAAGAACUCUAAAUGAAUUUUUGAAAUGGAUUAUUAAGGGGAAUGAGAUUUUGAGAAUAUUGUUAUGUUUUAAAGAUAAAAGAAGUUAAUUUGAAAACAAUAAAAUGUAUGAAUCAAAAGAACAAAAUCACAAAGUAAAAUUUUUGACAACCGAUAAAAUUGAAGUGGUGGGAAUGAAGGCCAAUCUUCACUAUCUUCCGGUAGCCUCUAAAAAUUGAAUUUGAUGAAGGAUGACCAAAGUGAUAAACCAAAACCUUAGAUCUUACAAGCACUGAAACUUUAAAAACAUUUAAUCUUAAGAUAAACUUAAUCAAGCACUAAAUAUUAUGUGACCUUUAAAACAGUACAAGCGAUACGUAUCAACUAAUAUUGACAAUUUUGAGUCAUAAAUCUAAUCGACUAACUAGAUAAUUGAAUAAAAGAAAACAAACACAUAAACUAAAUAAAAUUAGUCAAAAACUAAAAUGAAUUAUUUUUAAACAAAAAAUGAUAACAUGGGGAUAGAUUAAACUAAUUGCCUACAAUUCGAAAACAUAGAAUUAAUAGAAAAAUGAAAUUAACAAUCUUAAAACAUAAACUAAAUAGUAUGAAACCAAUCAAACUAAUGAAAAUUCUAAAAAAAUAAAAAAAUAAAAAAUAAAAAAAAUUAAAAAUUAAAACAAGAUCAAUCAAAACUAAAAUAAUUUUUUAUUUAUUUUAUUUUUUAUUCUUAUUUAUUUAUUUAUUUUAGAACAUGAAUAUAUUAACGCAGAAUGAAACAAAUUAACCAACUUAAAUUCUAAAACUAAUAAACUAAAAGGAUGAAUCAUGAAUUAAAAUUAACAACCUUUAGAUAUCAAAAGAGUGACAUGGAAUCAAUUGAACUAAUAAACUGAAAUUUUAAUAUCUAAACUAAAAGAUAAAUUAAAAAUAAAUUGAAUAAAAUUAUGAAUUUCCUAAUUGAGAACAAAAAUAAUGCAAAUCAAAAUUCUAAAUUUUUAACUAUCAUCAUGAAUUAUCAAAACUCUAAAAAAAAAUCCUAACUUUUUCAUUAUCAACAAAAAUUGCCCAAACUAAUACUAAAAAAAAAAAUCUAAUUUGCCAAACUAAACAAAUAAAUUGUAACUACAUUAAACAAAAAUCAUAAUUUUCAUGCUAGAAUAAUAAAUCAAAAUUAAUUUAGCUGGUUAAGAAAAAUUAAAAAUUAACAUCUAAGCUAAAUAUGAAUUUACAAUAAAAUAAAAUUUUAAAAUGCAUAGGCCAAAUGGGAAUAAUACAAAACUAACAUUAACAAAUCAAAAACAUGAAUACAUUGACAUUGGGAAUGAGUACCUAAAUAUAUAAAAUUCUGAAACAAUUAUGAAUGGCAUUGAAUAGUCAUGAAUCAAAAUUCAAAUAGGAAGAAUUAAUUUACCUUUGUCAAAGACGCGUGGGCUACUCUUAUUAGUGACAGUAUGAUUUUUAAAAUCAAUUCCACAUGUUGUGGUGGAUACCAUGCACUGCAAGUACUUGUAGAGUCACCAAAGCAACGUGUAUUAGUGGAGAGAAAUCUCUGAUCAGCACGCACACUUGUGCUCUUGGAGAAGGAAACCGUGAAUCCUCGGAUAGUGGACCCCCUUAAAUUCUGGUGUGUAAUGAUCUCUCCUCGAGAAGUGAGAUAAUGGCCUUAGAAAAUCUGAAUGCGCCUGCCUAUGCGUGUGUUCUUGCUGGAGGAGCCUCAAUGGUAUUCUAUGCUACCAUUCGAAAUUAAUAGUGCAAUGUCUGACAGAGGAGCCUCAAUGAUGCGUGUUGCCUUUGAGAGAAUCUGGCAGUCCCCUUCAUGUCCUCUAAGCAGCAACCCCUUAAAUUGAAUGACAUUUUCUAUCACCACAUCCCCUUUGGUGCAGCCCGCGCAUGGAGUCCUUCUUGAUGGCCGGUUUCUUUUUCGUGUGGUUCUUGGCUCCUUCCUUUGCUCCAGAAAAAAAAAAAAUCCAAUAUGUCUCCGUGUGCUCCUCUAAAAAAAAUCCUCCGUGUGUUGAUCUCUCCUCGUCAAAGAAAAGUCCUAUGCGUGUUGUGCAUGGAUCUUUGUGAACGUGGCAGCCGGUUUCUUCCCUUGUAGAUCAGCAGCAUGGAUCUCUCCUUGAUGGACUGAAAGCGCGUGUGCUCCCCUGUGUGAUGGAAAGUGGCAGCCCACUUUGAAGAGAAUUUGUGGCUGUUCCUUGGAGAAUUAAUGAUACAGUCACCCUCUCCUCUCUUCCUCUGAAAAUCACCACCUCACCUCUCAAAACACGGACUGCUCCCCUCUAUUCUCCAGCCACUCUCCUGGAAGACCUCCUAGGGAAAGUCCUUCCUCCUCUCUUCAAUCCUAAAAAGAAUCAAAAUCCAUUCUUUUUUCGGUGCAGCUGCCUUUUCCCUCCAGAGAAUCCUUUCCUUCUCAAUGGUCCCGUUGACUCUACCAACAUGGAAAGACAACUCACCAGCCCGGAGAGCCUCAAUCAUCCACGUCAGUCAAGCAUCAUCAGGACUCUCCCUCCUGAACAUAGUCUUCAUUCCGUCCAAAUACCCAUUGAACCUUUCCUUUUUCCAUGCCAAAAUAGCUUUGGUAAUUUUCUUUCUUCAUUAUUUCCUUCCAUCAAAAGCACAAUCAGCACAUGCAUGGGUGCAUACUUGCUUUCUUUCUCAGUUCAUUUCCUUCCAUACGUCCUCUCCUCUUCCAACCACCUUGGAUCUAUCCUUCAACACAUGCAUAUCUUUGCCAAUACAUGUUUUCAACCUUCCCUUUUCUCUCCAGUGAUGAUUCCUUUGGUGAAUUUCUCUACAAAAAUAUAAAGAAAAUUAGACUUAAUGAAUGAAUCCCAAGGUGUUUUAGAAAAUUAUAAAAUAAACAAACAAAUUAAAUUAACAAAAUAAUUAAGUAAAUAAUGAUAAUAAUAAUGAUAAUAAUAAUAAUAAUAAUAAUAAUAAUAAUAAUAACAAUAAUAAGAACUCAUUUCAUGCAAUUAUAAAAUAAAAUAAAUAAACAAAAAUACAAAUAAUAAUAAUGAUGAAAUAGUAUAAAUAUAUCAAAAACUCACUUAAUCUUAAAAGCAAUCAAUAAAAUAAAUAAAUAAAUAAAACAAGAAAACAAAUCUAAGUGAAACUAAACCUUGAAAAGUGUUUAAGUGGGCCUAAGGCGGUACCUAAUGGGCCAAGUGUGUCUAAUGGGCCUAAGGUGCACUAAGUGAACCUAAAGUGAUGCCUAAUGGGCCAAGUGUACCUAAAUGGGCCUAGGGUACCUAAAUGGGCCUAAAGUGAUCUAAGUGGGCCUAGGGUGACUAAGUGAGCCUAAAGUGGCUAAAUGGGCCUAAGGUGCCUAAAUGGGCCUAAAGUGAUGCCUAAUAGGCCAAGUAUCUAAAUGGACCUAAGGUGAUGCCUAAUGGGCCAAGUGUGGUGCCUUAGUGGGCCUAAAGUGCCUAAGUCUAAAUUAGAGCUACCAAAGGUCACAAUAAGAGGUCAAAUCAUCCUUCAACCAUAGUCUCCAAGGUGGCUUAGAAAAUAUAGGCUACACGAGUAUUAACAGGCCACCAGGGAAUUGCUAUAAACGACAUGUGCGAGGAAGACAAAAUAGAGGGUCUACAAAUAUGCCCCUCUUCGGUAGAGAUCACGAGUGUAGGGAAUGUGAGUAAAAAUACGAAUAAUGAGCGGAACGAAAUGAACUAUACCGAAGAACUAAAAGAAAAGGACCUGAGAUUUUGUCCUAGCACAUGACGAGAAUAAGCUCUAAACACGGGGACGCAAUAAAAAACGAAAUAACUUCAGGUCGUGAGCUCAAGGCUUUACACAGAAAGAAUGACUCUGGGUCAUAGACGAGAGAAAUGACUCUGGGUCAUAAGUGAAAAAAAUCGACUCUAGGUCGAGAGCUCUAGGCUCUAAAUGGAAUAGAAAUGACUCUGGGUCAUAAAUGAAAAAUCGACUCUAGGUCGAGAGCUCUGGGCUCUAAAUGGAAAAGAAAUGACUCUGGGUCAUAAAUGAAAAAAUCGACUCUAGGUCGAGAGCUCUGGGCUCUAAAUGGAAAAUCGACUCUAGAUCGAGAGCUCUGGGCUCUAAAUGGGAAAUCGACUCUGGGUCGAGAGCUCUGGGCUCUAAAUGGGAAAUCGACUCUAGGUCGAGAGCUCUGGGCUCUAAAUGGAAAAUCGACUAUGGGUCGAGAGCUCUGGACUCUAAAUGGAAAAUCGACUCUGGGUCGAGAGCUCUGGGCUCUAAAUGGAAAAGAAAUGACUCUGGGUCAUAAAUGAAAAACGACUCUGGGUCGAGAGCUCUGGGCUCUAAAUGGAAAAGAAAUGACUCUGGGUCGAGAAAAAACGACUCUAGGUCGAGAGCUCUGGGUCUAAACGAAAAUCGACUCUAGGUCGAGAGAUCUGGGCUCUAAAUGGGAAAUCGACUCUGGGUCAAGAGCUCUGGGCUCUAAAUGGAAAAGAAAUGACUCUGGGUCAUAAAUGAAAAACGACUCUGGGUCGAGAGCUCCGGGCUCUAAAUGGAAAAUCGACUCUGGGUCGAGAGCUCUGGGCUCAUAAACGAAAAACGACUCUGGGUCGAGAGCUCUAGGCUCUAAAUGGAAAAUCGACUCUGGGUCGAGAGCUCUGGGCUCUAAAUGGAAAAGAAAUGACUCUGGGUCAUAAACGAAAAACGACUCUGGGUCGAGAGCUCUGGGCUCUAAAUGGAAAAGAAAUGACUCUAGGUCAUAAACGGAAAACGACUCUGGGUCGAGAGCUCUGGGCUCUAAAUGGAAAAUCGACUCUAGGUCGAGAGCUCUGGGCUCUAAAUGGAAAAGAAAUGACUCUGGGUCAUAAAUGAAAAAAUCGACUCUGGGUCGAGAGCUCUGGGCUCUAAAUGGAAAAUCGACUCUAGGUCGAGAGCUCUGGGCUCUAAAUGGAAAAGAAAUGGAGACUAACUCAAAAGGGGGUAGGAAGCAAAUGGAUCAAAGUCGUGUGAUCGAAAUGCUAAGGGUUAGACUUGUAAGCUUAGGAAAGAAAAUAUGCCCCGGUAUCCAAGGUGCUCGUAGUGCUGAAACAACCAAUAAAUCAAUCAUUCGCUAAAAUCAAGGUGUCUGUAACCGAUGCAUCGUGACAAACCUCUAAAAAAUCUGAACUAAAAGAGCCCUCUAUGUCUCACAAGCUGCUCUGGCAACAAACCUCAAGAGGUAAAUCUCGGAGUGUGUAUAUUGUGACUCAUCUAAAAGAAAAACUCAAGGUGCACGAAAAUACUGGUCACCUAGAUAACCCGAUCCACAAGAUAAUCAAUGAAGAAAACAAUCUAUCUCAUGAGCAUCUAGCUAAAGGAUCCAUCCAUGCUCCUCGGGUGAAACCUGAUGUGAUCCAUCUCUAUCUCGACAAAUCCAUAUAGGGGGGUCCUGAUACAGUCAAUCAUCGAAAGCUUAGGGCUAGUACUCAAUCUGAAACCAAACUGGCUACUGUCCCAAUCUCAAGGAUACUCCGAAAGUAGGGAUAUAUGCCCCAGUAUGAGACCUGAUGUCAAAGUCAUAAGCUAAACAAACCGACACCAAUCAUCCAUCCUCAUAUCACUGCCCAAAUAAAUCUCGUCAAGGAGAGGGGAAUAUGCCCCAGUGUGGAUAACCUAAUGUCGAAGUCGUGAGGUAAACAAACUAACAAUGAUCAUCCAUCCUCGUACCAUAUACAAUAACAGAUAAGAAUCUCGGAGGAAGGGGGAAUAUGCCCCAGUGUGAAUAUAUAAUGCACAACCAAAUGAUGAAUCCAAUAUCAUCAAUCAACUAUCCUCAGCUCAACAAUAAUCUGCUAAGAAGUCAAAAUAAAGUAUCGACCAAUGCCUCAAGGGAGACACUCUAAAUCCAACCUCAAAUGAAUAGCCAAAAUGAUGAGGGAUGUGACAGUCUCGAGAUGGGGAAAUAUGCCCCAGUGUGGAUGUCUGGUGCACGAGAAAAUGAUGAAUCCGAUAUCCUCAAUGAACUGUCUCCAAACCCAAAAAUCCAUCAAAAUCAAUAUGUCAAGCAAGAGAGAGACCAAAUGCUUCCAAAAGUAUCUUCCAUAAAAGAUAACAUAGUAACGACCAUACUUCAACCAAUCUACCAAAAACCUGUCCAAGUGAAGACUGUCAAAGAUAACGUCUGAUCUCGUGGCCUCAGGGUGGUCAUAAGACACGGGACGUAACGUAGGCCAAGGUGAUAGGGUGAAAGAAAUGAAGGGAAACUAGGCUCAAAUACCCAAUGAUCAAACCCGUACCCUCGUGUACAAGAUGUAAUGCAUAGAAAAAUCUCAUGAGUCAUGGACUUAGAAGUAACCAAAGGGAAUGCCGAUAACGAAAUGAGAGAAAGGAUGAAUGGUCAAACCAUCAAUGAAAUAUGUGAAUGAUGUGAAGAAGGUAUCAAAUCAGUAAUGAGUAUCAAUAUGUAGGGAAUGAAUAAAAGGUGGAACAAAGAUCUGGAAUGCGGUAAUGGGAUACAAAAGAAAGCAAUGAGAAAGUGGAAUGAGUGAUGAUCAACCCAUGUUAGUACAAUAAAGGAAAGUCAUAUCACCAAUGAUGGAAUGGUGGGUAAGGCAAUGAUCCGGAGACCUCAGUAAAAAGAUUACUCAUCUCUCAUACCUAGUAUAUAUCAAACAUGAUCCAAAAAGCAUAGGAUCUCAUAGAACUCUCAUAUGAACCCUCGACACUCCAAAUGCAUAACAAGAGUGGCUCAAGGACUGAAAAACUCAUAAAAACUCACAAAAACCCACAAUGACAAAUAUACCUAAUAAAUGAACCUCAAAAGGUGGCAUAAAUACCCAAUGGAACGAGAUACCAUACAUGAGCAUAUCAUUGCGCUUUUCUUUUCCUUUUUUUUUGUUUUUGUUUUUUUUUUCUUUCUUUUUUUUUUUUGUUUUUUUUUUGUUUUUUUUUUGUGUUUUUUUUUUGUGUUUUUUUUUUUUUUUUUUUUUUGCGCAUGCUCUGAUCAUCAAUAAAUCAAACUCCAAUGGAAAAAAUAUAAGGAAUGAACAAACUCUCUCUAACCAUUGAUGAAUACAUGAACCCCAACCCCUGAGACAACCUCUCAAACUAAGAUCUCCGAAUCAAUGUCAAAUGAUGGAAUGAAUAGAGUGAUAUAACUUGCCCUCUUUGCACUAAGACGUGAAGAAUCAUCAACCCAAGGAAGAGAAUAGAUAAGAUAAAGCAAAUAAUGAUAGAGACAAGAAAGAGAAUGAAUAUGUGGUGAUAAUAAAAUAGAACAAAUAGGGUGAUAAGAGGAUGGUAACAAAAUGAGAAGAUAGACCUAUAAGUCUAAAGCUCAUGAGACUUUCCUAGCAAAGCAUGCGUAUACAUCAAAGGCCCCAACCCGGGUAUAGAAAUGGUAAUCAAAGCUAUAAGAAAGAAAUAAGGCUAUAACAUACCACGCGAAGCUCAAUGGGCUAGCAACGGUCUAAUAUAUAGAGGUGAUAAAGUAUGAGGCUAACCGAAAUGAUGGCCACCCAUCCUGCGACCACGGUCUCAAACAUAAUACUUCUUCAGCUGAUCCACAUUGGUAGGCUCUGAAAAUUGGUUUCCAUCUAAGUCUGUCAACCAUGCAGCCCCUUCCGGAGUCAACUCUCGGAUAAUAUAAGGCCCACUCCAACUAGGUCUAAACUUUCCUCUAGGGUCUCCAAUCAAACCUCUGAGAAUCCUCAAAACUAAGUCUCCUUUUUGCAAUGGUCUAGGCUUAACCCGUUUCUUGAAGGCACGAGCCAUCUUUCUCUGAUAGGCCUGAACAUGAUCUGCUGCUCUCAAUCUCCUCUCAUCUAAAAGGUUAAGCUGAUCAAAUCGAGCCUGAGCCCACUCUGUCUCAGAAAUCUGCUGCUCAAGGACUACUCUCAAUGAGCCCAUUUCUGUCUCGACUGGCAAAACAGCCUCCAUACCAUACACUAGAGAGUAAGGCGUAGCUCCUGUAGAAGUACGAAAAGAUGUACGAUAUGCCCACAACGCAAAGGGAAGCUUCUCUGACCAGUCUCGAGAAGUCUCAACCAUUUUCCUCAAAAUCCUCUUAAUAUUCUUGUUUGCAGCCUCUACUGCCCCGUUGGUCUGUGGCCUAUAUGCUGAAGAUCUAUGAUGUCGGAUGGCAUACUUCUGCAACAAAGUAUCUACCUCAGCUCGGAAGUGUACCCCUCUGUCGAAAAUCAACUCAUGAGGAACCCCAUAGCGGCAAAUGAUGUGUGAUCUGAUAAAACUAGCAACCCUAGCAGAUGUCAACCUCGCAUAUGAUGCGGCUUCCACCCACUUGGUGAAAUAGUCUAUGGCAACUAGGAUGAACUCAUGACCACUAGAAGAUUUUGGUGAAACCUUCCCAAUAAUAUCAAUACCCCAUACUGAAAAUGGCCAUGGCGAAGUCAAGGCGUGUAACUCUGAUGGCGGUGCAUGUAUGAGAUCACUAUGAAUCUGACACUCUGGGCAUUUCUGAACAAACUGACAACAAUCUGUCUCCAUAGUUAACCAGAAGUAACCCGUCCUCAUAAUCUUACGAGCUAGCAUGUGUCCUCCCAUAUGCGGACCACAAACUCCUGCAUGAACCUCUCUCAUCACUCGAUCUGCAGAGGCUCGAUCUAAACAUAAUAAAAGCAUACCAUCAGCUGAUCGCCUAUAUAGAGUCUCUCCGCAAAUCACAAAUCUAGUGGCUAACUGCCUCAAUGCCCUACGAUCUCGGGCAGUGGCAGCCUCUGGGUAUAUGCUAGAUCUAAGAAGCUGAUAAAUGUCAUGAUACCAAGGUAGAUCAUCCUGGGUCUCCGUCUCUCCAAUCAAACAACAAUAGGCGGGGGCAAACCUCGACUCAAUCAGCAAUGGACGUAUAACCACAUCAAUCGGAAUAUCCACGGAAGAAGCUAAGGUAGCUAAGGCAUCAGCAAACUGGUUUUGUGCUCUAGGUAGAUGAGUGUAUCUCAAGUCAUCAAAUCUCCCAACCAGUAACUCUAAAUAAGCAUGAUACGGCCUAAGCUUUACAUCCCUAGUCUUCCAAUCUCCCUGAAUCUGCCUGAGUACGAGAUUGGAGUCACCAAAUACUUCCAUCUGUCUAAUGCCAAGCUCUAGUGCAGUCUCUAAACCAAGGAUACAAGCCUCAUACUCAACUAUGUUGUUCGUGGCGGGAUGUUGAUCUGAAAACACCAAACGAACUGACCUCGGAAUAUGAUCACCUUGGGGAGAUAUCAACAAAACGCCUAUCCCAAACCCUAAUUGGUUGGCUGCACCAUCGAAGUACAUGCGCCAACCUGAUAAGCUAGUCAUGGAAAUGAACUCCUCAUAUGGAAAAUCAUCAUCAACUGGUCUACCCUUAGAUAUCGGUAAUGAAGCCAAAUGAUCGGCGACAAUACUUCCCUUAAUAGACUUCUGAGAAACGUACUGAAUAUCAAACUCUGUCAGGAGUACGAGCCAUCUCAUCAAUCUACCAGUCAAUGCAGGUCUAUCAAACAGAUACCUCAAAGGAUCUAACCGAGAAAUCAAGCACACCGAAUACUCAGUCAUGUAGUGCCUCAAUCUCCUGGUGGCCCAAACUAACGCUAAACACAUGCGCUCAAUCAUAACAUAUCUCAUCUCAUACUCCAGCAUCCUCUUGCUCAAAUAGUAAAUCGCCCGCUCUUUCCCGGAGUCAUCAAGCUGAGCUAGCAUGCAUCCCAAGGUCAUGUCUGAAACUGACAAAUACAGAAGAAGUGGACGUCCUGGCAUAGGAGGCACUAAAACAGGAGGAGAAAGCAAAUACUCCUUGAUCUUCUCAAAUGCAAUUUGGUAGUCGUCAUUCCAAACCGUUGGCUGAUUCUUCCUCAAAAGACGAAAGAUGGGCUCACAUAUGUCUGUCAAUCUGGCUAUAAAACGACUAAUAUAUUGUAACCUGCCUAAAAAACCUCUGAUCUCUUUCUCAGUCAUCGGCACAGGCAUGUCAAGUAUGACUUUGAUUUUAUCUGGGUCGACCUCUAUGCCCCGAUCACUGACCAUAUGCCCCAACAGUUUCCCAGAAGUCACUCCAAAGGUGCACUUCUUGGGGUUUAGCCUCAAUCUAAACUUCCGGAUCCUCUCAAAGAAUCUCUCUAAAGCAUCUAAGUGAUCUGCUCUACCUCGAGAUUUCACAAUCAUAUCAUCCACGUAAACCUCGACAUCCCUAUGCAUCAUGUCAUGAAACAAAGUGGUAGCGGCUCUCUGAUAAGUAGCUCCUGCAUUCUUCAACCCAAAUGGCAUGACUUUGUAACAGUAGGUACCCCACUCGGUAAUGAAGGCUGUCUUUUCCAUAUCUUCUAGGGCCAUCAAAAUCUGAUUAUACCCCGAGAAUCCAUCCAUGAAUGAUAACAUCGAAUGGCCUGCGGUGCCAUCAACCAACAAAUCAAUGUGUGGGAGGGGAAAAUCAUCCUUAGGGCUGGCUUUAUUAAGGUCUCUGAAAUCGACACAAACUCUAACCUUGCCAUCCUUUUUGGGAACUGGGACGACAUUAGCCAACCACUCUGGAUACUCAACUACUGAUAUAAACCCAACACUGAGCUGUUUCUGAAUUUCCUCUUUCACUUGUAGACUCCAACGUGGGUGUAAUCGCCUCAAUUUCUGCUUAACUGGUCUAACAUGUGGUAGAAUAGGCAGAUGGUGUUGGACUAUAGAGGGAUCCAAACCUGGCAUGUCCUCAUAAGACCAUGCAAAAACAUCCAAGUAUGACCUGAGUAAAUGAAUAAGUCUAUCUCUCUCUUCUGUAGAUAGGGGUGAACCAAUCUUCAGCUCUCUAGGCUGAUCCUCUGUGCCAAAAUCAAUAGUCUCAACAUCCCCUGUAUCAGGUGAAACUCUCUCAUCCACGGGAUCAGAGUUAUGAUCAGAAGAGUCCCUAUCCGAAUCGAGCCAUGCAACUUCAUCAUUUAUAUCAAAUAUCUGUGAAGUGGGUGAGUGGGGUGCAAAUAUAGAGGUACUAUCACAAGAGACAGGCGAAUACUCAAAAAUACUCAAAUCCAUAAAUGAAGCAACAGAAACAUCGUCAGAGUGGGAGACAAAUCCCGAUAAAACAUCAAAAGAAAGAGGUGGGUCCACAAGGUCGGACGCUCCCUCAACUGGGCUAACAAUGCCCUCAAACAAGCUACUAUCAUCCUCUGGAAGCUCUGGAAUAGGAAGAGUCUGAGUCCCCUCAAAAACCUCAAUGGUAGACACCCCGAACAUAUCAAAUGCUGAAACAGGCUGGAGCUGAACAAUGCUGGUAAUCUGGCUCGUGGUCAUCAUGUCCAUCUCAUCUCGGUACUCAUCAUGGGAAACAACUCCAUCAAUCAUCUCAGUAGAAUCAAUCAUCACCCCAUCACCAGUGAUCUCCUCUGGAAAGCAUAGAGACAACAUGCUAGCUCGAUCUGGAGACGUGGGAGUAAUCGUCAAAGGGAAAGGAGAGUCGGGAGCCCCAUCACUCAACUGUAGCUGGUGAAAUAGAUGCUGAAGCUCGGUCUCUCUAUCUGUAUGAACCACACUAUCAAUCUCCUCUAGACGAGGUCGAGUCUCUGAUCCUCUAACAAAGUAGUCAGCCAAACUCAUCCUAUAGGGUCGAAUAGGAUAAUCAAAUGGUGUGUGGGAUAAACGGGCUCUCACCCUCUCCUUACGCAGUCGCGCCAUGUGACGGUAGUCGGCCUCAGUAGGGAUGAAUCCAAGUCCAAAUGUCGUAUCAUGGUCAAUGGCAGCUAUGAACUCGCUUGGUCCCUACUGACGUCGUCCUAACCCCAUGCCAGGUAGAAAGGUCAUACCCCUCAUCAUAUCAAGGACCACUGUGCUGCUGUGCUGAUCAAAUGACAUAGCCACAAAAUCUCUACAAAAAUCCUCAAUCUCGAGAGUCUGUAUCUCGUCAAAAGUAAACCCAAUCAGAAGUAGGUCGUCCUCACUGUGACUGAUCUGAAGUACUGGCUCAGAAGCGACAAAUACAUCCCUGGUAGAGCGAACUGUGAUGACCUGCCCAUCAUGAAUAAACUUCACCUUCUGAUGAAGGGAAGAAGGAAUAGCUCCAGCUACAUGAAUCCAUGGUCGGCCUAGUAGCAGGUUAAAGGAUGUAGGAAUCCUCAAAACCUGGAACAAAGUGGAGAAUGUGGCUGGACCAAUCUGCAGAUCAAUCAUCAAGGUACCCAUAACCUCCCUCUUGGUGCUAUCAUACGCCCUGACUGUCUGAGUAGAAGGACCAAAAUCUGAAGGCGCGAAACCAAGGGCUAUAGCAGUGGCUAAAGGGCAAACAUUCAGGGCUGAGCCGUUGUCCAGUAAGACAGACGGGACUCUACGGCCUGAACAUCUAACUGUGAUGUAUAGAGGGCGCACGUGGUCUAAACCAUCAGGUGGCAAGUCAUCAUCUGAAAAUACAAUGCAAGUGGCCCUGCCAGCCGUCAUCAUAUGAAUCAAUCCCUCCGGGGUAGUGGUGGUCUCUACGCGAAUCUGGCUCAAAGCCCGAAUCAAUGCAUCUCUAUGAGUACUAGAAGAUGCCAACAAACUCCAGAUAGAUAUGCGGGCCUGUGUACUCUGUAACUGCCUCAAUAUCUCAUCAUCCUCUUUCCUGACCUCCUCAUGAGAAACCGCGCCAUCAAAUGGCCUGGAUACUAGAGGUGGGGGCUGAGCUACUCUCCCACUACGGGUCACAAUCUGUACAUCUCUCCCCUCUAAAUCAUCAUCAUCUAGCCGUAGGAUAAAUGGGACGGGCGGGCCCUGACGUGCUGUAGCCGAUGGUGCAAUAGGAGUCAACUCAAAUGGUAUCCAAUCUGAAAUCAAACUGAAUGGAGUAAAAGUCUGAGAACCCACUGUGUCAACCUCAUAACCAUCAUCCAAAACAAUCGGCUCUGGCACUCCAUCAUCCCAACUCAUCAUGUGUAUGCUGUCAUCCUCUACAAAAUCUAUAUGAUGUAUACCACCUAGGGGUGGUGGCAUUGCAUGUGUAGAGUGAGCCGGUAAAGGGUUCGUGGUUACACUUGCCUGCCCCAAGUUAACCAGACCCUGAUCUAUCAAGUCCUGUAUAGCAUGUCUCAAGGCGGCGCAAUGAUCUGUGUCAUGCCUUGGGCCUUGAUGGUAGGAACAAUGUAGAUCCAUCUUGAAGCGUGGUGGCACAGGCUGGGGUACAGGCCUAGGUGCCAACUGAGUCAACAAACCACCCUCCAUGAGCUUUUGGAAAGCUCGACUCAAAGGCAUACCUAGCUGGGAGAACUGUCGUGUCGGCCUCUGUACAAGAGGAAUAGUAGUUUGUGGAGCUCGAGGCCGAGGAUAUAAGGUAGGAGGCCUCUCCGAGACCUGUGCAGCAAAAACAGGCUCUGGGGUCUGGUGUAGGUAUGUAGGAAUCAUGGGCCUGGGUGGUCUAUACUGAGCAUAACGCUGCGGGUAAUAGGCUCGUGAAGUCUGCCCGAAUGUCUGAUAACGCUUGGGAGAUCUCGAUCCUACUGAACUGAUAGCACUCACAUCUCCUAGUCUCUGUCCUCCUAACGGAUUCUUCCCCUUUGAAUCAGAAAGAGAAGACUCAGGCCACAACCCUCUAGCAAUGCCCUCCUCUAUGCCAUACAGGGCCUGUACCAAGGAUCCAAAAUCCGUAUGAGGAAAUCCCAUCAAAUGUCUAGCAAAUCUAGGCUGUAAACUCCUCAAAAUCAUACUAAUCUGGUCCUUCUCGGAAGGACGAUCAACAAUCUGGGCGAUCUUCUCCCUCCACCGGGAGAUAAAUGAAGUAACCGACUCAUCUGACCCCUGUCUCAAGGCCUCUAACUCUCUCCUCGAGACAUCAAUGACAAUGUUAAACGCGAACUGUCUCAAAAACUCUUGGGCCAAGUCAUCCCAAGUCCUACGGCGUGAAACGUCUAAAGAAGCAAACCAACGCUGCGCUGCACCACUCAAGGACAUGGGAAAAAGCAUAAUCAAAUGGGCCUCAUCCAACCCGUGGGCCCUCAUCACACUACUGUAUAACCUCAAAUGAAUCUUAGGGCAACCUAUGCCCGUAUACCUCUCAAUCUCUGGCAUCCUGAACUGAGUCGGUAAACUGACUACCGGUGCUCCAUCAAAAUCAUCCCAACUGAUGUCUCCAUCCGAAACCCUCAUCUGUCUCAUCCUCUGCUCGAGUCUAUCCAUACGAGCAUGUGCAUCCUCUGAUGCCUGAAUGGGUGCUACAACAGGAAGUGGGGUAGCAUCAGUCUGACCAUGUAAAACAUACGGUGUCGGGUGUGGAACUGACUGACUGAGUGAAGGGGGUGGUGGUGCCGUAGAGUCAUACUGUGCACCAUCCUGAGGUGGGGCCUGCUGCCCGUCUAUCCUCUGGCCAAGGCCGGCUAUAGCCUCCUGAAUCGAAGCCAUGGCCGCAGCAAACUGGUCAACUGUGACUACCUGGGAGUCCAUAUCUCUCUGAUCUACUCUCUGGUCUGGCUGAUCUGAUACUCUGGUCAACCUGCCUCUAACUCUAGUCCACGAAGGCGAAUCCAGACUGGGCACCAAAAAAUACUCCUUUAAACACGGAAACACUAGAUGAGACGUUGUACAAGGGUAACUCUGUAGAAAUCGACUAAAAGGUAAUCAAGCAUAUAGCCCAUGUAUACUCAAACUGAUACCCGUAUCUGAUCAUACCAAAAUGGGACUAUGGAGAGGGUAAUCGAACCCAAUUGUAGCCAAGACAGCUCUGAAGGUCCACAGAUGCACCCACGUGUAAGAGUGAAAUCCUAAUUGGGUCUAGGCUAGCCUACAAGAUUGUGGUGGUUCUAUAAGAUAAAAAAAAUGGGUGGAUUAAAGGAUCCCUAGCAGAAGCGAUCGUACCCUCCGGUGGUACGCAACCCUCUACACGCCUCCAAAGAGACGGGGUGCUUCCAUGCAAGGUGGUCAUCACCUCCACACAUGCACUUCCUCGCGUUCCCAGGGGGUUUCCUAAUGGUGAAGGCUCUCUCAUCUCUCAACACUCAGGGAUAAUCUAAAGUGCACAAUGAAGAAUGUGGGUGCAUCCGAAAAACCUAAGAUCUAAAGUGAGAUAGUGGACAAAGACAAGCAAUCAUACAAUCAUGCAAGAGAAAGGGUUGUCAUGCAACAAGCAGUCAUACCAAGCAAAUAAGUAUCAUACAAUCAAAGUCCUACCUAACAUAUGUGAGAGUGGAUCAUGCUAAAGUGAGCAAGCAAUCAAGUGAUCUUUUAAGGCAAUCAAACAUGUUAAGAUAGCAAACCAAACAAGCAAGCAAAUCGAAUCACCUUGCCUAAAAAGGAGGUACCCACUAAUCGACCAAUUAAACGCCACAUUUUCCUCAACUAGUGUUCAAGCUUGAUCCUCAAAAUCCCCAGUGGAGUCGCCAAUUUGUGGACCCGCAUUUCUCACGUGCGUCCCCACUCGAUCGGCGAGACUCGCUUUUUUAUUUGUGAAAAAUUGAUUUUUGGAAAAAAAGUUGGAGUCGCCACUUAUUUUAUUUUUAUUUUAAAGGGAAAAUAAAACAAGAAAGAAAAACCCUAAAAUGUGACUCCAUAAUUUUUGGAAAAAGCAUGUCUUUGAAAAACCCGAGUCUAAGUCUGGGGAUCAGGUUACCUAUUGGGAAGGUACCUUUAAAAGGUAGCACCCCUCUAAGCCCUAUAAAGGUCUCUACUAACUAAGUUAAGGGGAAUAUGACAAUUAAUCGUUUAAUUAUGGAUACCUGAGUAGGCUAAAGUGAUUUCAAAAAAUAACAUGCCAAAUAGGAUCAAAUUGUCAUAAAAGAAAGGUUAGGAUGCGUACCCGGACCGCUUCUCAAGCGCUAUCAUAAAACAUCAGAGUUAGUAUAGAUGUAUAACACACAACAUGUAUUUAAUCAUAGUGAAUCAAGCAUACAUCUAAACACCUAAGGAUUAUCAAACAUAUGCAUACUUCACAGUGACAUGAUUGUUUACAAAAUUUAGAAAGUAGGUGAUACGAGGGCNNNNNNNNNNNNNNNNNNNNNNNNNNNNNNNNNNNNNNNNNNNNNNNNNNNNNNNNNNNNNNNNNNNNNNNNNNNNNNNNNNNNNNNNNNNNNNNNNNNNNNNNNNNNNNNNNNNNNNNNNNNNNNNNNNNNNNNNNNNNNNNNNNNNNNNNNNNNNNNNNNNNNNNNNNNNNNNNNNNNNNNNNNNNNNNNNNNNNNNNNNNNNNNNNNNNNNNNNNNNNNNNNNNNNNNNNNNNNNNNNNNNNNNNNNNNNNNNNNNNNNNNNNNNNNNNNNNNNNNNNNNNNNNNNNNNNNNNNNNNNNNNNNNNNNNNNNNNNNNNNNNNNNNNNNNNNNNNNNNNNNNNNNNNNNNNNNNNNNNNNNNNNNNNNNNNNNNNNNNNNNNNNNNNNNNNNNNNNNNNNNNNNNNNNNNNNNNNNNNNNNNNNNNNNNNNNNNNNNNNNNNNNNNNNNNNNNNNNNNNNNNNNNNNNNNNNNNNNNNNNNNNNNNNNNNNNNNNNNNNNNNNNNNNNNNNNNNNNNNNNNNNNNNNNNNNNNNNNNNNNNNNNNNNNNNNNNNNNNNNNNNNNNNNNNNNNNNNNNNNNNNNNNNNNNNNNNNNNNNNNNNNNNNNNNNNNNNNNNNNNNNNNNNNNNNNNNNNNNNNNNNNNNNNNNNNNNNNNNNNNNNNNNNNNNNNNNNNNNNNNNNNNNNNNNNNNNNNNNNNNNNNNNNNNNNNNNNNNNNNNNNNNNNNNNNNNNNNNNNNNNNNNNNNNNNNNNNNNNNNNNNNNNNNNNNNNNNNNNNNNNNNNNNNNNNNNNNNNNNNNNNNNNNNNNNNNNNNNNNNNNNNNNNNNNNNNNNNNNNNNNNNNNNNNNNNNNNNNNNNNNNNNNNNNNNNNNNNNNAACACAUGCAUAUCUUUGCCAAUACAUGUUUUCAACCUUCCCUUUUCUCUCCAGUGAUGAUUCCUUUGGUGAAUUUCUCUACAAAAAUAUAAAGAAAAUUAGACUUAAUGAAUGAAUCCCAAGGUGUUUUAGAAAAUUAUAAAAUAAACAAACAAAUUAAAUUAACAAAAUAAUUAAGUAAAUAAUGAUAAUAAUAAUGAUAAUAAUAAUAAUAAUAAUAAUAAUAAUAAUAAUAACAAUAAUAAGAACUCAUUUCAUGCAAUUAUAAAAUAAAAUAAAUAAACAAAAAUACAAAUAAUAAUAAUGAUGAAAUAGUAUAAAUAUAUCAAAAACUCACUUAAUCUUAAAAGCAAUCAAUAAAAUAAAUAAAUAAAUAAAACAAGAAAACAAAUCUAAGUGAAACUAAACCUUGAAAAGUGUUUAAGUGGGCCUAAGGCGGUACCUAAUGGGCCAAGUGUGUCUAAUGGGCCUAAGGUGCACUAAGUGAACCUAAAGUGAUGCCUAAUGGGCCAAGUGUACCUAAAUGGGCCUAGGGUACCUAAAUGGGCCUAAAGUGAUCUAAGUGGGCCUAGGGUGACUAAGUGAGCCUAAAGUGGCUAAAUGGGCCUAAGGUGCCUAAAUGGGCCUAAAGUGAUGCCUAAUAGGCCAAGUAUCUAAAUGGACCUAAGGUGAUGCCUAAUAGGCCAAGUAUCUAAAUGGACCUAAGGUGAUGCCUAAUGGGCCAAGUGUGGUGCCUUAGUGGGCCUAAAGUGCCUAAGUCUAAAUUAGAGCUGCCAAAGGUCACAAUAAGAUGUCAAAUCAUCCUUCAACCAUAGUCUCCAAGGUGGCUUAGAAAAUAUAGGCUACACGAGUAUUAACAGGCCACCAGGGAAUUGCUAUAAACGACAUGUGCGAGGAAGACAAAAUAGAGGGUCUACACAUAUUUCUUUCUAGCAAGCAAUUUUCACAUCUCCUCUGUUUUUAAAAUGUUUUAAAAUAAGCAAGAAUUAAAUUUCGUAAUUCCAAGCGAUGGAAUUUAUGAAAUUGAUUCAUGCAAAAAUAAAUUGGGCUUUGGUGGGGGUCCAACAUCAAUGAAUGUUUUCUCUAAAAAUAAAUUUUGAGUGGAGUGUGAUAUUUGAUGAUUUAUUACUCGGUUUAGUGACAUGUGUGUCAUAUGUUAUGUUCAUUGUUGUGCAUUAACCUCAUUUCCUAAUAGCACUUUAGCGUUUAAUGCUAAGGUAUACAUCAUCUCUCAGUUUGACCAUUCUCUAUGUAUGCUUUGGCUUUCAGUGUGUGAUCAUGUUGAUAUCCAUUGAUUUCCUUACCAAUUGUCAUGAUUGUCGUCUUUACCGUACCUUCCUAAUAAGUAACUUGACCCUGGGCCCAUUUUUGGUUUUUUACAGAUCACAUUUUCCAAAUAAGGAGUUAUACUUAGAGUUUUCUUUCUUAUUUUGUUUACCUUUUAAAAAUAAAACAAAAAUAAGUGGAGUCUCAAGUCAUUUUCUAAAAAAUAAAUUAUUUUUCAAAAUAAAAAACGAGUUCGCCAUCGAGUGGAAGCGCAUGAGCAGAAAUGUGGGGUCCACACUACCCAAAAUUUUGAACCGGCUUUUAGUGAAGGAAAAUUCUGUAGAAGCUGAGCUGAUGAAGAAGAUAGAAGAGUGUGAGGAGGCUGUCAUGGAUGGAGAAUCUAGGUUCUGUGCAACAUCAUUAGAGUCCCUAAUCGAUUUCAACACUUCAAAGCUCGGAAGAAAUGUGAAUGUGCUGAUGAAUGAGGUCAAAACGGGAAGCCAGGAGUUUGAAUUUGGAGUGGGAACGAAGAAGGUUGCAGACAAAUCAGUGGUGUGCCAUAAGAUGAACUACCCAUAUGUUGUUUUCUACUACCAUACAUUAACUAAGACACGAACUUACAUGAUUCCAUUGGUUGGUGCUGAUGGAAGCAAAUCUAAAGCCAUGGCAGCUUGUCACAGUGAUACAUCAUGUGGCCUUCCAAGUGCUCAAAAUUAAGCCAGGAACAGUCCCUGUCUAUCAUUUCCUUCACAACAAUGCCAUGGUUUGGAUUCCAAAGUAAGGGAUAAGCUGAAAGCCUCGAGCCCAGUUGCAUUAUCAGUUCCAUCUUAAAGCUGUUUGUAGUAUGAAUGUUUAUAAACUUAGAAUAAAUGCAGGUUUGAGGAUUAAUGUGUGUAGUGUGCAAUUGAUGCUAUGUAUUCAUCAAUGUUUCCAGGUUGAUUAAGGAAUAUUAUGGUAUAUAUAAAUAUUGUGUACAAUAGUAUUCAGCGAUGCAUGACUAUUUUGGUUGUGAUCAAUGUUACAUACUACAGAGUUAGCCAAUAUUAUUUUAUUUUAUUUUAAAUUUCAAUCAUAUGAAAUAUUGGAAAUGACCUUCACUGUUUCAUAUAUCUACGGAGAAAGAAUUGAAUAAGAUUAACGUUGUGGCCAAAAGGCAAAACCACAUGUAUAAUUCGGGCCACAAGCCCACUGCCCAACCCACCUUUCUUCUUUCUUUCUAAUUAACGAAUGGGCAUCAAUGAGGAAAAAUAAAUAAACAAAUAAAUAAAUUAUAGAAUAUUCUCCGCACCCACUUACAGUCUUACACAUGGACAAAAAUAUCAGGAUUAAAAAAAAUGCACCAAAAUGUAUAUAAAAGAAUAUUAAAGAUUAUUUUAUUAAAUAAAUAAAUUUUAAUUAUUUGAUUUUUAUAUUUGAUUUAAUUUAUUACCAAAAAUAUAUAAACAUAAUUUUAAUAAAUAAAUAAAUAAAUUUUAAUUAUUUGAUUUUUAUAUUUAAUUUAUUUUAUUACCAAAAAUAUAAAAACAUAAUUUUAAUAAAUAAAUAAAUUUUAAUUAUUUGAUAUUUAUAUUUAAUUUAAUUUAUUACCAAUAUUUUAUGUCAAUAUAUUUAUCGAUAUAUUUCUAUUUUAUCCAUAAAAUUAAAAUAUCGUUAUUACUUAUAUUUAUAUCCUUACUUUAUACACAUCAAACCCUAACCUAUGCCCUCCCUUGUGGCUUUCAUUUGCAUUCCUCCCAACUAAAGUUUGUAAAGGGAGAAGAGAUGCGCGGUCAUUGCUAACUAUUUAGACGUGACAAAAAAUCUUAAAAAGAGUGCAAAGAUGCUUUCUCAAAGUAGUGCUUAUGUAUAAAUAAAGAGUAUUAAAUAUAGAUGAGGUUGGUAGAAACAAUGCCAAGACGCUUUCUCAAUGUAGUGUUUCUUUUUUAUUUUAUUUAUUUAUUAUUAUUAUUAUUAAAAGAAUAUUAAUUAUAGAUGAGCGAGGUUGAGAGAAAAAGAGUGUAAAGAUGCUUUCUCCAAGUGUUGGCUUGGUAUGUUUUUUUCAUUUUUAUUUUAAAAAAAAUAAUAUCAACCAUUAAAAAAAUAAGGAAACUCUUAUAUAAAAGGUAGAAUUUUAUUUUAUUUUUCUUUUAAAUUUUUAUCCUUUUAAAUUUCUUAUCAAAACUUCUAUUUUCACUUAUCAAAUGCAUCAUAUGAGUGUUUAUUAUUUUGAUAUAUCUAGAAAUGAAAAAUCUAUUCCCAUCACAUAAGAGCUUUUGUAGUGAUAAGAACAAACAAAAACUACUUCAUUGAUUUUGAAUAAGAACAAACAAAAAUUACUUAAUUGACUUUUUCUUUUGAGUAGAAAAUAUAAGAAUUUGAAUAUAGAGCCAACCACAUGAAGCGAACAGUAAAGUCUUGAAUAGAAAUUGAUGUUACAAAGGGAUUAAGGGUUUUUGAGAGAGGACAUGGGGUUGGGAAAACUACUUGAUUCACAUGGUAGUCUGAGGGAGUUUGAGGUAAACAAUAGAUUUAACUAGACCCUUAAUCUCUGUACUUGUAUAAAAUGUUCUUUAUUUUAUCAUCUAUAGAACCAAUAAUCUUUCUAAUCAUCAAUCAAUUAAAAACCAAAAGUGAUUAUGGAGCUCAAUCAAAUAAAGAUAUAGAAAUUAAGAUUUUAACUAAAACUAGUCAAAUGAAAAGAAAAUCUCUAGAAAAAUUCUCAAAUCAGUUUGAGGAAUCACACAAACAUGUUAAAUUUUAAUCUUAACUUUGUGGGUUAAAGUUAAUCCAAGACUAAAUCUAAUCCAAAUGAUAGAUUUAGAUUUGGAGAUACUUGAAUUUGGCAUUUUAGGUUCAAAUCUCAAAGUCAAUUUAUUAGAUUAUUCCAAUUAUUUGUAGUUUCUCGAUUGAUUCAUUGAUUAUGCACCGAUUCAUCUUCUAAGAUUCAUUUUAAUCUUAUAUGCAACAAAUCAAAUGAGGUCUCCAUUAUUAAUUAAUAAAUGAUCAACUAUUAUUGGAACUAAAUAAGCAAUGUCUUUCCCUUAAUUAUCUACAUAGAAAGUUCAAUCCAAAAGAAAUUACAAGUUAAAAUAAGCUUUGUUUGGAAAGAAAUAUAUCACUGCUUUAUGUAACCUUUGGUAAUAUCUUUUUCAUCAAUUGUUUCUCUAGGUAAAACUAAUCAAACACUCAUAUUGAAGGAAUAUAUUUUUUCUUGCAUAUCAUAUUUGGUUGGCAAGAAAUAAGAGAAAGCAAUAAAAAAUAAGAAUUUAAGAGAUAAAUUAAAAUAAUAAUUUUUUUUCUCACAUAUCACAUAUAGCGCUGAAAGAAUUAUUUCCUUUGUCUUUUUGUUGUGAUGGAACCCUUGACAAACAUUGUCAUAUCAUAUCUCAACACUACAAGCACGUCAUGUUUUUUUUUUGUUUUGUUUUGUUUGCAAGAUUUUUUCACUCUCCUAGUGUUAGUGGAACUUAAUUAUUUAGUCAUGCAUGUCUUAUACAGUAACUCUUAAUAUCUUAAUAUACAAAGGAAAUAAUUAAGAGCUACUAUACAAGAUAUGCAUAUCGAAAAAUGUUACAAAAAAAACAAAAGAAGAAAACAUGAUUAGCUUAUAGUAUUGGGAAAUGAUAUGACAAGUUUGUAAUUUCUUUUGGAUUGAAGUCCCUCAGACUACAUCCAGUGAAGACCAAGAUCAUAAGCGCUGGUUUGAUUUGGGGGUUUGGUGAUAUAUGUGCAUAGAAGAAACAUCACCAAAUUGGAGUAAGUACCCAUCAACAAAACCCUAAAUUUUCUCUUCAUUUUCCCAUGUUUCCAAGCGGUUUUUGGCUCUUUUUCACCGUUCGGGGCAGAUUGGUAUCUGUGAUUUUCUCUCUGUUUCUUAUGAAUUAUUUGCCUUGGUUCUUUGUUUGGACAAAUAAGUGUAUGAUUUAAUCCGUAUUUUUCAUAUCUUGUGAAUGGUUGUUUUAAUUUAUUGCCUUGUGUGUCCUGAGCUCAACUGGUAGACCUCAUGGAGCAGUUGGGAAAAUCUUGUAAUUCACUGUCAGGAAACCUAAACAGACUAAGGUUUAAGAUUCUGAGUUGUUUUCUCUUCUUUUCAUUCAUUGUUUUUGGCAAAUAAGGGAGUUGGGGGUGGUUUGGUCUGGCAAUUUUGGGGGAUUUCUGAAAAACCCACAGCAUAUUUAGCAAUGGAUUUCUGCAAAUUCAUAUAGAAGGUAUAAAGUGGAGUAAUUCCAAAUGGAGCAGUGAGGGUCUAAACCUAAUAGAUUACUCCCAAGGGGAAUUGAUGAAUUGUAUGUAAGAAAGAAAAUAAAUGAUAGAUGACAUCCUAUUAUUGAUUAAACAUAGAUUGUGAAUUUUCUUAUAAUGCCCAUGAAAUGAAUAUGAUCUUGGUGUAACAAAUCAAAUGAGGUCUCCAUUAUUAAUUAAUAGAUGACCAACUAUCAUUGAAACUAAAUAAGCAAUGUCUUUCCCUUAAUUAUCUACAUAGAGAGUUCAAUCCAAAAGAAAUUACAAGUUAAAAUAAGCUUUGUUUGGAAAGAAAUAUAUCAUUGCUCUAUGCAACCUCUAGUAAUAUCUUUUUCAUAAAUUGUUUCUCCAGGUAAAACUAAUCAAACACUCAUAUUGAAGGAAUAUUUUUUCUCGCAUAUCAUAUUUGGUUGGCAAGAAAUAAGAGAAAGCAAUAGAAAAUAAGAAUUUAAGACAUAAAUUAAAAUAAUAAUUUUUUUUCUCACAUAUCACAUAUAGCACUGGAAGAAUUAUUUCCUUUUGUCUUUUUGUUGUGAUGGAACCCUUGACAAACAUCGUCAUAUCAUAUCCCAACACUACAAGGACAUCAUGUUUUUUUUUGUUUUGUUUUUUUUUGCAAGAUUUUUUCACUCUCUUAGUGUUAGUGGAACUUAAUUAUUUAGCCAUGCAUGUCUUAUAUACUAACUCUUAAUAUCUUAAUAUACAAAGGAAAUAAUUAAGAGCUACUAUACAAGAUAUUCAUAUCUAAAUAAUUAAGUUCCAUCGACACUAGGAGAGUGGAAAAAUCUUACAAAUAAAACAUGACGUGCUUAUAGUAUUGGGAAAUGAUAUGACAAUGUAUGUCAUGGGCUCCAUCACAGCAAAAAGACAAAGGAAAUAAUUCUUCCACUACUAUAUAAGAUAUGUAUGUCUAACUAAUUACAUCCCAUCAUACUAAAUGAGUGAAAAAACAUUGCAAACAAAACAAAAGAAGUAAAUUAACAUGACAUGCUUGUAGCUACCAAUGAUAUCAAACUAAUCCUAUUUAUGUGGUUCACACUUAUCUUGAGAUUUAACCAUUUUGAGGUACACUGUGAAGCUUGAAAAAUUGCACACAACAUACCUAUCUUGAGCCUUGAUUUAUCCAAAGGCUUAUAGCAGGCCUUCUUGGUUUUUAUCAUAUCGCGUACUUCAUCAUUGAUUAGAACAUGUAAAAUCAUAUGAACUUGUGCCUUAAAAGCAAACAGGACUCCAUGAGUUGUUCGGCCACAUCUUUUGUCCUUGUGAACUGAUUGGAGAUUUUUUUUUUUUCUUAAUUUUAAUCGGUAGCUUUAACCAUAUUUAUAGGAUUUCAAUGGUAAUGAAUACAAUCCAAAUGAAAUUAAAAGUUAAAAUAAGUGUUUUAGAAAGAAACAUAUCACUGCUCCAUGCAACCUCUGGUGAUAUCUUUUUCAUUGAUUCUUUUUCCAGAUCAAAAUGAUUAUCCACUCAUGGUGCAGGAAUAUUUCUCCUCACAAAUCAUAUUUGGUCAGCGAGAAAUAAGAGAAAGUGAUAGAAAGUAAGAAUUUAAGAGACAAAAACUCCAAAAUGAAAAAUUAAAUUAAAAAAUGGCUAGACAAGUUGCUAAAGCUGCUACUAUGAUGAGCUCUAAGGUGGUUUCCAAGUCUCCAUUAGUCUUUAAGUCACCUCAAGUGUAAAAGUGUCCGAAGAAGGUAGUUCAAGAAAAAUCUCUUAUAAAAGUUCAGGGAAAAGAGAAAGGUAACGAGAAGCUUGUUGAGAAGAAGACGUACGUGGAAAUGAAAGAUCAGGGUAUUGAGUUCACACCAAGAAAGUUCAUUGUAAAUCACUUAUGUUGUGAAGAUAUUUUAGCUUUCAAAUUCUAGAGUGAUACUCUUUUCAAUAGUUGAUGAACAGAAAAAAGACGGAAGAAAUAAUUCUUGUGUUGCUAUAGAAAAUCUUACAAACAAAACAAAAGAAGAAAAGUAAAGAUCACAUGCUUGUAGCAGGAUCUUUGACAAGGGUUCCAUCACAGCAAAAAGACAAUCCGCUAAAACUUUAUACAUAUAUAAAACUUUUUAUUUAUAUAUUUAUAUAUAAAGUUAAAGCAGUGUAAGGAUUAAUUAUUAUAUCUGUGGGGCAUGAAUCAUUAUGAUUGAUCUAAGCAAAUAAAUUAUUUGGGAGAUUAAUAUUUGAAAAAUGGCCCAUCUUAUGUUAGAUUCCCAUUAGUUGUUUUUAUUUGUAUAUUAUUUUCUUUUGUUCUUAAUUAACAAACACCUAUUGCAUUAUUAAGUUUAUGUUUAUAUAAAAAAUUAAAUAAAAAUAAAACUUUAUUAAAUAAAUAAACUUUAGUUAUCUUAUUUUUAAUUCUAUUAAUUUAAUCAUUAAAAUAUAAAAAUUAUCAUAAUAAUCUUCUUGUUUAUUUAUAUUUUAAAAAUAUUUUUGUAUGAUAAUUAUUAGAGAAAUAUAAACUUAAAGACGGUACAAAUGUAAAAACUAUAAGUCAAGGAUUACAAAGCAUAAAUUCAUUAUUAAAGGAAAAGUAUAUAAUUUUUUUGAUAGAUAUUAUCUCUAAGAUUUACUUUCCAGUACAUAUUCACAUGUGUACUACCACUAAUGGGAAAGAUAAAAGAAUGAAUCAAAUUUCUAAAUCCAAUGGCUUUUUCGAUGAUCCCAUUUCCCAAUUUGUUUUUUUUAAGAAAUUGACUUUCAUUUCCUUGAGGGAAAGAAAGACUUUAUGAUCGACUCAACGCUAAUUGCUUCGAAAUAGACAUGUCAAAGUGAGAUCGGUCAAAUAUAGGGAGUCAAUUGUAGUUUUAAAAUUUUGAAGAGUGGAGUGUCAAACAACGAGGUGGUUUUAGGUGUACAAGGAAAAUGAAGAGGUUUAGAAGAUUAAUGAAAUUUUUUGAAAUAAACCCUUGCACCCAAUUGCUUUAAAAAAAAAAAGAGGUUGAUGAAUUUUGUAAAAAAUCGGGGAAAAACUAAGUGAACCUAAAUUGAAAUUCAACUUAAUAAGAUUUGCAAAAGUUCUAAAAAUAGGGGUUCCCUUGGACUUCUUUCUUUUCAUGAAAAGAACCUCAAUUAAGCUAAUUAAAUCCAGUGCUUCAAACUUGUGAGCUGUACCUCUCUGUGAAAUCUUUAAACCGUGGAACUACCACUGAUGGUUGAAGGGAAAAUUUGAGCUAUUCUUAACAUACCAAUCUAACCCACUUACCUAAGGAAAGAAGACUUAAAAAGUACAAAAGCUUUGGAUUGAUGGUUGUUCCUUACCAAAUUCAAUUACAUAAUCUUAUUAUAAGAGACAAAAGAAAAUUGUUAUCAAAUUUGACCAGCUGAGUUAUUAGAAUGUAGUGUUACAUGACAUCACUCUCUUUCAUUCCUAUGCAAUUUGAAAAUUUCCAUUGUUUUCGCCGGGCUUAGACCAUGUCACUGGAACGGAUAUAUUAAGAGUGACAAUUGUGAUCCAUUAUUUUUUGUUAAAAAUAAAUAUAAUUUUAGUGUUUUUGUAGAAAUUUUAAUUAUUUACUUUCUGAUCCAUUAUUUAAAAUUUAAAAUUAAAUUGAAAUUUUAUAUAUAAUCGAAUUUUUACGUGUGGAUGGUCCGUUCCAACCCAUUACUUAAUCACUCCAAUAGUACUCAUGUCACAAUUAUUCAAAGGAAACAGUGCCCAGAAGAAUAGUGACAAUUGCUACUAUUAUUAUUUUAUUUCAGUGACAACAAAAAGGAGAAUUUCAUUGUUUAAUUACCUCAACAAUGCUCAUGUCACAAUUAUCCAAAGAAUAUAGUCCUGAUCAGAACAAUACUGACAAGUAUUAUUAUUAUUUUAUUUGAAUGAUAAUAAAAAUAUGACGUGGUCGAUGGUAAGGCCCAUUAUAUUAUUGCGGUUAAUAUAAGCUUGAAAUGUGACUUGCAAAACCUACUUACAAGAUAUGGGUUAGUCAAUAAGACAAAAUUAAUUUGAUUGAUCUUUUUCAAUCUUAUCCUCCCAAGAAGAUCUUGUUAUGAAAUAACAAGAAUAGGUAAUAAAAAAUAAAAUAGAAUAAGAAAAUACAGAUUUAUGUAGAAAACCUUAGACGGGAAAAAACUACGAGUAGAAGAGAAGAAAAUUCACUAUAUAAAAAAUUGAUACAAAAAAAAUAAAUUUGAACGGUUAUACUAGAAGCAUAAUCAUCAUAACCCUAAAAAAUUAUAUACAUAAUUGUGUGUGUAUAUAUAUAUAUAUAUAUGAUCUGAUUCCUCUACUACCACCAUAAGCCUAGUAAAAAAUCUCAUAAUUUUAACUUCAUCAUAUAUAUUGCACUGUAAGCUUUUUAGAUUUGACUAAAUAGAAUUUGGGUUAUUAAGCUCUAAUAGAUUCAAUGGGAAAAUUUUAAGACAAGUAAAUUAGAGGAAAAUAAUGAAAAGGUUUAAAUUUGACAAAUUUGGUUAAUUUUAUACAUACAUUUAAAUUUAUUUAUUUUUUCUCUUUCUCUUAAAAUAAAUGAACAUUAAAAAUAUAUUAAUUUUGUAAAUUUUUAUUUUAUUUUAUUUCAUUAUGAAAAUAACCACAAAUCAUAUAAAUUUGGUUUCUUUUUAAAUUUACUUUUCUAAUAUGUUUUAUGAUUUAAAGAAAGAUUAAAUAAAGGUGGCAAGUGGGGUACGAUUUAAAUUUACCUUUGUCUGAUUGCCAUUAGAAGAAAUUGAAUGCUAACAAAAACCUAGUCAUAGAAUAUUAACUUUUACGUCAGGUUGGUAGGAGCAUGUACGUACGUCAUAGGUGACACCCAUUUAUAAAAGUAAUUAAUAAAUGGUUCCCAUUUUUCACUAACUUAUAAUCUAUCUAUAUAUUAAGAAAUCCCUUUCAUAGGUAUUUCAACCAGUAAUAGAACAUGCUUUCCAAACCCAUCCAUCUUGUUCCAAUUUUAUUUUUUUGUCUUUUAUAAAAGAUUUAUCAAAUUAUCAAUUUUUUAAAUAAAUACUAAUUUAAUUGCGGUUAUGGUCAAUUUCCUUUCAACCUCCUCCAUGAUGGCCUCAUUAGUCUAGAUCUUUUGGAGGUAGUGUGCAUAGGUCGGAUGGAAUCAACUGUAGAUAGUAUAUAUCUAGUUAGUUUGGUUCUUUCUUUGGAGAGCAUGAGAGUAUAUACUCCGUCAAAAAAUGCAUAUUGCUGUUUAAGAGCAUUUGACAGAAAUAACUUCAAAAAAAAUACCAAGUGGGGAGUACAAUUUGUUCAUUAUUUAAACAGAAAUGUAUAAAGAAUACUAUCUUCUCCGGGAUCAGGAUUCCAAUCGAUCACCCAAUUCCAAUGGAAAGCAUCUACCAAAUAGAUAAAAGACUAUGAACAACCUCUCACACAGAAUAUUGUCUUAAAUUUCAAUUAGAUAAUGACGAUACAACGACCUCUGACGCAUGAAAAUCUUGCGUAGUUUAAUGGAAUUAGCUUUGUCUGUGUCUAUGCCACUAGCAUUUUGAUUAAUGCUUGUGGGACAUGAGUGAGAGAAGAAAUCCACUAUAAAUAGGAAGCCAUGCACUUCCUUCCUUCCCAUUCUGAGUUCUAGGUAAGCUAGCUUUGUACGAGUUGGAUUAGUUUCAGAGCUUUAAUGGAGUUUCAUCUCGUUCCCAUUCUGACUUCUUUCUUGGUGAGCCUUCACUUCCACCUUUUCCGAUCUAUAGGACAGUGAACCGAUAUUUGUGAUUACAUUUUUCCUUUAUUUGCAGUUGAGAGAGCUCACGUAUAGAAAUUUUUUUGUGACAAACUUAAUGGAAAUCCAUUGAGAUAUAUAUUAGUUUCAAAGUUUCAAGUUUUUUUUUCAUUUGUAGGUGGCUUUUCUUGAUAACUUCUUUGUAUAGCUUGACUGACAUAUAUGGCAUGAACUUGUGGCAGCUGGUGGUGGUGGUGGUGAGCCAUGCUUAUUCUCUACCUUCCGAGGUUGAUGGGAAGUCGGCUUUGCCUACCACUCCCUUCCGGAAAGCUGUGCGGAAUCUCUUAAUGCAGCCUGGUUGGUUUCAAUAACUCUGCAACUCACUUUUUUGUUGGCUCACAAUAAACCUGUUUGAGAACUGUUACUAGUUUGAUCCGUUAACCAAGUCAUGCCCACACACAAUGGAGUGCACCAAUACUUAAGAAUUUACUUAUUAAAAUGAAUGAAAAAUGUUAUAACCAUUUUCAAUUGCAACCAUGCUUUUCUAAAAAUAAAACCCUAACAUAUAAAAGGAUUAAAUAUAUAAUAGGGACAAAUUCGUCAAUUAUCAUAUAAAAAAAUUCUCCAAAUAUCCCGAGAGCAACAAUAAUUUAAAAUUGUUUUUAUUCAAGUAUAUAGUUGUAAAAUUGUUUAUAUUAUUCUAUAGUUUGCUGCUGUGUAAGAGGAAUAUUAAUAACAACUAGUUUCGAACAUAAUACUGAAGAUCAUAUUACCAUUUUUUUUUUUCAUGUUGAAGAUAUAAUAUGAUUAUUACACAAAAUGGGGUGACUUUGAUUUAAAGUAUUUAAUUUUAAGUUAAUAAUUUUAGAAAUAAAAUUUUGAAUAAGUAUAAACAUAAAAUAAUCCUAUAAAACUAAGACUUGAUAUGUAAAUUCUAAGAAUAAAAUAUUAUGCAUGUUUAACAUAAAUGUUAAAUUUUUAAUUUGAUAUUUAAAUUUAUAAAUUAAAAUGAAAUUAAAAAAAAUAAAUUGAAAUGAUUUUAAUGAAUAUAAAAUAAACAUUAUUUAAUUUAAUUUUAGUAUAUAAAGGAGAAAAAUUAAUAUAUAAACCUUUAUAACAAUAUAAUAAGUUUGAAUAUAUAACAUCUAAUAAUGCAUGCUAAAUUAUACUAUAUUAAUAAUUAUUGUCAAAGUUUGGAAAUAAUGGCAAAGAGUUCUAAUGUUUGACCUACUUACAAAGAAGACUUAGAACCCGUUUGAUAAUGAUUUUGGGAACUACUCUUAACUUUUUGAACGCUUGAAAGUUUUUAUUAUUCAAAUGUUAAAAAAUCUAUAAAUGUUUUCUAAAAUCAGUAUGAAAUAGACUCUUAGAAAUGAUAACAAAUUAAUAAGUUUAAGUUGUUAUUUCUUCAAUUUUGACACUAUUCAUUUUGAUUUAUUUAAUUUACUAAAUUGUUUUGAAAUGAUUAUAAUGUGGCUUAUAUAUAAUAAUUUUAAUUAUCAUGUCAUAUUAACACGGUUACAAUAAAACCCCACAUACCACUAGUUGUCGUAAAUGAGAAAAGUAUAUUUCAUGCGUUUAUUUGAAAGCAUAUGCAAAGUAGGAAACUAUUUUUUCAUAUUUCAAAGUGUUAUCCUAAAAUAUUUGUUUUUUAUACGCUUUUGGAUAAAAAAUAAUAUCGAAAUACUACCUUUUCAUAAUACAAAUAUUAUAUUUGAUUUGGACGAAUACCCAUUUCACUUGAAAAUUUUUGAUAGGUUAUGUUUACAAUUUGUAAAUUUCAUAAUUUUUUUUACCUUAACAUGUGAAAGGAGGAUCCAAUUCUUACCUCUAAUGAUAGACUUACGAUCAUGAGUAAAUAUUAAAUAACAAGCCCAACUAGGCUCUUGAGUUAUAGACUUUCACAAACAAUCAUUCUCCAAUUUGUAUGUAGUAGCAUUUUGAAAUUAAGAUGCAAACUCUCAAAAAGCAGGAAGAAGUUCUACCGAUGCUCAAAAGCAUGCUAGCUCGAUUGCCGAAUAUGAAGCAGUCUAUGGAAACCCUCAAAAAGUAGAAGGAAGUCCUAUCAAUUCUCACAAGGAUGCUAGCUCAAUUGCCGGAUAUGAUGCAGUCUAUGGAAACCCUCAGAAAGCUAGAGGAAGUUCUAUCAAGGCUCACAAUGAUGCUAACUCAGUUGCCGCAUAUGAUGCAGUCUACGGAAACCCUCAAAAAUUAGGAGGAAGUUCUAUCAAAGCUCACAAUGAUGCUAACUCCGUUGCCGGUUAUGAUGCAGUCUAUGGAAACCCUCAAAAAUUAGGAGGAAGUUCUACCAAUGCUCAUGACAAAGAUGCUAGCGCAAUUGCUGGAUAUGAUGCAGUCUAUGGAAGCACUCAAAAACAAGGGGAUGCUAGUCCAAUUGCUGGAUAUGAUGCAGUCUAUGGAAGCACUCGAAAACAAGGGGAUGCUAGUCCAAUUGCUGGGUAUGAUGCAGUCUAUGGAAGCACUAAAAAACAAGGGGAUGCUAGUCCAAUUGCUGGCUAUGAUGCAGUCUAUGGAAGCACUCAAAAACAAGGGGAUGCUAGUCCAAUUGCUGGAUAUGAUGCAGUCUAUGGAACCUCUCAAAAAGCAGAAGGAAGUUCCAUCAAUGUUCACAAGGAUGCUAGCUCAAUUGCCGGAUAUGAUGCAGUCUAUGGAAACUCUCAACAAAAAGCAGGAGGAAGUUCUAUCAAUGCUUACAAAGAUUCUAGCCCAGUUGCGGGGUAUGAUGCAGUUAAUGUGUUUUUGGAAAAAGACCUGCAUCCUGGGACAAAAAUGGCGGUGCGCUUCACAAAAACCUCAAGUGCAGCUCAUUUCUUGCCCCAUCAAGUUGCUGAAUCCAUACCUUUUUCAUCAAACAAGCUACCAGAAAUUUUGAAGCGAUUCUCCGUGAAAGAAAACUCCGCAGAAGCCCAGAUAAUACAGAAAACAAUAAAACAAUGUGAGACGCCUGCCAUAGUAGGAGAAGUUAAGUACUGUGCGAGGUCCUUGGAGUCCCUAAUUGAUUUCAGCACUUCAAGGCUGGGAAAAAACAUUCGAGUUCUCUCCAAUGAGGUGGAAGCGGAUAUCCAGGAGUAUAAAUUUGGAGAGGGAGUGAAGAUGGUGGGAGAGAAAUCAGUGGUGUGCCACCAGCUGAACUAUCCAUAUGCUGUGGCAUUCUGCCAUACACUUCACAUGACAAAGAUUUACAUGGUUCCAUUGGUGGGUGCUGAUGGAACCGGAGUUGAAGCUGUAGCAGUUUGUCACCGGGACACGUCAACUUGGGACCCAAAGGCUUUGGUCUUUCAAAGCCUCAAAGUUAAGCCAGGAACUUUGCCCAUCUGCCAUUUCCUUCCCAAUGGUCAUACUGUCUGGGUUCCAAAGUAGGUAGAGAUCCGCAGAAAGCCUCCAACCCAAUUGCUGGCUUGCAGUUUCUGUAAUAUAUUGUGUGCUUUGAAUAACUGCUAGGGUUGAGGAAUGUGUGUCCUAACUCCUAUGUGUAAUAUUAUUCAGUAACGAGUGACUCUCUCCUUGGUUAUUUAUUUUUUCGGGUUUAUUUCAUUACCUUCUUUCGAUUAAGUACAUCUAGCAACCACGCUUUUUAAAAAAUAAAACCAUGAUAUAUAAAAGUGUUAAAUAUAUAAUAUAAGCAAAUUCGUCUUCUAUCUUAUAUUAAAAUGAAUGAAAAAGGUUACAACGAUGAAACUCUCGAAAAACACUUUUCAAUUACAACCACACUUUUUAAAAAAUAAAACCCUAAUAUAUAAAAUGGUCAAAUAUAUAAUAGGAACAAAUUCGUCAUUUAUCAUAUAAAAAAAGAUUCUCCAAAUACCCCAGUAAAAGAGCAACAAUAACUUAAAAUUGUUUUUAUUCAAGUAUAUGGUUGUAGUAAAAUUGUUUAUGUUAUUCUAUAGUUUGUUGUUGUGUAAGAGGAAUAUUAAUAACAACUAGUUUCAAACAUAAUACUGAAGAUCAUAUUGCCAUUUUUUUUUUCAUGUUGAAGAUAUAAUAUAAUUAUUAAACAAAAUGGGGUGACUUUGAUUUAAAGUAUUUAAUUUUAAGUUAAUAAUUUUAGAAAUAACAUUUUGAAUAAGUAUAAACAUGAAAUAAUCCAAUAAAACUAAGACUUGAUAUAUAAAUUCUAAGAAUAAAAUAUUAUGCUCGUUUAACAUAAAUGUUAAAAUUUUAAUUUGAUAUUUAAAUUUAUAAAUAAAAAUGGAAUUAAUAAAAAUAAAUUGAAAUGAUUUUAAUGAAUAUAAAAUAAACAUUAUUUAAUUUAAUUUUAGUAUAUGAAAGAUAAAAAUUAAUAUAUAUAUAUAUAUAUAUAUAUAUAUAGAAAACAAUAAAACAAUGUGAGACGCCUGCCAUAGUAGGAGAAGUUGAGUACUGUGCGAGGUCCUUGGAGUCCCUAAUUGAUUUCAGCACUUCAAGGCUGGGAAAAAAUUUGGAGAGGGAGUGAAGAUGGUGGGAGAGAAAUCAGUGGUGUGCCACCAGCUGAACUAUCCAUAUGCUGUGGCAUUCUGCCAUACACUUCACAUGACAAAGAUUUACAUGGUUCCAUCGGUGGGUGCUGAUGGAACCGGAGUUGAAGCUGUAGCAGUUUGUCACCGGGACACUUCAACUUGGGACCCAAAGGCUUUGGUCUUUCAAAGGCUCAAAGUUAAGCCAGGAACUUUGCCCAUCUGCCAUUUCCUUCCCAAUGGUCAUAUUGUCUGAGUUCCAAAGUAGGCAGAGAUCCGCAGAAAGCCUCAAACCCAAUUUCUGGCUUGCAGUUUCUGUAACAUAUUGUGUGCUAUUUGAAUAACGGCAAGGGUUGAGGAAUAUGCAUCCCAACUCCUAUGUGUAAUAUUAUUCAGUAACGAGUGACUUUCUCCUUGAUUAUUUAUUUUUUCAAGUUAAUUUCAUUGACCUUCUCUCAACUACGUACAUCUAACUCUCAUAAUUUUAAAAUUUCAUUAAAUAUUAGGCUUAUUCUUUUCAUUUCUUAUUUUCACUUAUUACCUAUUUAAUUCAAAAUAAAGGAAAUGUACCAUGAAAAUUUAAAUUUACAAGAAUUAAAUAUAUUUAAUCAAAAUCUUAAAAAUGGUGAAUGAAAUUAACUUUUAUUUUUUUGUUAAUAUUAUCUAUUGCAAAUAAAAGGAAACAGUGACCAGAAGAAUAGUGACAAUACUUACUAUAAUCAUUUUAUUUCAGUAAUAAUAAAAGCAAAAAUUUCAUUAUUUAAUUACCUCAACAAUAAUCAUGUCACAAUUAUUCAAAGAAUAUAGUCCCGGAACAAUACUGAAAAUUAUUAUUAUUAUUAUUUUAUUUGAAUGAUAGUAAAAAUAUGACAUUUAUCUCUUUUUGUUUUACCUACUUAAUUUCCAAACCCAUCCAUUUUUUUUCCUUCGAGUUUUCUAUUUUUAUUUAUUUUUAUAUUUUAUAAAAGAUUUUUCAAAUGAUCAAAUUUUUAAAUAAAUAUUAGUUUGAUUGUGGUUAUCAAUUUUCUUGCUAUACAAAGAAAAACACCAAAUCAAACGGUAUUUGAUGUUUUAAACUCUUUAACAAAUCUAAUAACUUUUAAAAAUAAUUUAGAAACCAAUUAAUACCUAUUGCAACCUAAAAAUGUGCUAUCCAUGUUGACAAUUUAUUACCCCAUUUCCAAUUGUAGUUGUAGAUGAGGGAGAUAAUUUUCCUGAUGAGGGCAUUAUUAUAAACAUUAUUACGAUGGUAUGGCAAAGUGAAGGAUGCAUUAUGAUGGAGCUUCCAACAAUCGAGAACAUGUUGUUGAUGUAUUUUAGUUAUUUCUCUUCUAGGUGAUCACAUUCCUAAUCAAUUAUAUAAUCAUAAUGAUUGAAAUCGAUGCAAUCGAAGCAUUAAAAAACCAAUGUGAAGGAACGAGUCUUAAGUACAAAUAAAUGGAAUCACUUAUAAAAAUUAAGAAUAUAAAAAAUAAUAUUUAAAUUUAAAAAUGUAUUAAUAAUAUAAUAAAUUAUUAUCAAAUAUAAAGAUAUAUGAUCUCCAUCACAUUUUUCAACUGCCGUCCAACUUGGCAGCCAAUGUCGCUACCCUCCUUUCAACCUCUUCCAUGAUGACCUCAUUAGUCUAGAUCUUUCGGAGAUAGUCUGCAUAGGUCCGAUGGAAUCAAUAGUUUGGUUCUAAUAAGUUUGGUUCAGUUUGGUUCUUUCUUUAGAGAGCAAUGAGAAUAUACCCUGUCGACAAUAAUGUCGGUUUCCCAUCGGAAUGAGUUUGUAGAGGAGAAAAAAAGGGUAGCUUUAGCACAAAAUUCAUAUUACUGUAUGUGACAGAAAUAACUUUAAAAUAUACCAAGUGGGGAUUAAAAUUUGUUCAUUAUUUAAAAAGAAAUGUAUAAGAAUACUAUCUAAUUCUCCGGGAUUAAGAUUCCAAUCAAUCAGCCAAUUCCAUUGGAAAGCAUCUAUCAAAUUGAUAAAGCCGAUGAACAACCUCUCACACAGGAUAUUGUCUUAAAUUUCAAUUAGAUAACGACGAUGCGACAACCUCUCACACACGAAUGCCUUACGUAGUAGUUUAAUGGAAUUAGCUUUGUCUGUGCCUAUGCCACCAGCAUUUUAAUUAAUGCUUGUGGGACAUGAGUGAGAGAAGAAAUCAACAAUAAAUAGGAAGCCAUGCACUUCCCUCCUUUCCAUUCUGGGUUCUAGGCGGCUAGCUUUGUACGAGUUGGAGUAGUUUCAGAGCUUUAAUGGAGUUUCAUCUCCUUCCCAUUCUGACUUCUUUCUUGGUGAGCCUUCACUUCCACCUUUUCUUGAACACUUCGUUUUUAUAUUUCAUGGAAUAUAACUUACAUAUAUGGCAUGAAGUACUUGUGGCAGCUGGUGGUGGUCAGCCAUGCUUAUUCUCUACCUUCCGAGGUUGAUUGGAUGUCGGGUUUGCCUAACACUCCCUUCCCGAAAGCUAUGCGGAAUCUCUUAAUGCAGCCUGGUUGGUUUCCAACUUCCUCUUUUGUUGGCUCAUAGUAAUAGUGUGUUGAAUAAUGUAUUUAUGAGAAUCAUCUAUCAAAUAUUUCUUCGGAAAAUAUUAUAAGUAUUUUUUCAAUGAUGAUUUUUCAUAUUUUUAAAGAUAUUUCCUAAAAUUUUAUCAAAUAUCAAAUGAGUUCUAAACCUGUUUGAGAACUAUUGCUAGUUUGAAUGACCAUAAUAGACUAAAAAAUGACUUGAGUAGAGAUGAGAUUUAUUUAUUUUAAUAUUUAUGUCAAUUAUGGGGAUUAUAGGUAAUGACGAAUUUGAAAAAUAAAAUGUAACAUCGAGUAUAAAUGAGUUAUAAUCAUGUGAAAUUAUCAACAACCAUGUUUUGAUAAAAUAUUUGCUGCUUAAUGCAACAAAUUAAAUGGCCUUAAUUAGUUAUACCAUCAAUCAUGGGUUUAUGUGUGGCUUUAAGAAAAUAUGUGUCCUUAAUUAUUUCUCAAGUUAUUAUCCUCGUCAUCAUAAUUAACCUUUUAAAUUGUUGAAUUUGCAAACACAACAAAAGACGGAAGUUCUACCAAUGCUGACAAGACCAUCCCCACUGCUAAAUACGACACCCUUUAUGAAAACCCUCAAAAAGCAGCGAAAAGUUCUAUAAAUGCUCGCAAGAAUGCUAGCCAAAUUAAUCAAUACGAUUUAGUUCAUGAAAACCUUAGAAAGUUAAAUGAAAGCUCUAUCGAAUCUCCCAAGGAUGCUAGCUCACUUGUCGGAUAUGAUGCAAUCUAUGGAAACGCCAAAAAACAAGGAGAUGCUGUCCCAAUUACCGGAUCAUAUGAUGCAGUCUAUGGAAACCCCAAAAAACAAGGAGAUGCUACCCCCGGAUCAUAUGAUGCAGUCUAUGGAAACCCCAACAAACAAGAAGAUGCCACCCCCGGGUCAUAUGAUGCAGUCUAUGGAAACCCCAACAAACAAGGAGAUGCUGCCCCAGUUACCGGAUCAUAUGAUGCAGUCUAUGGAAACCCCAAAAAACAAGGAGAUGCUGCCCCAGUUACCGGAUCAUAUGAUGCAGUCUAUGGAAACCCCACAAAACAAGGAGAUGCUUCCCCAGUUACCGGAUCAUAUGAUGCAGUCUAUGGAAACCCCAAAAAACAAGGAGAUGCUGUCCCAGUUACCGGAUCAUAUGAUGCAGUCUAUGGAAACCCCAAAAAACAAGGAGAUGCUGUCCCAGUUACCGGAUCAUAUGAUGCAGUCUAUGGAAACCCCACAAAACAAGGAGAUGCUUCCCCAGUUACCGGAUCAUAUGAUGCAGUCUAUGGAAACCCUAAAAAACAAGGAGAUGCUUCUCCAGUUACCGGAUCAUAUGAUGCAGUCUAUGGAAACCCCAAAAAACAAGGGGAUGCUACCCCAAUCACCGGAUCAUAUGAUGCAGUGUAUGGAAACCCUCAAAAAAUUGUAGGAAGUUCCAUUAAUGCUCAUAAGGAUGCCAGCCCAAUUGCCGGAUAUGAUGCAGUUUAUAGAAACCCUCAAAAAGCAGGAGGAAGUUCUAUUAAUGCUCAGAAGGAUGCUAGCUCAAUUGCCGGAUAUGAUGCAGUCUACGGAAGCGCUCAAAAAGUAGGUGAAAGUUCCAUCAAUGCCCACAAGGAUGCCAACUCAAUUGCCGGAUAUUAUGCAGCCUAUGGAAACCCUCGAGAUGCAGGUGAAAGUUCUAUUGAUGCUGGCAAGGCUAGCCCAACUGCCUCAUAUCGGACUGUUUACGGAAAUCCUCGAAAAGCAAGUGGAAGCACUGAUAUCAAUGCUGGUAAGCCUAGUAGAACUAUGCAAUACGAGAGGGUCUAUGGAAAUCCUCAAAAAGCAGGCGGAAGUUCUGUAAGCGCGGGCAAAAAUAGUCCAAACUUGCAACAAGGACACCAAGAUGGUACCAGUACAGGUAAUGUGUUCUUGGAAAAAGACCUGCAUCCUGGGACUAAAAUGAUGGUGCGCUUCACAAAAACCUCAAGUGCAGCUCAUUUCUUGCCCCAGCAAGUUGCUGAAUCCAUACCUUUUUCAUCAAACAAGCUACCAGAAAUUUUGAAUCAGUUCUCAGUGAAAGAAAACUCCGCAGAAGCCAAGAUAAUACAGAAAACAAUAGAAGAAUGUGAGAAACCGGCCAUAGAAGGAGAAGAGAAGUACUGUGCGAGAUCGCUGGAGUCCCUAAUCAAUUUCAGCACUUCAAAGCUUGGAAAAAACAUUAGAGCACUCCCAAAUGUUGUGGAAGGGGAAAUCCAGGAAUAUAAAUUUGGAAAGGGAGCGAAGAUGCUUGGAGAGAAAUCAGUGGUGUGCCACCAGCUGAACUAUCCAUAUGCUGUGGCUCUUUGCCAUGCAUUUCACAUGACAAAAAUUUACAAGGUUCCAUUGGUGGGAGCUGAUGGAACCAGAGUUCAAGCUUUAGCAGUAUGUCAUGAGGACACUUCCAUUUGGGACCCAAAUGCUUUGGCUUUUCAAGUGCUCAAAGUUAAGCCAGGAACUUGGCCCAUCUGUCAUUUCCUUCCCAAUGGUCAUUUUGUGUGGGUUCCAAACUAGGCAGAGAUCCGUCCGCAGAAAGCCUCAAACCCAAUUGCUGGCUUGCAGUUUGUGUAAUAUAUUGUGUGCUUUGAAUAACUGCAAGGGUUGAGGAAUGUAUGUCCUAUGAGCAAUAUUAUUCAGCAAUGAGUGACUCUCCUUUUUUCUUUUUCUUUUUUUCUUUUUUUUUCUUUUCCCUUUCAGUACUACCCAUUGCAGCAAUUGCAAUGCUAAACAUAUGCACUGAGUAUCAUAUCUAAACGCCCACCAGAAGACAGUUUGAGAUUACAUAUAUACUUAAUUACAUUUAGCAAUUCUUUUAUUUUAUUUUUUCAAAUAACUAAUACAAACUAAUUGAUAAUAAUCAAAUUAACUUUUGUUGUAGAGUUGUAAGUGAACUUGUAAUUAAGUAUCAUUGUAGAUUCACCAUUAUUUAGUUAAACAUUAGAGUCCAAAAUAUUUAAACAUCUCAAAAUAAACCACCAUUAAAAAUUUAUUUAAUAAAAUUUUUGUUAACAAAAUAUUUCUUUUAUUCAUAGAAGUAACAGAACCUAUUACUAUGAUUGAGAAUUAUUUUUUAAAAUAAUUUUCUAUUUUUUUUCUUAAGAACAAAAAACAAAAUGUUUUUAAAUAAAUCAUUUUAGUUAUUUUCUGUUGUUUUUAUUUGUUUUUUGAGGAUUGUUUUAAUAAAUAAUUAUAUAAACACAUUGAAUGAUUAAAAAUAAAACACCAAAUAUAAAAAUUAUUUUUUAAAAUAUUAAAAAUGGGUUAAAAAUAUUUUAGGUUUCUAAAUAGAUUUUUGUUCUAUAAAAACUAGAAAACAAUUUUAAAAAACUAUUUUCAAAAACUAUUUUUUCAUAAAUAUUUUUAAAAGCAAUUACCAAACAAAACCUAAAAUUUUUUAUAUGUUUUUUGUUGUUAGAAAUAGCAAAGCAAACAAAAUAUGAACCGUGUUUCCAUUCAUACGCGGGCAUAGCCAUAUAAGUGUUGCUUCACAGAAGCAUAUUUCAGGCUUUCAGCUAUCCUUAUAUGGAAAGCUCAGUCUAUGUAUCAAUUGAAAAAGCAUUAAAUAUAUUUGUCUUUUUUCUUCUUAAUUUUUUUUUUCCCUUUGUUAGCUUAUGGAUAUAGUUUAAUUAUGAAAGUUGCUUUUCUCAGUUAUUCAAAAUGAGUGGUAUAUACACAUGCAUGCUGCUCAGUCGUUGCAUAAUUCUCUCCUUCCUUGCUGGGUCAAUUUUUCCAACAACUUCUAAAGCUUGAUGAGUCCGAAAGUGUCUAUAAUUCUUCUGCUCUUGCAAGAAAUCUUCAAAGGCUUGUUAUUAAUUAAAUUUUACUUUCUAACCCUAGUUAAUUCUUUAAGUUAUGAAUUUGGUGUCAGAUACCAUAAAGUAAAUAACCCAAAUUAUUUAUUAGAGACCAUAAGGUAUAUAAUCCAAAUUAUUUUUUAGAUUAUCAUUCCUAACCCCAAUUCCUAUGUGAUAGAAUAACCACUAGCACACUUUAAAUUGUAUUAUCACUUUUUCUCCUACAUCUAUGAUAAUUCAAGAUUGUAGUUGAGAAAAAAAUAUUGAUGAAAAACUUAUUAUUCUCAUGUUGGUGGUGGAGUCCUUGAUUUAAGGGCACGGAAUACACAUGCCAAAUCUCGGUCCAUGUAUAUGUAUGAUAUAUAUAAAGAAUGUUGGAUAAGGAAAUUCUAGACAUGACCAAAUUUGAAUCGUGUAUUGCCACUUACAUUUGGCAAUAAGAUGUGAUUUACGUGGAAAAUUGGUGGUGGUAGGAGCCUAUAAAUAGAGGUCUCUUCUCCUCAUUCCAUUUAUUCUAUAAUUGAGAGAAAAAUAGUGGUGCAACUCUUUGAGUGAAAAAGUGAGAUUCAUAGAUACCAAUUCAUAGGAAAUCUACAUGUAGUAGAUGGUAUGUCAUGGAUCAGAGCUUCAUCUCAUUGUUAUUUACAUAGAAUAUUGAAGUAUAGUUGAUUUUCUAUAAUGGAAUGUUGAAUUAACUUCAUAAUUGAAUUCUAGGAGAGUCAAUACUUCUAUAGGUCCUAAUGGUCUUUGCUAUGAACUCAAACAUUGUGUUGGCGUAGUUUAUGAGGGUUGGAUUGACUUUAGGUUUACUCUUGUACAUAAAAGAAUUUUGAUAAUUACACAAAGUUGUAUAUGAGAUAAUAAACAAGGUUUUUAAAUUGGACUAAUUGAUUAAUUAGAUAGUCAUAUGCGGUUAAUUAAUCAAUUAUGACUUAUAUUAUAGUAGAUUAAGUAACCCAAACUCAAGUCACUUAAACCUAAUAAGAGAAUGUUAUAAAUACCCUUUAGAAAUUAGGGCUAAGGUUUCCAUGGCCUUAGACAGUUGUCUUCCAUCUCAAAGAGAGUAUAGGUUUCCACAAUUUCAAAGCCCACACUUUGGAGUGUCAAGAUUAUGGUUUAAGUUAUCAAAUAGAAGAUCUUGGGUGAACAAGACUCCCGAACUAUUCAAGCAUGUUUUUUAUUGUGAGGAAUUGAUAUAGGAACAUUCAGAUUUAGGUAUGAAUACUAUAUCUCUAGAUCUAUAAUUAAUAAUAGUUUUUGCUACCAUUUUAUUUCAUCGUGAUAGAUUUAUACAUACCUAGGGAUAGAUGCAUACACCUACUAGAUCUAGGGAUAGGGAAUUCCCAACAACUAUAGCCAAGGAAUAUGCAUGGAAUGGACAAGUAUUGAAGCUUAGUUUUAUUUUAAGGUCAGAGGUUGGGGUGGAAUACACACCCAAACACUUUUAGUUGAGAGUAAUCAGGUGUUGAAAAAGAGUUCCAAUGGAGUUUUAUUCUUUAGAACCAGAGUGGGUAACCUGUUAGUAAGAAAAAUGCAUGUGCAAAGGCCUCAUCACAAUGUUUGAUGGGUAGAGAGGCUUGUAGGAGUCCCUAUUCAACAAUGAGGUGAUGUUUAUGCUGAGUUGUUACAUUUUGUUUAUGGGCGUAGGAACAUGAGGUUCUCUGGAUAAUGUCAUUUGAGAAAGGAUAAUGUGUGAAGGUACGAUAUUCUCCGCCCUAAUCAGUUUGUAUAGCCUUACUUUUAUGACCCAUUUUAAGCUCAGCUUGAGACUUGAAAUUAAGAAAGGCUUGAAAUGCUUCAUUAGAUUUUUACUUAAAAGCAUGUAAAUCCAUGCAUACCUAGAGUAGGCAUCAACAUAGUGAAUGUAAUACUGAUAUCCAUUAGAAGAGGGUGUUGAUGCAAGGCCUCAUAAAUGAGAAUGUAUCGGUUCUAAGGGUGUUGUGUAUGGUGAGGUAGAAGUAAGAAAUGGAAACUAGUGAAUCUUUCCCAAGCAAGAUGCAAAACAAACAAGAGAGGAUCUUUUAUUAAGGUGAGAAAGGUUACCUAUAUUUAGUACUUGAGACAUGGUUUGAGCAGAUGGGUGGCCAAGUCUAUUGUGUCAUAAAUCAAAUGAUGCUCUUUCUUGUAGCUGAUGUUAUGAAGGGCUUGGAAGAGAAAGGUGUAGUGGUUGUUGUGCAGAGCUUGAAGGAGACGGUUGAGUUCUGAGGAUGUGAGGAAGUGAAGUUCAAGUUAUCGAACACAUAGAGACCCCUUUUAAGUUGGCAUUGUAGAAGAACUGUUCUGGUGGUAAGAUCCUUAACAAAACAAGAGGUGGAGGUGAAACUCAAAAUAUACAUGGUUGUCAUUUGCAAAUUUAGAAACAUUAAGAAGAUUUUUGGUGAUUUUUAGAACAUGAAGUAAUUGUUUCAGGGUAAGUGAUUUGGAAAGAUUAAAAGGAGAUGAGAAUGAUGUAUUACCAAUAUGAUGAAUAGGGAGGCCCUUACCGUUUCCCAUGAAAACUUGAUCUGGUGCCGAAAAUUGUGAUUUGUUCAAGAUGUUGUUCAGUUCAAGUGUUAGAUGAUGUGUUGCUCCGGAACAUGGAUACCAGUAGGUUACCUCUGAAAUAUCUGAAGAGGCUUGUUGUGUGGGUGCAAUUAAGAGUCCUUCAUGCUGCUGUGAUGGCCUCAAGUAUUGUUGUGGAACGUGAGUAAUGUUCCCUUGAGGUGGAUGAUUUUGCAGCUGUGAAUUCCAGUGAAGGAGUGAUGAAACCAGUAGUAGCAUUGCAUAACCACAUGUACUAUCCUCCCACAUAGCUGACAUUGGGGUUUCUUAUUUCCUUCCCAUGAAUUCUUUGAUUCAAGUGUGAGGAUCCACUGGUUGUGGCCAAGUUAACAAGACUAGUAUUGGACAAUUCUGAAUUCAAUUUCUUCCGUAGUGUAGGGAUCAAUCCUUGAGCUUACUGAGAUGAUAGAGGUUUCAUAUUCUUGAGAAAGGCCUUCAAAGAUUGCAUCUAUAUAGUCUUCGACACAGAGUUUAUGGCCAACUAGAGGAAGAAGAUCAACUGUGUUUAGAAGCAUAUUUCAACUACAAUUUCAUAAAAGUAUUACAAUUUAAUUUCUAUUUAGGAAAAAUAAUUUUUACAAAUUGUCUAGAGAAAAAGAUCCUUUUAUAAGUUCAUCUACAAAGUAUUUUUCAACUCAAUCUUAUUUACAAGAGUUAAAAUUCAAUUCAAAUAUAGUGGUAAAAAAAGUUUGAUAGAAAAUGAUUUUUACAAAAGAGAAUUCAAUUCUUUUUUAAUUUUAAGAAAAUAAUUUAUUAAUUUGAUAAAAAAAGAAAAAGAAAUUAUCUAUGAUUGGCUUAAAAAAAAAAAAAAAGAGUUUCCCGAUUUUAUUAAGUGAACUUCGUAAACUAUUUGGAUUUUAGUAAAAGAUCUCAACUUUAUUAUUUAAAAAAAUCAAAUUAAAAAAAUUUUUAAAAAAGGAUUCCAAUUGGAUUUUUCCUUAAAAAAGGAAUUUUUUAUUAAUUUAUUAAAAAAAAUUAGGACUUUAAUUUUAAUAGAAUUAUAUUUUAAUUAAAAUAAGAUAUUUUCAUAACAUUAUUUAAAAAGAGAAUUUUAUUAAGAAUUAGUUUUAUUUACAAUUUUAAUAAAAGAAUUUUCAUUUUAUUUAAGGAUUUUUGCAAGCUGUUUUAAUUUUGUUACAUUAAAAAAAAAAUCAAACUAAACACAAAAAAUAGGAUCAUGUCUUAAAAAGGUUUUCAAUUUAUUAAUGGCAUGAUUUUCGGAUUAUUUAAAAAAUAAAAAUCUCAACUUUAUCUAAAAGGAUUUCAUAUUUUUAUUUAUUAAAAAAAUUCAUUUAUUUAUUUAUUUAUUUUCCUUCUUCUUUUUUUUUUUUUCUAAGAGGCUUCCGAUUUCAUUUUGGAAGACCCUGAAACAAGGCCAAAAUUUUAUAAUGAAAUUUCAAAGAUCAAAAGGAAAGGGUUUCACCUCAUUCUUUUGAAGAACCUAAGGCCAAAAUUGAAGUGAGGGUCAUGGAAAUGAAGGUCUCGAUAGUUGAUGCAGAUGAGGUUGUCAGAGGGGGCCUGUGAGGUGCAUAAUUGGUAUGAAUAUGGUAGUGGAGCUGCGUGAGAGAGAAAUGGAAGAAAGGAGGGUGAGAGAGAGAGAGAAAGGGGUGGAGAGAAAUAAAGUGAAAGAAAGAAAAUGGGGGAAAAUGAGAAGAAGAGGAAGAAGUGGGUGGUCGUGUGAGGGAAAGUGAGAGAGGCUGAGAAAGGAAAACAAAUGAAAAGAAAGAAAAAAAAUGUUAAAAAAUAGAAGGAAAGAGAAAAGAGUAGGGUGUGGGUGGAGGAAAAGGUGGAAGAAAAAGGCCAAAAUUUUGGUUUGAAUUGCUGCAAGGGUUGAGGAUUGUGUGUCCUACCUAAGGGUCUUCAACGGGCCGGGCCGGGCCCUUAAGCUGGGCGGGUUGGCGGGCUUAGCUGGGUAAAAAUUAAAGUAUUUUUUAGGUUUGAAGGGAAGGGGAUUCGAACCCUUUCCCAUACGGAUCCAUAAGGAGAGCUAACCACCAACUGAACUAACCCUCUUUUAUGUAAUUAUUUUGUAUUAGUUAUAUAUAUAUUAGAAAUGUUGUAUGAUUUUUUUUUUAUAUAUAGAUUUUUUUUAAGUGGCGGGCCAGGCCGAGCCUAAAUUGGGGCCCAUGGCCUGGCCCAUCCAAGAAUGGGCUCGGGCUUGCCGAGCUUUAACCCGCUAGGCCGGGUCGGGCCGCGGGCUUUUUGGAGACCCUUAGUCCUACCACCUAUGUGCAAUAUUAGUGACUCGCUCUAUCAUUCAGCCUAGCGUGCACUUAGGUUAGGUUUGUUUUUUGAUUGAAUAAAAAAAGUCAAAAUAUUUAACUUUUUUUAUUCAGCUAAAAAUAACAUGUUGACAUUAUUCAAUAUAAUUAAACUGAACUUAUUAAUAAUAUAUUUAUUUUAAUUAUGUUGGAUGAUGUCAACAUAUUACUUUUAGUUGAAUAGAAAAAGCCAAAUAUUUGAUUUUUUCUAUUCAACUAAAAAACAAACACCUCUUAAUAUUAUAUCUACACACCCACAGAAGAGGUUACCUUUAGCUUUACAACUUCAUAAUUAUUUUGAGUUCUGCAUUAGAAUCGCCCUUUUAACAAUUAUUAUAAUUAAUUAAAAUUGAUAUAAUGACGUAUUUAAUUAUAUUAAACUUGGACAAUGGUGGAUGGUUUAACAAUGAUGGGUGUCCCCUUAAUCAUUGAAUUUGUAAAGCACCACCAGCUUUUGGACGAAGGGCAUGGAGCCCAAUGGUUCCAAAAUAAUUAAUCAAGUUGAUGGGACUAGUCCCUUUCUUCUUUCAUUACUGAAAUUACAGUUCGCUCCCAUCAUCGUCCCUUCAUUUUCACUUUAUUCUGCACUCAUUUCCCAUUUUACCUUUGCCAGGGUGAAGGGUGUCACACACUUAUGGUAUUAAAGUUGCAUUAUCUGGCAUUCACAAUGACUGGUGGUGAUAAUUCACAAUUCUCUCUCGUCACAUCCAAUGGCUACUGCGAAGGAGUCCUGGCCCCACCAGAUAGAGGCACCUCCCUUGAGCUCUUUCCAUCCCAUCUCAGCCACAUUCCUCUUCAGUUAGAGAGCUUUCAUGGAGUUUUACCUCCUUCCCCUUCUGGCAUUUCUCUCCGUGAGCCUUAACUUCCAACUUUACUAAUCAAAUCAUAAACCAUGCACUACAUUAUUAUUUUACAGGAAAAUUAAGCAUGUUCUCUAUUAUGGAAAAUCAAUACAAAGCCCAGAUGAAACUAUUCUUUACAAAGCAUUUUCAAAAUAUUUUUCUGAAAAUAUUGAAAAAAGCAAUAUGCAAAUUUAAAUGGAUGGAGUUCGCAACAUGCAUGUUCACAAUAUUUGAAUAAAGGAUUGGCAGUUAGCGUGGGUCCUGUAGUUGAUUGCUAUUUUAAGAUCGGCCCACUAUCUUCCUCAAUUACUCCAUUUUAUAUUUUUCUAUUUUUGAAAGAAUCUUUACGGAUCUUCAAUAAUUAAUGAGAAGUACUAUCUUCCUCAUCCCAUUCCUCCCCCUCUCACUCUCUUUACGUCCUUAAAGUAAGUGGUACAAUAAAAAGGGAAUAAAAAGGGAAAUGGAAUUAUUGCCUUUUCAUCCAGAUGAGCAGCCACAAUCAUUUACUUCAAAAGAAUCAAAGCAUCUCUCUUUUGCAGUGAAAGACAUGUGAAAUUCAUUGAGUUUGAAUUUCAAUAAAUUUGAAUUGAAUUUGAAUUUGAAUUUACCAAUUCAAGGCAACGGGGCAAUCGUCAAAAGUGGAUUUUUCUAUUUUUGAAAGAAUCUUUACGGAUCUUCAAUAAUUAAUGAAAAUUGAAUGCGAAGGUUGGGCCACAUGCAACUUGAUCAUGCAUGGAUGCUUUUACUAUCUUAUUUAUAUAUGCCGACUUAGCCAUUAUAUAUAUCCAUCAAUUGAUUUCACUUCUUCAUACCAACGUAUAGCUUAGCCUGCGGUUCACAGCUUCUAUGGAGCUUCAUCUUCUUCCCAUUCUAACUUGCCUCUCUGUGAGACUUCACUUUUAUCUUUCCUUUGUUUUUAUUUUUCUACCAUAACUCAUUACAUGACAAGGGCAAUGCAAGUUAUAUUAUUUUGCAGAAAAUGGUACUUACAAUAAAUUUUCUUUAAAAAAUGAACAUUUUCUAAUCCAAAUUUUAAGUCUUACUGUUCUAAAAAUGGUAAUUUCUUAAUGAUUUAACAUGUAUAGUUUAACAUGAGCUUCUUGGCAGAGUUUCUUCUAUGUUAAUAAUGGUGAUGUAUUUCAAUUGGUAUCAGAGCAACAUGUUAAAUCAUUAAGAAAUUACCAUUUUUAAAAUAAAAAUGUCGAAAUGCUCUCACUUUCCUUCACCAAAACCCUCAGUUAGCCUCCUUUCGUGCGCCUGAAACACCAUGGAGGGCAUUAGGGAGGGUGGUGAUUUGGGUUUCCGGAGAGCAUGAAAUUCAGGCGCGGUUCAGGCGAGUUUCAGGCGUCCGUGCGGCGCUGGUGCACAGUCCGUGCGGUUUAGUCUGUUUUCCUUGAAAAGAGUCUGUGGAAGCCAACAUAUAAUAAAGGGAGACACACAAGACUGUGAGACCUGCCAUGAAAACAUUUUUCAAUUGAAUCCACACUUUUUAAAAAAUAAAACUCUAAUAUAUAAAAGGGUUAAAUAUAUAAUUGGAGCAAAUUUGUCAUUUAUCAUAUAAAUUUUUUUUCCAAAUACCCCAAUAAAAGAGCAAUUUUUGAAAUGUUAAAAAUAUUAAAAGUAUUUCGUAAAAUCACUAUUAAACGAGUUAUUAGAGUGCGUUUGAGAGCCCAUUUGAUAGUAAUUUUAUGAAGCGCUUCUAACCCUUUUAACACUUGAAAUUUUUUAUCAUUCAAGUGUUAUAAAUACUAUAAACAUUUUAUAGAAUUAUUAUCAAAUACAAUAUGAGAAUUAUUAUUAAAAACAUUUUUGGUUUUUUUAAUACUUGAAAGAUAAAAAUUUUGAAAUAUUAAAAGCACUCCUUAAAAUCACAACCAAAUGGAUCUUUAGAAUAUAUUAAACAAUGAUUUUAAAAAAAACUUUUAACCUUAAAAACAUUUUAAAACAAAAUUAAGUGUUUGAAAAAUUUUAUCAAAUAUUUUUAAAAAUCUUAAAAAUUACUUAAAAUAUGAAAAAAUUAGAUUUUUUUUAAGAAACCUUUGUUAUUAAUUUCCCUAAAAACACCUUUAAAGAAAAUGCUUAUAUUAAAAACAUUUUAAGACGAUGUUUUAAGAUCUCAUCUGAUAGUAAUUAUAGAAAACACUUUUAAUCUUUUUAAUAUUUAAAAAAAUUUAUUAUUUAAGUGUUAAAAAUAUUAUAAACGCUUUUUAAAAUCACCCUUAAAUGUACUCUAAAUUUAUAUAUAUAAUAGAGUUUCCAGGAUUCAACAACCACGGAUAUUAUGUUUUGGAGAGAUGAAAGAAAAUUUUGAUUUAACAUAAUACUACAAUUAUUACUAAAUGCAAUUGUUGGCUUCAAAAUCCAUCUAUUAAAUGCAACUACCACUGAUUAUUAUAGGCACUAAAAUGGAAAUGCUUUUAUUGUUUUCUCAUCCAUUUUUUUUUGUUUUUGUUUUUGACAAGAAAUCAUUUCUAAGUAAGGGGAUUCCCACACAUUUUCACAAUAUUUGAAUAAGGGAUUGGCAGUUAGCGUGGGUCCUGUAGUUGAUUGCUAUUUUAAGAUCGGCCCACUAUCUUCCUCAAUUACUCCAUUUCAUAUUUUUCUAUUUUUGAAAGAAUCUUUACGGAUCUUCAAUAAUUAAUGAGAAGUACUAUCUUCCUCAUCCCAUUCCUCCCACUCUCACUCUCUUUACGUCCUUAAAGUAAGUGGUAGGGUUGGCUUUUUUGAGUUAGAGUUGGUACAAUAAAAAGGGAAAUGGAAUUAUUGCCUUUUCAUCCAGAGGAGCAGCCACAAUCAUUUACUUCAAAAGAAUCAAAGCAUCUCCCUUUUGCAGUGAAAGACAUGUGAAAUUCAUUGAGUUUGAAUUUCUAUAAAUUUGAAUUGAAUUUGAAUUUGAAUUUACCAAUUCAAGGCAACGGGGCAGUCGUUAAAAGUGGAUUUUUCUAUUUUUCAAAGAAUCUUUACGGAUCUUCAAUAAUUAAUGAGAAUUGAAUGCGAAGGUUGGGCCACAUGCAACUUGAUCAUGCAUGGAUGCUUUUACUAUCUUGUUUCUAUAUGCCGACUUAGCCAUUAUAUAUAUCCAUCAAUUGAUUUCACUUCUUCAUACCAACGUACAACUUAGCCUGCGGUUCACAGCUUCUAUGGAGCUUCAUCUUCUUCCCAUUCUAACUUGCCUCUCUGUGAGACUUCACUUUUACCUUUCUUUUGUUUUUAUUUUUCUAACAUAACUCAUUACAUGACAAGGGCAAUGCUAGUUAUAUUAUUUUGCAGAAAAUGGUACUUACAAUAAAUUUUCUUUAAAAAAUGAACAUUUUCUAAUUCAAAUUUUAAGUCUUACUGUUCUAAAAAUGGUAAUUUCUUAAUGAUUUAACAUGUAUGGUUUAACAUGAGAUUCUUGGCAGAGUUUCUUCUAUGUUAAUAAUGGUGAUGUAUUUCAAUUGGUAUCAUAGCAACAUGUUAAAUCAUUAAGAAAUUACCAUUUUUCAAAUAAAAAUAUCGAAAUGCUCUCACUUUCCUUCACCAAAACCCUCAGUUGGCCUCCUUUCGUGCCCCUGAAACACCAUGGAGGGCAUUAGGGAGGGUGGUGAUUUAGGUUUCCGGAGAGCAUGAAAUUGAGGCGCGGUUCAGGCAAGUUUCAGGCGUCCGUGCGGCGCUGGUGUGCCUUCCGUGCGGCGCUGGUGCACAGUCCGUGCGGUUUAGUUUGUUUUCCUUGAAAGGAGUCUGUGGAAGCCAACAUAUAAUAAAGGGAGACACACAAGACUGUGAGACCUGCAUGAAAACAUUUUUCAAUUGGAACAACACUUUGUAAAAAAUAAAACUCUAAUAUAUAAAAGGGUUAAAUAUAUAAUAGGAGCAAAUUUGUCAUUUAUCAUAUAAUUUUUUUUUUCCAAAUACCCCGAUAAAAGAGCAAUUUUUGAAAUGUUAAAAAUAUUAAAAGUAUUUCGUAAAAUCACUAUUAAACGAGUUAUUAGAGUGUGUUUGAGAGCCCAUUUGAUAGUAAUUUUAUGAAGUGCUUCUAACCCUUUUAACACUUGAAAUUUUUUAUCAUUGAAGUGUUAUAAAUACUAUAAACAUUUUAUAGAAUUAUUAUCAAAUACAAUAUGAGAAUUAUUAUUAAAAACAUUUUUGGUUUUUUUUAAUACUUGAAAUAUAAAAAUUUUGAAAUAUUAAAAGCACUCCUUAAAAUCACAACCAAAUGGAUCUUUAGAAUAUAUUAAACAAUGAUUUUAAAAAACACUUUUAACCUUAAACACAUUGUAAAACAAAAUUAAGUGUUUGAAAAAUUUUAUCAAAUAUUUUUAAAAAUCUUAAAAAUUACUUAUAAUAUGAAAAAAUUAGAUUUUUUUUUUAAGAAACCUUUCUUAUUAAUUUCCCUAAAAACACUUUUAAAGAAAAUGCUUAUAUUAAAAACAUUUAAAGACGAUGUUAUAAAAAACACUUUUAAUCUUUUUAAUAUUUAAAAAAAAUUUAUUAUUUAAGUGUUAAAAAUAUUAUAAACGCUUUUUAAAAUCACCCUUAAAUGUACUCUAAAUUUAUAUAUAUAAUAGAGUUUCCAGGAUUCAACAACCACGGAUAUUAUGUUUCGGAGAGAUUAAAAAAAAUUUUGAUUUAACAUAAUACUACAAUUAUUACUAAAUGCAAUUGUUGGCUUCAAAAUCCAUCUAUUAAAUGAAACUACCACUGAUUAUUAUAGGCACUAAAAUGGAAAUGCUUUUAGUGUUUUCUCAUCCAUUUUUUUUGUUUUUGUUUUUGACAAGAAAUCAUUUCUAAGUACGGGGAUUCCCACACAUUUUCACAAUAUUUGAAUAAAGGAUUGGCAGUUAGCGUGGGUCCUGUAGUUGAUUGCUAUUUUAAGAUCGGCCCACUAUCUUCCUCAAUUACUCCAUUUUAUAUUUUUCUAUUUUUGAAAGAAUCUUUACGGAUCUUCAAUAAUUAAUGAGAAGUACUAUCUUCCUCAUCCCAUUCCUCCCCCUCUCACUCUCUUUACGUCCUUAAAGUAAGUGGUAGGGUUGGCUUUUUUGAGUUAGAGUUGGUACAAUAAAAAGGGAAAUGGAAUUAUUGCCUUUUCAUCCAGAUGAGCAGCCACAAUCAUUUACUUCAAAAGAAUCAAAUCAUCUCUCUUUUGUAGUGAAAGACAUGUGAAAUUCAUUGAGUUUGAAUUUCAAUAAAUUUGAAUUGAAUUUGAAUUUGAAUUUACCAAUUCAAUGCAACGGGGCAGUCGUCAAAAGUGGAUUUUUCUAUUUUUGAAAGAAUCUUUACGGAUCUUCAAUAAUUAAUGAGAAUUGAAUGCGAAGGUUGGGCCACAUGCAACUUGAUCAUGCAUGGAUGCUUUUACUAUCUUGUUUAUAUAUGCCGACUUAGCCAUUAUAUAUAUCCAUCAAUUGAUUUCAUUUCUUCAUACCAACGUACAGCUUAGCUUGCGGUUCACAGCUUCUAUGGAGCUUCAUCUUCUUCCCAUUCUAACUUGCCUCUCUGUGAGACUUCGCUUUUACCUUUCUUUUGUUUUUAUUUUUCUAACGUAACCCAUUACAUGACAAGGGCAAUGCUAGUUAUAUUAUUUUGCAGAAAAUGGUACUUACAUUAAAUUUUCUUUAAAAAAUGAACAUUUUCUAAUCCAAAUUUUAAGUCUUACUGUUCUAAA